rnacentral:lncRNA from 1 species
GAUCCGAACUUAAAUAUCAUACUCCACAGUCGUAAAUACAACCUCUCCAAAAUACGACUUAAAUCCAACGGCCGGAUUCUACAUUAAUUACCCGCCAAAAAUACCACACUUCGAAAAUUCAUAAACCUAUCCAAAACUCAUCCAAAAAUUCCAUAACUCACUUCAAUAAACUCCCCUUAAUAUUCCAAAUUUAAACAACAUUAAAAAUCCUCCCAAACCGGGCGGCGGCGCCGCCGGCGGCUCCGCGGGCAGCGGCGGCCGGAGGUCAAUUCCGGCGACCUCCAAAACCUAUGAAAUUUUAACAGCAUCUUCCUCUCAUCAAGCUCUACAACUUUCAUAACUAGCACAAACACCAAUUCCAAGCCUAACUAGGGCAAUCGACUAAAAACAUCAAAAACACCAUAAAACUUCCACCUCAAAUUUCUCCUUACCUAGCUCAAGAGGGAGUGAGUCCUUUUAGGGCAAGGUUGCUGGGUUGGAGGGCUACAAAAACCAUACCAAGCUUGCCCAGAUUGGUGGCCCGGAGGAGGGAAGUUUCCGGGCGAAGGGAAGCUCGGGGCAGCCCUUGCUUUCGGGCGGCACCGCUCUCUCACGGCGGCGCUAGGGCUCCUCUCACCGGUCUAGAAAUGAUGCUGGGAGGGAGACCGACCGAACGGGACCGGUCCGGCGGCGAACGGAGGUCGGACGGCGGCGGGAGGACGGCCGGAAUUCUGCUGGGUGUAGAGAGAAGAAAAUCGGGUGAGAAGAGAAGAAAAAUCGGGAGGGAGGGAGAAGAGAAAGAAGAAGAAAUGGGUUGGGCUCGGCCCAGCCGACCCAACACCCCUUUUAACCCAUAAUUCCAAAAUUCAACACCCCGAAAAAUAAUACCCGAAUAAAAAUUACCGUUUACUAGCUAAAAUUUACUAUUUUUACCGUCGCCGUAUAAUCCCCAUACGAAUUAUCCUCCGCACAUAAUCGUCCCCGAAACCCCUCUAGGGACCAAUUAAACUAUUUACUCAAUGAUCGAGACGGUAAAAUUCUUAUUAUAAUCACGCUAGUAAAUAAGGUAAAAAUAUAAGGGUCGGGAUGUGACAACUAAAACUUUGAAGAGGUUACAAUCAAAUCAAGUAGUGAUAUACAACAUCAUCACUUUUAUAAGUUACAAUAACAAACUUGAUUUUACAACUGAUGAACUCUUCCAAAAUAACGAUGAAUUCUAAUUGAAGAACCUUUGCAGCUUCCUUCAAUUCCACUUCCAAUAACACUGAUCUCAGAUCAUACAAAUGAUAAAUGAUGCAGUGAACAAGUAUGAAUGAGUUUUAAAACAGUUUAGCAGUAAUAGACAAUAUCACAAUGCUCUUAUCAAAUAUGAAAAACUCAGUCAUUAACAGAUUGCUUCUUGGCAUAUAUAUAGUGUCAAAGCUCCCCCUCAAUCAGAUCCCAUUGAUCACUGAUUGAAACUGAGAGGGAAACAACUUUUCAAAACAGAUUUGUUAACCAAAAAUAAAAUCUGAAACAAUCCUAUUCAAAAAUAUUUGCAAAAGAUUUCCUAAAACUAUCUCACAGAUAUUUUAGUCAAUUUAAAACCAUAAAAGGACUGUGUCUUUUCUUUAAACAGAAUACCAAAAACAUGAUAUGAAUAUGCAUGAGAUGUAAUUACCUUAGAUGAUCUGAAAUCAGUGUUACUAUGGUAAAAACAACAGAUUGCUCUUCGAAACCCUUGCUUCUCUUUGCCGAACCAGGAAACCUUUACUUCUUGAUUCUUCUGCAGUCAUCCUUUCCUUUUUUGAAUUGAAUAUGACUGCCAUAUGCUUACACAUUGAUUUCGCUCUUUGCAACAGUUUUCAUUUCAAGCAAGGGGCAAUAUUUCUUUUACUGCGAAAUAGUCAUUUAUUACAUUUGAAGCUUGGAAAGAAAAGAGGAACGAACUGCAGCAAUGCGCGGGCAAUUUUUCUAAUAUAUAUUGGCAAGUCUUGUGGUCAUAUAAUGACCAAGAAGGCAAGAACCAUGUUCAUAAAAUCAUUCAAAUGUCUUAAUGUCACACUUUUCUAAUAAGCAUCAAGAAAUACUAGAGUGGUCAAAAAGUCAUACAUGUAUACCCCCCCACCCCCCCUUUUUUUUCUUUUGUUUCCCUUUACCUUGUCCUUUCUUUCUAGUCGUAUGUCGUUUACUUUGCCGAACUGUUGUUAUUUGAGAAUUGCAGGUAGAAUAUGUUUAUAUGUAUAUAUCAUGAUGAUAUAAAAGAGAAUAUAAUUUUUGUGUGCGUCUAAAAAGCUCUUGAAGUAUAGUUUCAUUUCACUUAAAUGUAACCAAGUUAUUAACGAUAAAUGUCAUUUGAACCGGCGGCCAAACUCCAAAGUCAGGAUAAAGUUUCGCAUUAACCUGCUAAGUCGGUGCCUUAGUGAUCUAUUCCUAAAAAAUGUACAUGGAUUGAAAGAUGGGCAUAAAUAGAUUGUAUUUACAUGAUUUCAAAUACAAGGUUGUAAUCAGCUGUUUUUCCCUUUUACUUUUUCUCUUUUCCUUUUCUCAUCAUUCCAACACACCCAGGACAGUCAUGCUACUGACUUUUCUUUGUUAGCUUCCUUUCUUUUCCCAUAUAAUUCUUAAAUAUUCUGAAUGGUAAAGAAAUUAUUGUAUAGGUCCACUUUUUUCUUCAAUAAUCUAUUGAAGAAGUAUAAUCUAAGUUUCUAAAUGAAGUCGUCCACGAGCAACGUUCACUUUCAUGCCUUAAUCAUUUCCUUGCUCGAAAAUAUAUUGCAUUGUUAUUCCUAAUGUUCACAUUAAUCUAGUUCAUCAUAUUGAUCAGAGACGACUCAACAACUUCAAUGUAUAUUAAAACAUUUAUGUUUCAUUUCUUACACAAAAAAAAAAAAAAAAAAUACAAAUAUGUUCUUCCAUGAAUAGAGACAGCAAUAUUAGAAAGAAUGAACACAAUGCCAUUUAAACACACACACAAACAAAAAACAAAACAAAAAAAGGAAAACUCAAACGCUGCACAAUUUAGAAAGAAAAAAGAACAGUUGUUGCUUGGAGAGAAUAUACUAGAGGCAAAGCCGCAAAGACGAAUUGGCAUCUUUAAUACAAUCAGCUUGAAACUUUCGANNNNNNNNNNNNNNNNNNNNNNNNNNNNNNNNNNNNNNNNNNNNNNNNNNNNNNNNNNNNNNNNNNNNNNNNNNNNNNNNNNNNNNNNNNNNNNNNNNNNNNNNNNNNNNNNNNNNNNNNNNNNNNNNNNNNNNNNNNNNNNNNNNNNNNNNNNNNNNNNNNNNNNNNNNNNNNNNNNNNNNNNNNNNNNNNNNNNNNNNNNNNNNNNNNNNNNNNNNNNNNNNNNNNNNNNNNNNNNNNNNNNNNNNNNNNNNNNNNNNNNNNNNNNNNNNNNNNNNNNNNNNNNNNNNNNNNNNNNNNNNNNNNNNNNNNNNNNNNNNNNNNNNNNNNNNNNNNNNNNNNNNNNNNNNNNNNNNNNNNNNNNNNNNNNNNNNNNNNNNNNNNNNNNNNNNNNNNNNNNNNNNNNNNNNNNNNNNNNNNNNNNNNNNNNNNNNNNNNNNNNNNNNNNNNNNNNNNNNNNNNNNNNNNNNNNNNNNNNNNNNNNNNNNNNNNNNNNNNNNNNNNNNNNNNNNNNNNNNNNNNNNNNNNNNNNNNNNNNNNNNNNNNNNNNNNNNNNNNNNNNNNNNNNNNNNNNNNNNNNNNNNNNNNNNNNNNNNCUAGAAUUCCAUUUUGGCCAGAAUUCCAUCUUUCACAUAUGUAACAACGUAACUAUAGUUAGUGUUAGUAAAUCAAUAACCUUUCUUUUUAAAAAAAAAAAAAUAAGUACUUUAAAUCCAUUAAUCAAUAAAUACUGAUUGCACUCUCUCCCCUCAUUUCUCUCCAUCACAAGAACCUGCAACUAUGUAUUGUGGCAACUCCACCACACUCAACAACCCCUAAAUCUCUCUCUUUUUUUUUUUUUUACUAAAAGAGAAAUUUUUAUUCACACAUCCUAAAUCACUUGAUACACAUCCCAAUUUUUUGGGUAAUUAUCUUUUCUCACACAUUACCCACUUUACCCUUAUUUUAUUGUAAGCCAAUAUCGUCUUCCUCGAGUCUCCAACACAGUUCAUCACCAUCGUCAUCUCACACUACAUUAUGUAUAAUCAUAUUUCAAUAAUUGAAAACAAGAAAGGAUGACGAAAGAGUCUAUAAAGAUGAUAAUUUGAAUUUCUUGGAGAGAUUUCAACCUUCUAGCUUUGUUGUCAGGCUAUGAAAAAGAAGAAACCCUAAGCUUCAAAACAAUAAUACAAUCGACCUCAUGUCAACUAUGUUUGAAGUUUUAAUAUUGAAAUUAUUUUUUAGGUGAUUCAGACAUUUAGUAGUUUGGUUUGGAGGCAACCCAAAUAGUUGACCUGCAUCUUAGUUUGUUAUUACAUAUGAUCCAAUUUUACAGUUGCAAUGUUAUAGAAGGUAAAUAUAUAGACUUUUAAGAUUAUGAUUAUGCUGGACACACGAUGAGAAUAACAAAAUCAAAGAAACGUUCAUCUUCUGGGUUUAAGGUUUAGAAUUGGACAAUUUUUUUUCUUUAUCUCAAAUUAGUUAUGAGAGUAAAGGUGUAAUUAAAAAACCUUUUAAAAAAAAGGAAUGUGCAUUUAGUGUUAGGGGAUGUGUGAAUAAAAUUUCUCUUACUAAGGGGGGUGUAUUGUAUAUGGAAUUAGUGGAAGUUUUAAAGAAGUCUAUGGAAUUUGAAAAUUUAGGUGUAUUCAAUACAGACUUUUAAAAAUCUAUCAAAGUCUGGGUGUAUUCAACUAGAUUUUAAAAAAUCAUUAUGAAUUCCAUCAAAGUUCAAAGGUAUUCAAUUAAGACUUUUUAAAAUGAAUAGAAGUUCAGAUGUAUUCAAAAUAUCAUUCAUACUUAUGGAAUUAAUAACUCAUGGAUAAUUGUGGACUUUGUAGUGUAAAUUACACACACCAAACUCCAAUAUUUUUCCAUCCACUAGAGCAAAGAUUUGGAAAAGUCUACGAUAGACUUUCUCUUUACAUGUGAAUAGGUUGAUCCUACAAUACAUCAUCUUUUUUUUCUUUUUAUAAUAUUUUGUGCUAUCAAUAUUCUAUUCUACCUAUUCUUUUCAAUGUUUUUUUAAUGUUAAUAUUUUGUUGUAUUUCAAUUGUAAUGCUUGUAACCCUCGAUAACCUAAAUGUUAUAUACUAACUCUUGAUAUUAGAACCACAUGAUCAUAUAUUAUUAUAUUAGCGUACAUGAAUUAAACUGUGAACAUCUAAUGUCCCACUUUAGAAUAUGUGUCUUUCGUUAACGUACAAGUAUGCAUGUUGUUAAGUUAAUAUAGUUUUUUUUUGUUACUUAUGUUUAUGUAUUUCAAUCAAAUAUUACAACGGUAUGCAUCGAAAUUAGAUAGAUGAGCACUAAACUUAUAAUCGGUGUCAUUAUGUGUUUGUUAUUGCAUCUUUAUUUUUCUUUUCCUUUUAUGUAACUCUGUAAGUAUUAAGAAAUCUACAUAAGUCAUGCAUAUGAAAUCUGUAGAUUUCAGAAAUCAGUUAAAAGUCUGUGAUUAAAAAAUCGAAUGGUUUUUAAGAAAUCAGUGAAAAGUCUAUGAACUUUUCAAAGAGUCUAUAGAACUUUUCAAAAAAGUCAAUUGAUUAAAAUAAGUCUGUAUGAAUCCAAAUACAAUACACCCUCUAAAAAUGAUAUAUUUUUUUUUUGAUCUGGCAUAUACCCGAAGGUAGAGGAGAGAUGAACAUCUGGAAUUGCAGAAAAAUAAAGAGAUAGAACAUAUGCAUUUGGGAUAGCAAAAAUGGAUAUAGAAUUUGGGUUUUCAAAGUUCAAAUUGAAAUAUUCGACCAAAAAAAAAAGUUCAAAUUGAAAUAUAGGUAUAUGAUAUUGAGGAGAAACUGAAUUGGGGAUUGAGGAGAUUUUUCUUGGUUCAAGUUGGAUUCUCAGAACUUACUGAUUCAAAUUUGCAGACUUGCAAUUGAGGUUGAGUUGCGGUGGUCAAGAGAGAGAAAAGAAAAAGAGAAUAUGAAGAUGAACAUCUAAAGGAUUCAAAUUUGCCCACUGCAGAGAGUAAAAGUUGCUGGGAAUUUUAUCUUGAUCUGGAACAGACCCGGAGGUAGAUGAGAGAUUUGGGAAGAUGAGAGAUUUGGGAGUUGCCGGCAAUGCAAAGUUGCAGGUUCUGGUGAUGGAGAGAAAUGAGGGGAGAGAGAGCAAUCAAUAUUAAUUGAUUAAUUAAUUUAAAAGCUAUUUUUUUAGAAAUGAAAAGUUACUGAUUUACUAACACUAACUAUAGUUAAGUUGUUUUCAUCAAAAAAAAAUUAUAGUUAAGUUGUUACACAUAUAGCAAGUUUUAAUUAGGUGGCUAUACUGUGACCAACUUAGUUGUGGUCGGCAAAUUUGAAUAUAGAAAAUUCUAGUAUACAGCGCGAUAUGAUAUACAGAUCCCACUAAAAGCCAAAAUAGCUGAUGUCAUCAAUAGCCUUUUCAAAAAAUGUAACCGGAGAACCUUCCCAACAAGUUUUACUUUUAGUAAAUAUAUUUUUCCUCUUAUCUCUUACCAUAUAAAAUUUUGACGGAGCGUAGUGGGUCUAUAUUUAUGAAUUUGUUUAUUUUGACAUUUUACAGUUGAAAUCUAUCCUCUAUACUCUAAGGUAAACAGUUAAUUUUUCAUUAUCAUAAUUUCGCUUCUUACUAGAACACAAUUGCUUUGCCAUCUGCAAAGAAACUAGAGAUGAAUUGCUAGAAGAACAGAAACAAUUGAUAAUCCUUAAAAAUUUUAGAUCAACACUUGAUAGAGAAGAUCCUAAUUAUUAGGAUAAUAUCUAUUUGGUUCAGAGAAAAAUCUAUAGAGUUCAAAAGAACAUUAAGGUUAUUAAAGAAAUUCUUGAAGUAUACCAAGAACUUUUAGAUUAUCUCAGAAUAGGGUAAGUUGGUCUCGAGCAGAUCACCUUGAACAUAUUUACACUUUGAGUAGAUUGAUUUAUUUCACCUCGAGCAGAUUUCACCUCGAAUAGAUUUCACCUCAAGCAGAUUAUCUCGAGCCAGAUUACUAGCAGAGUACUCUGAUAGAUUUACUGGUAUCAGAGCCUAGCCUUUAGCUGGUGCUCAAAAGAAAUCCCAAGAUGGGAACAGGAAUUGAACAAAUACUAGAAAAGCUUGAAUUUCUAGUACAACAAGUUGAUGCGAGGCAUCAAGAAUCUCUAGCAGAAGUGUCUAGACAUAUAGAAUAUCUAGAAGGAAUUCCAAAUAUAGUCUAUCAGCUGACUAAACUAGAAAGCAAAAUAGACUAUAUUCAAUCCCUUCCAGAAUAGAAAGAAGAACUACUGGCAAAAGUCAAUAGUAAGAUAGAAGAGCUUAACCAGCAACAGGUAAAAAUCUUAGAUUAUGUUCAAAACAUAGUUGGAGAACAUAAAAGGCUAAAAAAUGAGAGCCAAUCUAAGAUGAAUACCACAAAAACUCACGGAUUCAAAGCAUUGGAAGUUCCUCAAGGAAAUUCUUCACCAAGAACUUUCCUUUUUGAACUAACAAUGAGUCCAAGAGUUUUUGAAUCCUCAGAAACUCCAAAGCUUAAAGAUAUAAGAGAUAUGAAGAUGAUGAGCAUCUUUGGAAAGAAGAAAAGAGUACAACUGCUAAACUCCGAAGAAUUCGAAUACAAUGAAUUAGAAAGUAAUGUCAGGAAUUCAGCAAUUCCAAAAUUCGAAUUCAAUCAAAUUUAUAAAAGAGGAAAUUUUGAUUUGUUGGAUAGCCAUCAAUUCAAAAUUUUAGAGUUUACCACUCCAGGAACAACAGGAGAAACAGAUCUCCUCGUAGUAACACCUGAAGAGGUGGCUAAGGCUAGAAAAAGAAAUUAUAAAUUUAUGCACAUUGGAGCAGUCCAAGUAGGCAUAAAACUACUGACCAGAGAAGGAUUAAAUUGUUCAGUUCUAUGUGUUUUACAAGACAAUAGACUAAUAGAUUUUCAGAAAAGUUUGCUAGGAACUCUUCAAGCAUCUCUAUGCAAUCAAGUUGCAUACUUCAACUGCUUCCCAAACUUUUCAACAAGCUUGAAUGAUGCUGCUCACUGUUUAAGACUGAGAGUCAAAACAGAUGGCACAUCUAUGAAAGAAGGCAUUCCAGAACUUGCUAUAGUUUAUAGGAUUUACUAUAAACUAAUGAGUACAACGGUAGAGCCAAAAACCAGGCUAUCAAAUAUCUCUAGCCUUACUACUGGAUUCCUCACAAACCCAAGAAAUCAUUCAGAACAGAUUCAUAAGGUUACUUGGGAUGAGGUAACGUUUCCACUAGAGUGGAAAUUCUCUAGCCCUAAAGAAAAGCCAGAAAGUGCGAGGGCAGCUAUUUAUGAAAACAGGAGAACGGGAGACGUGAAUCUCAAGUUCGAAGGACAUAGGAGAAGUGAUGCAACCCUCGAAUGUCUAAGAAAUGACAACUCAAGAUUACUUAGGAGAUGCAACACUUCUAGAGAAGGAAGUACUUCUAGAGAUUUAAGUACUUCUAGAAGUACUAGAAUUAUAAUUAAUGAUGAAUCUAUUCCAGUAGUGGAAGAAGAUUUAGAAGAACUUCACAGAGAAGUAAACAUGCUAAAAUCAGAAGGACUUUAUGAGCUUUCUGAUGAAGCAGACAACUGUAAAGAUCCCGCUCAUCUAGAGCAACUGAUUGAAGAAAUAAAAAAUUUUAAUCUUGAAAAAAGAAGAAAAGUCGAAAAAAAAGUCUUUCCUUACCACGAUGUCAAAAUGAAAGAUGGAGAAAGCUCCUCAAGACAUCCACAGACUGCCAUUAUCAAAAUUGGUAGAGAUACAAAACCUCUUGAAAGAAAAGAGCCUACAGGAAAGAGAGAUGACAGAAACUCUCAAAGAUUUGUCCCAGAACUAAGCAUACCAAAAAUACCAAUAUCACAGCAUGGUAACUGGUUAGAUCUGGAAAAGGCUCUAGAUAAGAAGAAAGCCAUAGAUGACUGGGUCAAUGCAAUGUUUAUGGCAGCUUGUACAACUUAUGGAAAGUUUGAGGCACAAGACCUACAAACAGUCUAUCAAGCUACUCUUACAGGAAUGACAAAGAAAUUUUAUCUUGCUUGGAAAGAAACCCAAAGGGGUAGAGUAUGACUAGAAACCAUAAAAGAUGAUAAAUCUCCAACAACCUUUGCUACACCAAUCUAUAAGCAAUUUUGUGGAGAUAUAUCAUUUGUUGGUGAUAAAGCUAGAGAAACAGCCAGAACCAACAUAUAUGCUUUCAAGAUAUGCAACAUGGCUUAUUUUGAAGAAUAUUUGAAUGAGUUUCAAGAUUACUGCACCAUAGGAGAUAUGGAGAAUAUAGAUUUGAUAUAUCUUCUAUAUAGGAAACUCUCAAAGCCGUGGAGGACGGCUGUAAAAAAGAGCAUAGAUGUCAAACCUCUAGAAAGACUCUCAGUUGGUGGAGUAGCAAAAAGAAUUAGAGAGUUGAUGAGGGCACAGUGCAAAGCAAACAUAAGAGCUAAAGUUGCAAAGAAACAGCUUAAACGAGCUGAUAAUUUUUGUACUAAACUCCUAGAGGUUCCUUCCAAUUGGGGUUGUAAAGAACCAGAUCAACACAAAAGGAGGAGAAAAGAAAAGAAAUUUCACAAACGUUUCGGAGGAAACAAGAAGAGAAAUUGGAAUUUCAAGAAAAGUUCUAACUACAAAAGGGAGAAGCAUAAUCCUAAAAAGUGAUUUUUCAAAAAGAAAAAAUCAUCGCAUGGAAAAUCAACUUCUCAGGAGUCUGAAAAGAAGAAAACAUGCAGAUGUUGGUUAUGCAAAGUAGAAGGACAUUAUGCUAAUGAGUGUCCUAAGAAAUAAAAAAGAACUUCAAAAGCUCUUUUUAAAGAAUAUGAAGAGGUCAUGGAGAUGGCCAACAUGAAGGGAUUUGAAGUAGUUUACUCUGAGGAAGAAGACAACAUGUCUGUCUACUCAGCAUGGUCAGAAGAAGAUUCUUUAGAAGAAUCUGAAUAUGAUUCAGAAGAAGAUUGUAAACCUAGAGAGGUUUACCUUCUUGAAGUCAAAAACUGGGAAGAAAACACUACAGAAGAAAUAGUUUCUUCUUAUAGUGUAAAACCAGGAACAUUUACCUGUGAUUUUUGUUUGUCUUGAAAAGGAUGGUCUUCCCAUAUCAUGUGAAAAGUUAGGAAAAACUUAUCACAAAGAAUGCUUCAUAGCUGAAGCAAGAACGAAAACAAAAAAUAGUUCAAUAAGUCAGCUUGUUGAACAAGAAUAUGAAGAUUACUUUCUAUGAGAUAGAAGAAAGAAAAGAAAUAUUGAGAACAGAAAUUCAAAGAAUUAAACUUGAAAGAAUGGAAUUUGAUAAAACCUUAGAGGAGGUAAUAUCAUUCGAUACAACUUCAGACAGACCACCAUCAUUAAGUAAUGUCCACAAAAAUUGGCACAGUCAAUUCAUGAUGCUAAACUUGACGUUGAAAUCCACAUAAAUAGAACACAUUCCUUAAGCAUUGACAGAAUUUAUAUCUCUAGCCAUGCUACUUAUUCGGGUGCAACCACGACCCCAAGUGCAACAAUUAAAAGCACACGGCUUACUUUAGCCAUUCCACAAGAAUGAUUCUAAAUGCCAAAACCUUUGGACCCGACAAACCCACUUUUAUUUUUUUUUCUACCUCCAAUAAUAUAUUAAUCUGAUAGAAGAAUACAAACUGAAAAUCAGAUAUGCUCAAUUCUCCUACACCUCCCAGGCGCCACGACUUCCCACAAAAAAGACUCUUCGAUAACCGAGCUUGCAGCACCAAGUUAACCAUCGAAUAUAUUAAAUUUUUUUCCAUAAUAUGCCCACUACUACACAUUUUGGUUCACCAUCCAACGAAAACUAUAAAUUCAAGGAAGAAUCAAGACUCAUGGCCAAUCUUUGUGCAAGUUCCAGAAUAAAUAACUUAAAAUUCAUGAAAGUCAAGUCCCACAACUUCGAGCUCAAAAGCUCCACAAAUCACCGACGUCCACUAGAACCUGUUUCAAAAACGCACUAGAAACCAACAUUUAAUAGUGGUUUCAACUAAUCACCCUGACACCAACGGAUGAACACACCACCAAAUAGUGAAGACCUCCCAAAUUAAACUUGGAUCAAUAAGCGGUCCCUCCACAAUACGAUCCUGAGAAGAGACGUCGUUCAACCUAUCCAUACAUCUACCAUUCACCAUAUUAAAUCUCUUAAUAAACCUUGACUCGAAAUGCUUCUUGAGUCAACAGGGAAAAACCCUCUUCCAUAAGGCUACAACAUAUCUACAACGACACAAACCAUCUAAUCAACAUAACAACACGACUUCCAGUCUACUACAAAGAAUUUACGGCUCCAUGGUUCGUCGCUUAAUCGAACCCAGAUUCACUUAGGAACACCACUAAAUUUAUCAAUGAUCCAUGGCUACAACACAACAAUCAAUUCUUCAUUUGCCUCAAAAAAAAAAAAAAAAACUUUCGACAAAAUAACCAGAAUCUCUAUCCUUCAAAUCGAAGAAUUUGGAAUUCGCACUCUAUAAUUUCAAGCUCUGAGGAUGCUACCCAAAAACAAUAGUAGGAAUAAUUUAUAUAUUCCCACACACACCACAACCAAAACUUUGCUCCAUCUCACCGAAUUAGAAAUAAGGUGAGAACAAAUCCUCCCAUUGUUGUGUUGUAGUUAGUCACCCAUUGCGAACGAAGUGAUGUUAGCAAACAAACUUCGAUCUCAAAUUCAAAACUUACAUCACUACUCGAAACAAUGCAGCUUGAAAUUACUAUGGACACCCACGCACUCUUGCUCCAUAAUUCAGUGGGCUUUAUUCCACUGCUACCACUUCCACCAGCUCCACACAACUGCUAUAGAAUACCCAUGACAACACGUAAUAAAUUCACCAGGUGUUGUCGUAAAACUGGAGUGACCACAACCAUCCUGCUCUCACUCCACCAUUACUUUUCAAUUCCAUUUAAAUUUAUCAUCUUCCCAAACACUCAACAAAUCUGGAAACCACACUUCAACACCUAGAAUUCCGAAAGAAUCCAUAAUGGUCCCACGAUUAAAAUCAUACAACUAACAUCUCAUUCCACGACUCCAAAUUUGCUUGAAACUCAAAACAUUUAGUGCCACCACUCAAAUUCUAAAAUUUCCCGACUGUGGCACAACAACAAGUUGUCACAACGCACUGACCAAUGACUUUUGUAAAACCAACAACCCAAGGAAAAGCAACCCAAGUCAUUUCACUUAGUGCUUUAACAAACUUCAACUAACCCACAAUAGAGACCAAAAUCAUCAGAAAUCUUAUUAUUCAUCGACUACUAUUAUCCGUCAUAUCCAAAAGAUAUUACCACCACCAUCUUAAUAAAUUGCUCAAAAGAUAAAAACUUAUCCAUAAUUAGAGUUGUAGGAACCAGAAUAUGUGCUGACAUAACCAGCAUUAUCCCAAAAUGUUUCCAACUGCUUUCUGUUGCGGAUAAAAAUAGUCGGCAAAUUGGCCUUCAAUCAUGACUUAUCUAAAUUGACAUUUAGCUUUUUAUGUAGCAAUGCCUUACAACGCAAUCACUAGCCAAAAAUCCCACGUGACUAAAUCGCUCAAGCUUAAGGUCCGCAACAACUCAUAAAGGUACCUCCAAGAGUUACUAUAGGUACCCCACCAUAACACUUCAACUAACUUAAACAUCAAAAGAAUACACCACUACUUCGAACUUUCUUUCCAACUAUUUUCUCCCAUAAAUCACUUAACAUGAUGUCAAGAUUUUCUAUCGGACUACUACGACUGCUUACUUGCCCAUCAUAAAUAGAAAACUCCCAGGGCAUAAAUUCAAACAUUUCACUUACCACAGAUUCGCACAAAAUGCCCAACCUAGCAUCUUAAUCAUCAGCCAAACAAACAUUGAUCAAAAGAAAAGAAUGCUGCCACGCUUAUGAGUUCCCAACUCGCAAUUGAACUCUAACAAUUUAUGAUAUCAACUUGAUAACUCUUGGAAAAAGGCAUAAUCCAUACACUUUUUCAAUACUCAAAGCAUAAUGAUUUACUUAAGAGGUCGGUGUACGAAGGCAUAGUCUUAGAGAUGUAGGACAUUUAUGGCACACUACAGUCCAUAAAUAAAAUAAGAACAACUACAUCACAAACUUAAUCAACACAAAGUGUCUAAAGCAUAUAAUGCUAAUCGAUCCGCCGCGGUCGGACCAUCACUCUAUAGACACUAAGCAUGACCAAGAAUAUGAGGUAGUGCUAAAAAAAAGGGAAAAGAAUCGAAUAACCUAAUGCUCUGAUACUAACUGUCAGGACCCACCCCGAAUUUCACCCUGAAACCCGAAGUAAAUCUUGCGGGGACAACCUCUAUGGAAAGUUUACCGAAAAUUCGGCAUAACCUUCCUUCAAAAUGGACAACCCUUCCUAAUAAUACCUGAGAGGUGACAGGAGAAACAAUUUGCAAAGAAGAAACGUGCAAUCCUUUUACAGAGGUAAAAGAAGAUCUCCCACACCAAAAUAUACGUCAAGUAAAGACAGUCUCUACAAGCAGAUUCAGUAAUUAUAUGGAAAUUGGAUUAAAAUUUCCAAAAUACAAGAAAUAUCAUCUACAUGCAUUUAUAGAUAUUGGAUAUGGAUUCAGCUUAGCAAAGAAGUUUGCUAUACCAGAAAAAUAUUAGACAGAAGAUCCAAGAAAAAGUGUCGUUGGAAGAAUCAUAGAAGGAAGGCACAUUCUCAUGAAUACAAUUGCUAAGAAGGUUAAAAUCACCAUCAGAGGUGGAGAUUUUAUCAUUGAGGAACUUUGGCAAUCAGAAAAUCAAGAUGCUGAUAUACUGUUAGGAAAUGAGUUCAUCCUACAACAAACCUUCAUACAAAAGACACCCCUAAACCUAAAAGGUUUUGAAAAGGGCGAAAAAAUCUUCUGGACAAAGCGACUAAAACACUCUAGAAGCGUAGUUGGUCCCGGAUUCACAUCACAAUAUCAGAAGUCGUAGCAAAAUCAUGGUGAUCUUUAUAAGCCAAAAUUUGAAGAAAUCUUACAAUAUAAGCAGUACAGGCUGCAAGAAGAAGUACUUCAAAAUGAAGAAUUUUCAAAAGAAGAAGAAGAAGAAGACGAAGAAGAGAUCAAUGAAGAAAUCAGUUUCGUCCAAUAACAUAAUCUCAAAUAUUUUGAAACCAAGCUGGAGCAGCAGAAAAAGCAUACCCUUGGUGAAAUUAAGGAUAUGCUAAAACAAAACAUUAAUAUAAACCCAUUGAGGUUUAGGAAAAAGACUCAGUGGUCUGUGAAUUAAAACUUCAUGACAUGAAUGCCAUCUGUCAUGUAAAAGCAAUCCCUCAAUACAAAGAAGAAGAUCAGAAAUAAUUCAGAAAAGAUAUAGCUGAUCUCUUGGAAAAAGGGUUGAUAAGACCAUCAAACAGUCCUCAUCAUGCUCCUGCUUUCUAUGUCAGGAAUCAUGCUGAACAAGUAUGAGGUAAAGCAAGAAUGGUGAUUGAUUACAGAGAUGUUAACAAAAAGACUGUUAAGAAUGGCUAUCAAAUAGCACAGGCAAGAGUGCUGAUUAAUAGGCUCAAAGGAGCAAAAGUUUUCUUAAAAUUUGAUGCAAAAUCCGGAUUUUGGCAAGUUAAAAUGCACCCAGGUAGCAUCCCUCUUACUGCCUUCGGAACUCCACAAGGACAUUACGAAUGGUUAGUAAUGCCAUUUGGCUUGAAAUAAGCUCCAUCAAUUUUUCAAACAAAGAUGGAUAAUAUUUUCAAACAUGUGGCCGAUUUUUGUGUUGUCUAUAUUGAUGAUAUAUUGGUGUUCUCCAAAACCAAAGAAGACACUACCAGAAGAAAGACUUUAGCCGACGAAAAAAAAAAACCAGGCCGACGAAUCAAUUUUUCGUCGGCUAAAGCAGACUUUAGCCGACGAAAUUUUCCUUCGUCGGUUAAUUUUUAUUUUCGUCGGCUAUAGUCAACUUUAGCCGACGAAAUAAAAAAUUCGUCGGUUAAAGAAUUUAUUUUCGUCGGCUAAAAUCACAUUUCGUCGGCUAAAGAAUUUAUUUUUGUCGGCUAUAGCCGACGACUUUAAACAUUCUUUAGCCGACGAAAAUAAAUUUCGUCGGCUAAAGUUCUUUAUAUUCGCAGAUUUGGACAACAGCUCAUUUGAGAAAAAAAAACAGGAGAAGAAAAAACGGGAGAAAGAGUUUGGGUGUUGUUGAAAUCUGUCCAUAAUUAAGAAGUGGAGCUAUAUAUAGGUACGUACAUGUGUAUAUAUGUUGAUUUUGAGUUUUAUUUGAGUUUAUCGAUUUUGAGUGUGAUUGAAUUGAUAGAUUUUGAGUACGUUGGAUGUAUAUAUAUAUAUGUGUGUUGAUCGAUUUGGUUGAUGAUUUGAUAAUAUAUAUGAAGUUGUUGUUAAUAAGUAGUAGAUAUAUAUAUAUAUAUGUUAAUUAAUUUAUAAUAUUGUGUUGAUGAUGAUUUUGUGAUGAUGUUGAUAUAUAUAAAUUGUUAUGUAAUUCUUAAUUAAGUAUAUCUAUAUAUAUAUGUGUGUUAAUUAAUUUGUUAUCAAUUAGUUGUAGUACGUAGAAUAUAUAUAUAUAAAUGAAUUGAAAUUUUAUAUAUGGUAUAGAAUUUAAUUAAUAAUUAGCUAGCGUUAUACAUAUAUAUUUUGUUAUAUUUUCAGGAUCGGAUAUGGAUAAGAGUUGGAUUUCGCUUCCAAAAUAGGACAAAAGAUAUGGUAAAGGAAUUAUGAGUUUUCUGGAAUAUGCGCUGGCUAAUGCUAACGGGAAUACAAUUUUCUAUUGCCCGUGCAUGAAAUGUCAAUGUCGCAACGAUAUGCAUCGAUUUGCGAUUGACAAAGUAUGGCAGCACCUGAAGAGUAACGGGUUUUGGGAGAAGUACACAUGUUGGUUAUAUCACGGUGAAAUAUCAUCUGGGGGUCCGCAUGAUCAUGGCCAAUUUUCUGAGACGGGCAGUACAUCCAACGAUCCAACAACGGUCUUCAUCAACGACAUGUUUCCUUAUGAGAGCGGUGUAUGCACUCAAGGACAGUAUAUGCUUGACCCGGUGCAGCCAUUCCCUAGAGCUGUCAACACUGCUGGUAUUGACAAGUACAACAAACUGCUUGCUUUCCAACAGACCCUUGUAUACCCCGGUUGUCAGAAGACCAUUCUUGAAAGUGUGAUAGACGUAAUGAAGAUUAAAGUUGAGACAAAAUCGACUGUGAAAGCUGUUAAUGAUUAUCUACAGUACACUAUUUCGAUGCUGCCUCACGGUCAUCGUCUUCCUACCACUCAUCAUAAGGUCCGAUGUAUCCUGAAAGAUCUUGGGCUUUCCUACAUCAAGAUCCAUGCAUGUAGAUAUGACUGCGUUCUCUUUUGGGGUAAAGAUCCAGAAGGGAAUGACCUUGGUGGCCUUGACGCAUGUCCGGUAUGUCACACUGACAGGUAUAAGCUGACUCCUGCAGGCAACAGGAAACCUGUAAAGGUACUUCGGUAUUUCCCUUUGAGGGAUAGGUUGGAGCGGUUGUACAUGUCUUCACACACGGCCGAAGCUAUGAGAUGGCAUGCUGAUAGGGAAUUGCAUGACUAAGAUACCCUUAUACACCCUGCUGACAGGGAGGCUUGGAAGCAUAUAGACAGGGAGUUUCCUCAUUUUGCGUCAGAGGUCCGAAAUGUGAGGCUCGAGCUCUCAUCCGACGGGUUCAACCUUUUUGGCAACAUGAGUCUUCAAUAUACUGUAUGGUCGGUGAUUUUGGUACCGUACAACCUUCCUCCAUGGAUGUGCAUGAAGAAGGAAUACAAUAUGUUAAGUUUGUUGAUUCCGGGGCCCAGUUAUCCAGGAAAGUGUCUCGAUGUGUAUUUGAGACCUUUGAUUGAAGAGCUUAAAUUUUUGUGGGACGUUGGUCAUCCCACUUAUGACAAGUACAUGCACAAGAUGUUCCAGAUGCAUGUCAUGGUUGUUGGUACCAUCAAUGAUUUUCCUGCCCGUGGGAUGUUGUCGGGCAACGUUGUUAGGGGAUACAGGGCUUGUCCAGAGUGCCUUAGCGAUGAGGGGAGCAGCAGUCAUUGCAACAAGAUAUGCAAAUUGGGUCACCGUACUCUCCUUCCAUAUGAUCACGAAUGGCGGCUCGAUGCACAGGCAUUUGAUGGGAUCAUAGAAAACGGUGUGCCUCCCAGAAAAUAGGCAUUUGAUGGGAUCAUAGAAAACUGUGUGCCUCCCAGAAAAUGGACGGGGGAAGAAAUUUUAGCAGUGCUUAAUGAGUACGAUUUUGGGCAGCUCAACAAUCAUCCCAACAUUGUGGCGGCAAUACCUGAAAGACCCGACAGGUACAAAUUCGGGUUUUUUUAAUUUACUGGAAUGGACUUAUAGCCGACGAAAAACGCCUUAAUUCGUCGGCUAAAGUUUUUUUUUUUUUUUUAAAAUAAAUUUUAGCCGACGAAAUACGCUUUAAUUCGUCGGCUAAAUCCCUAUAAAGCCGACAAAAUAAACUAUUUUCGUCAGCUUUAGUUAUUUUUUAUUUUUUUAUUACAAACUUUAGCCAACGAAUAUUUUAAAUUGUUCGUCGGCUAAAGUUGGAGAAAAAACCGACGACAUGUCUUUCAUCGGCUAAACUCUAGGACUAUAGCCGACGAAUACCUUAAAUAUUUCGUCGGCUAAAGUCUGGGAAGAUAACCGACGACAUUUUUUUCGUCGGCUAAACUCUGGUCUAUAGCCGACGACUUCUACAUGUGUUGUCGGCUAAAGUCACCACAGACGACAUUUUCCCAACGAAAUCUUAACCGACGAAUUAAGCUGACAAGCCGACGAAAAUUUUUCGUCGGCUAAAGUGCUUGUCCUGGUAGUGAGAACACAUGAAACAUUUAUAUGAGGUAGUUAAGCUGAUAGUUCAGCAUGGAAUUAUCCUAGGAGAAAAGAAAGUCUUUUUAGUCCUAGAUGAGAUUGAUUUUUUAGGAUUAAACAUAAAAAAUGGAGUCAUCAAGCUCCAACCUCAUAUCCUGGAGGAAAUCUGGAAAUUCCCAGAUAAAAUUCCAUAUACCAAAAGUCUACAGAGAUUUUUAGGUGUCAUAAAUUAUGGAAGAGAUUUCCUUCCUAAAAUUGUUGGAUUAACAGCAAUGUUGUCUCCAAAAACAAGUUCUAAGAGAACUUGGAAAUCACAGAAGAUGAUGAAAAGAUUGUCAGGCAAAUUAAAAACCUACGUAAAAAUUUGCCACCAUUUCAUCAACCUGAAGAAAAUGAUGAGAUCAUUCUUCAAAUAGAUGCUAGUGACAAUUUUUGGUUUGGUGUUGUUCUCGCAAGAACUCCAGGCACCAACACAGAAAAAAUCUUAAAGUUUUGUAAUGGCAAGUUCAGCCCUACAGAGCAGAAUUAUCCCACAGGGGAAAAGGAAAUUCUUGCGGUAAAGAAAACAAUUGAAAAUUCUCUCACCUUUUUAGGAAAACCAUUUAUUGUGCGCACAGAUUGCGCAAGAGUUAAGAAUUUUAAAAAUUUCAAGCUUGAUAGGGCUGUUGAUAGGGGUAGAUUAGCAAACUGGCAAUUAUUUUUUAAUGAAUAUGAUUAUAAUGUGGAAUUAAUUGCAGGUAAAAAAAAUUAUCUUCAUGACGCCUUAAUUAGAGAAUUGGCAAUGUCCAGCAGAAGUGAAGGAAGCGACGAAAGUCGUAAUCCUAGAAACAGAAGACCAGGAAAAGAACUAGAACAACCAGAAGAAAUCAAAAGAGUUCUUAAGAGUUUCUUGUUGUGUCCUAAAAGACCAGGCACAACUGAUCAAUCCCAAGGUAAAGGAUUGGCUAGCCCGUCUUAAACGGCAGACGGUAAAGGCUUAACAAGACCGUUGAUGGCUGCUGCUUUGCCAAAAAGCAGACUUACUCCUAAGAGAGUCCUAAAUGUUCAUGGUUACCAAUUAAAUACUUUCCUGAACCAAUUUUUCGUUGUGGCAAAAAAUUAGUUUUCUACCAGAAAGCCUUGCUCGAUAAUUUAAUGUUUGCUUUUCAGGAAAAUGAUUUAGGACUCAUGAUACAAUCGCUUCAAGCUCUGUCAGAAGAAUUGCAUGAAGCGCACCAAGGGAAUAAACAACAGAGUGUUGUCCCAGUGAAUUUUUUCAAGGUAAAAUACCUUGAAGGUCCAGAAAGUGCUAGAGUUCCUGUUCUAGCGUUGAAAGAAUCAGAGUGGUUUAAAUUUCAUGAUAGCAUUGGAAUUCUUGUGACCGAGUCCUGCCAGAAACACUUUUUACUGUCCCAGGACCAUAUCCAGGAAGAUAUGUUGUGAAUGUUAAGAGUAAACAUCCUCAAGAACAUAAGCUUUGGCUAGUUGAAAAUGGCUUUGUUCAUAAUAUGUGGACAAAAUCAAAUGAUGAUCUAUAAGGAUUGCCAGCCAUUAUUGUCAAUACAGUUAAGAAUGUUAGAAAGUCAAACUUCAUUCUCAGGCUUAAGUUUAGAUCCACACCUCCUGAGUGGGUGCAGAAGAAAAAUGGAGAAACAGAAUACAUAUCUCCAUACCACUAUGUAAGAAUUAUCCAAGGGCAAUACUUAGAGCCUGCUUGUCAGGGAUACAAUGGGUAACCUAACUCUAGUAUCCCAUGGAAGAAAGCCAUGUCCCUAGAAUAUAUCAAGAAAAUCAUCGAGGAUGAUCAAGAGAAUACUUAUCUUGUAUUUGGAGAAAAAAUAAUUGUUACCGCCUAUGACCAUCCUGAGGUCGUUAGCAGUGAUUUAUUUUUAUCUCUCAAGAAAAGAGAAAUUGAUUCCACCUUAGUAUGUGCUCAGUGGAUUGAAAAGAUUGAAAAUGACAAGCACUACAAGGUGUAUGAAGAUACCGACAUGGAAGAAAAUGAAAGAAAUGCAAGAAGCAGAUAUGAAGAUCCUGUAUUGGGCAAUAAUUCUGAAGAUUUCGAAGACAUGUGAUCUUUUUCUUAUCAAGAAGGAAUCUGCUUUAGUUAGUGAAUGAAUAAUGGAGCUGCCAGCUAGUGGAAGACUAUUAAAAUGCCAGCUAAUGGCAGAAUAAUGGAGCUGUCUUUUACUGUUUUUAAGUUGCAUUUCAAUUCCAAUUUGAGUUCCGCUGCCUAUAUAAGGAACCUUAAGUCUUAGUGUAGAGAGAUCAAAAAAUUGAGCAGAAUCAUUUUCUCUCAAAAAGUAAGAAAGUCUUAGCAAUGUGUUCUUUCUAGUUCGAGUGAGUGUGAAGUGUGGUGUGCAGUGUGCCUUUUAUUCCAAGUAAGUGUUUGUAAUCCUAAGUUAUGAGUAACUAAAAAGUGAGGCUCUGGGUUUCAAUCUGUAUUUAUGCUUGGAUAAAUAAAUUCUACUUGGUGCCCAAUAUCCCGUCGCAAAAAUAUUUUUUAUUAUUCUGUUAUAUUUCUGCAUUUUCCCUGUUAAGUUAAUAUUAUCUCUGCAUUUUAAUUAAAACCAUUUCUAUUUAGACAGCAGUGAUUCCGCCAUAUUUAGUAACCAGGUCGACCAUAGGUCUUUAGGUGAAUUUUUGGCAUGUUGAAUGCUAGUUCUUUCUAGGAGUGUUUUUAGUUAUUUACAAGUAAUAGUAACCUUGUAGUAAAAAAACCUGUUGUACAAAUUUCUAUUAGGUCAUCUUUUGCCACUUGUUAUACAUAUAUUAUAAAAUAAUAGAAAAGCAGUCUGCAUCCCAUGCAGCGCUGCACUAUAAACAUACCCAUUUAUAUAAAGUAAACCAUGCUGUCAUGAGACAAUGGAUUAGCUUCAGUGACGGAGGAUAGUUAUAGGGUCUCUGGGCUACAGCCCAGAUAGUUUUAAUUGAUUUUAAUAGUUAGGCUUAUAACUCAGCUGAUGAACAUGUAAAAAAUAUAAAUGUUAUGCUUUGUAGCCCACCCAAUUCCCAUAAAUUGUAUUUAGCUACAUAACUAAUUAACCAGAAAAAUGAAAAAUAAAAUAAAAUCUAGUGGAAUUCAUAAUAGUUUAUAGUUUUGAAUUAGGUAAUUUUCUUUUUCUUGUUACACUUCUCAUUACAAACCUUUUUUUCUUUCCUUUUUUUCAUGUAUGAAGGAUAUAAAUUCACUAUUUAAUCUACUUUUAUUUAUUAUCAUAUUUUUAUCAUAUAAAAGAAAAUUUUAACCCAGCCUAAAUUGAAAUCUUGGCUCCGUCCCUGAUUAGCUUAUUAGCGCUUCUAACUUAGUAAAGUACGAAAUGAAUGAAUAAGAGACGAUGUCUAACUUUGCGACCUGGUUUAUAAAAUUAGUGAUCUCAUUGAUAUGACCUGUUCAAACUAAACAUACCAUUCCCCACCAAGGCCCCAAGACACCCAAUGCAGGACAAAGAAAAGCGUCUACAAUUAUCUAAUCUUUUAUAAACCAUGCGUUGCCAGAUGAUGAUUGAACCAGACCAAAGAUAACAACACAAAAUACUACUUAUUAUGAAUUGUUGAAAGACAAGAGGAGAAAAAAAUGCAGUCACCUUGCCUGAAAGAGGUCACAGAAGUAUGCAUCAGCGGCUGCUGCUCCUCCUGCUCCUCCCCCUUAUUCAAGUCUACAGCGUCUCACCACACCACCUCAAAGUCUGAAAGAACUUCUUCGGCUUGCCAUCGUGACUUUGCAGCCAAAACUUCAUCAUUUAUCUUCCCAAACACCCAGUUCACCAACCAUGAGUCUAUUCCAUCCUUGCAGAAGUCCUUCUCUGACUUCACCAAGGCUUAUCCCAGAUACUAUGAGACAGCAGAAGUGGACCAAAUACGAGCUCAGGAGUACUACCAUCUCUCACAAUCCAAUCACACCUGCCUUGAUUAUAUAGGCAUCGGUCUAUUCUCCUCUUUCCAGCUGCACAAACAGGAAUCAUCAAAACAAAUGGUACCCUCUUCAUCCACUUCUCUAUUGCCAUCACCUCCAAAAAAUUCAGAUUACCCUUUCUUUAGUAUAUCCUACAAGACUGGGAAUCUCAAGAUGGAGCUUCUUCAUGGCGGCCAUGAAUCAGAGCUGGAAUCUGCAAUGAGAAGAAGAAUCAUGAGUUUUCUUAACAUUUCAGAAAACGAUUACAGCAUGGUUUUCACUGCCAACAGAACUUCAGCUUUCAAACUUGUUGCAGAAUCUUACCCGUACAAAACUAGUAGAAAGCUUCUGUCAGUUUAUGACUAUGAGAGUGAGGCAGUGGAAUCAAUGAUUAACAGCUCGGAAAAGAGAGGCGCCCAAGUCAUGUCAGCUGAGUUUUCAUGGCCAAGGCUGAGGAUUCAGUCGGAAAAAUUGAGGAAGAUGAUAGGAAGUAAGAAGAAGAAAAAGAAAAGAGGGCUUUUUGUCUUCCCAGUACAUUCCAGAGUUACAGGUUCUAGAUAUCCUUACAUAUGGAUGACUAUAGCACAGGAGAAUGGGUGGCAUGUCUUAGUUGAUGUUUGUGCCUUAGGACCAAAGGAUAUGGACAGCUUUGGCCUCUCUCUUUUUCAACCAGAUUUCCUCAUUUCUUCUUUCUACAAGGUGUAUGGGGAAAACCCAUCUGGCUUUGCAUGCCUCUUUGUCAAGAAAUCUGCUAUUGCGGUCCUGGAAGCAUCUAUGAGUACAGGAAUUGUAAACCUUGUCCCAGCACAUGAAUUUCUUCAAACAGGAGGGGAGUCCUCUGGUACCGACAUAGAAGUUGAAGAGAUAUCUAAAUUUCGUUUGCAACAAGAUAUAUUGGAUAUAUCACGUUCUUUCUCUGGUCUGAUAACAAAACACAGUCGGCAGGGAACACCUGCGAAGAGAUUAGAACAAGGAGAACUCUCUGACAGUGCAGAAGAAGGUGCAUACUCAGAAGAACUGGAAAUUUCAGGAGAAUCCGAAAGGCUUGCCAAGAGUAGCAAAAAUGGGAAUCAAGAGGUUGUAUGCAGGAGCUUGGAUCAAGUGGAUUCGCUGGGGCUAACACUGAUCACUAACAGGGCAAGGUACCUGAUCAAUUGGUUGGUAAGUUCAUUGAGAAAGCUUAAGCAUCCUAACUCAGAGGGAGUUCCUUUGGUCAAAAUAUACGGACCAAAGAUCAAAUAUGACAGGGGACCAGCUCUUGCAUUCAAUAUAUUUGACUGGAAGGGAGAAAAAUUUGAGCCUGUUCUUGUCCAGAAACUUGCCGAUAGAAACAACAUUUCUCUUAGCUACGGAUUCUUACACCAUAUCUGGUUCUCAGAUAAGUAUGCUGAAGAGAAAGGAAGAGUCCUAGAGAGAAGAGAUAAUGGAGCAAAGGAAAUGGCUGCAAACAAGUUAAAGACAAAAUCUGGUCCAGGAAUAAGUGUGGUUACAGCUGCACUUGGGUUCCUAACAAAUUUUGAAGACACAUACAGGCUUUGGGCUUUUGUUGCACAGUUCCUAGACGCAGAUUUUGUGGAGAAGGAGAGAUGGAGAUAUACAGCUCUUAAUCAGAAAACAAUCGAAGUAUAAACCAUAUAUGUUUAUUCUAUUUGAUAGAAAACUAUACAUUUUUUGCACACAUGUUCUGUACAUUUAGGAUUUAAAAUCAAAGGAAAACAGAUGUACCGCCAUUCAUUAUUUCAAAGAAAUCUCAAACAGUUCAUGAUGUUUGCUGUGUAGUCAUAUAUUGUGUUAGCUAAAUGUCAUUUUUGCACAAAUUUAUGUUAACGACUUCUUUUCAUAUUCUCAAAUAGAGGGGGAAAACAAAGUGUCUUUUUUUUUUUUGUAACAGGGGCAAAACAAAGUGUCCAGAGAGAGGAGAUUCACUUGAUGCUCAGAAAAACUCGCUUUGUUCUAAAGGGAGUAUUCUGAGUUAGAGCCAUCCAAGUGAUCGAACACCCCAAUCCCAAUAUAUGACAGUUGAUGAAAAANNNNNNNNNNNNNNNNNNNNNNNNNNNNNNNNNNNNNNNNNNNNNNNNNNNNNNNNNNNNNNNNNNNNNNNNNNNNNNNNNNNNNNNNNNNNNNNNNNNNNNNNNNNNNNNNNNNNNNNNNNNNNNNNNNNNNNNNNNNNNNNNNNNNNNNNNNNNNNNNNNNNNNNNNNNNNNNNNNNNNNNNNNNNNNNNNNNNNNNNNNNNNNNNNNNNNNNNNNNNNNNNNNNNNNNNNNNNNNNNNNNNNNNNNNNNNNNNNNNNNNNNNNNNNNNNNNNNNNNNNNNNNNNNNNNNNNNNNNNNNNNNNNNNNNNNNNNNNNNNNNNNNNNNNNNNNNNNNNNNNNNNNNNNNNNNNNNNNNNNNNNNNNNNNNNNNNNNNNNNNNNNNNNNNNNNNNNNNNNNNNNNNNNNNNNNNNNNNNNNNNNNNNNNNNNNNNNNNNNNNNNNNNNNNNNNNNNNNNNNNNNNNNNNNNNNNNNNNNNNNNNNNNNNNNNNNNNNNNNNNNNNNNNNNNNNNNNNNNNNNNNNNNNNNNNNNNNNNNNNNNNNNNNNNNNNNNNNNNNNNNNNNNNNNNNNNNNNNNNNNNNNNNNNNNNNNNNNNNNNNNNNNNNNNNNNNNNNNNNNNNNNNNNNNNNNNNNNNNNNNNNNNNNNNNNNNNNNNNNNNNNNNNNNNNNNNNNNNNNNNNNNNNNNNNNNNNNNNNNNNNNNNNNNNNNNNNNNNNNNNNNNNNNNNNNNNNNNNNNNNNNNNNNNNNNNNNNNNNNNNNNNNNNNNNNNNNNNNNNNNNNNNNNNNNNNNNNNNNNNNNNNNNNNNNNNNNNNNNNNNNNNNNNNNNNNNNNNNNNNNNNNNNNNNNNNNNNNNNNNNNNNNNNNNNNNNNNNNNNNNNNNNNNNNNNNNNNNNNNNNNNNNNNNNNNNNNNNNNNNNNNNNNNNNNNNNNNNNNNNNNNNNNNNNNNNNNNNNNNNNNNNNNNNNNNNNNNNNNNNNNNNNNNNNNNNNNNNNNNNNNNNNNNNNNNNNNNNNNNNNNNNNNNNNNNNNNNNNNNNNNNNNNNNNNNNNNNNNNNNNNNNNNNNNNNNNNNNNNNNNNNNNNNNNNNNNNNNNNNNNNNNNNNNNNNNNNNNNNNNUUUUCAUGAGAAAUGUCUACCAUUUGGAUGAGCAAAAAUCACAAAAAAGUAGACUUUCUGACAAAAUUGUUCUUGAGAUUGAAUCAAUAAUUGAAAGUGAAAGUUGCAAAGUUUACAUUUAAUAUAAAACACAACUACUAUUUUCAUGAGAAAUGUCUACCAUUUAGAUAAGAAAAAUCACAUAAAUGUAGACUAUCUGGAAAUAAAAAUGGUUCUUAAGAUUAAAUCAAUUAUUGAAGGUGAAAGUUGCAAAGUCUACAUUUAACAUAAGACACAACUACUCUUUUCAAGAGAAAUGUCUACCAUUUAGAUGAGCAAAAUCACAAAAAAGUAGACUUUCUAGAAAUCAAAAUUGUUCUUGAGAUUGAAUCAANNNNNNNNNNNNNNNNNNNNNNNNNNNNNNNNNNNNNNNNNNNNNNNNNNNNNNNNNNNNNNNNNNNNNNNNNNNNNNNNNNNNNNNNNNNNNNNNNNNNNNNNNNNNNNNNNNNNNNNNNNNNNNNNNNNNNNNNNNNNNNNNNNNNNNNNNNNNNNNNNNNNNNNNNNNNNNNNNNNNNNNNNNNNNNNNNNNNNNNNNNNNNNNNNNNNNNNNNNNNNNNNNNNNNNNNNNNNNNNNNNNNNNNNNNNNNNNNNNNNNNNNNNNNNNNNNNNNNNNNNNNNNNNNNNNNNNNNNNNNNNNNNNNNNNNNNNNNNNNNNNNNNNNNNNNNNNNNNNNNNNNNNNNNNNNNNNNNNNNNNNNNNNNNNNNNNNNNNNNNNNNNNNNNNNNNNNNNNNNNNNNNNNNNNNNNNNNNNNNNNNNNNNNNNNNNNNNNNNNNNNNNNNNNNNNNNNNNNNNNNNNNNNNNNNNNNNNNNNNNNNNNNNNNNNNNNNNNNNNNNNNNNNNNNNNNNNNNNNNNNNNNNNNNNNNNNNNNNAUCACAUCAGACGGUCAAUUUUUAUUUUGUGAUUUUUAGUCAUCGAAAUCAUAACGUGCCUACUAAUGUAGUAUAACUUGUUUAGUAGGUUAUAUGCUAGUGUACAACUUUGUGAACCAACUAUAUACAUGAAGCAAAAUUUUCAAAAAUCUCGUGAAAUAGGAUGUGAUCGGUAUAGUAAAAUACGGCUACGGUAGGAAAAUCACUUUAAUUUGCCAAUGUUUGGGCCCCGAUCGAAGCGGUCAACCUUAUUUACGCUUAUGCUUCAAUAAGGAGAGCCCUAUCCUCAGGUGGUAAACGUCCCCAAAGUUUUACAUGGGUGGUUAUGUCUCAUCUAUGUGAGACUUUAUUGUGUUGAAGAAUCGACCAAACUAGGUCAUAAAGAGGUAUGUAAGAUAGUUUUUGUGUAAUAAAUAAAGAUGAAUUAGGGUUGACCACUUUGAUCGAGCCCCGAACAUUGUUGAAUCCAGUUGAAUUUUAUACCAUAACCUUGUUUCACUAUAAUGAUCAUAUCAGACGGUCAAUUUUCAUUUUGUGAAUUUUCAUUGAUUCAAUCUCAAGAACAAUUUUGGUUUCCAGACUGUCUACUAUUUUGUAAUUUUACUCAUCUAAAUGGUAGAUAUUUCUCAUGAAAAUAGUAGUUGUGUCUUAUGUUAAAUGUAGACUUUGCAACUUUUGCCUUUAAUGGGUUUAAUAUCAAGAACUAUUUUGAUUUCCAAAAAGUCUACUUUUUUGUGAUUUUGCUUAUCUAAAUGUUGGACAUUUCUCAUGAAAAUAGUAGUUGUGUCUUAUAUUAAAUAUAAACUUUGCAACUUUCCCCUUCAAGUAUUGAUUCAAUCUCAAGAACAAUUUUGAUUUCCAGAAAAUCUACUAUUUUGUGAUUUUGCUUAUCUAAAUGGUAGACAUUUUUAGUAAUUGUGUCUUAUGUUAAAUGUAGACUUGCAAAUUUUACAUUUGGUUGGUUCAAUCUUAAGAACUAUUUUUAUUUCUAGAAAGUCUACAUUUAUGUGAUUUUUCUCAUCUAAAUGAUAGAUAUUUCUCAUAAAAAUAGUAGUUGUGUCUUAUGUUAAUUGUAGACUUUGCAACUUUCACCUUCCAUUAUUGAUUCAAUCUCAAGAACAAUUUUGAUUUCCAGAAAGUCUAAUUUUUUGUGAUUUUGCUCAUCCAAAUGGUAGACAUUUCUCAUGAAAAUAAUAGUUGUGUUUUAUGUUAAAUGUAGACUUUGCAACUUUCAUCUUCAAUUAUUAAUUCAAUCUUUAGAACAAUUUUGAUUUCCAGAAAGUCUACUUUUCUUUGAUUUCGCUUAUGUUAAUGGUAGACACUUCUAAUGAAAAUCGUAGAUGUGUGUUAUGUUAAAUGUAGACUUUCCAUCUUUCAUCUUGGGUAGAUUCAAUUUCAAGAACAAUUUUGAUUUCCAGAAAGUCUACUUUCUUUGAUUUCUCUUAUGUUAACAGUAGACAUUUCUAAUAAAAAAGUAGAUAUGUGUUAUGUUAAAUGUAGACAUUGCAUCUUUUACCUUGGGUUGAUACAGUCUCAAGAACAAUUUUGAUUUCCAGAAAAUCUAUGUUUCUUUGAUUUCUCUUAUGUUAAUGGUAGAUAUUUAUUAUGAAAAGAGUAGAUGUGUCUUAUGUUAAAUGUAGACUUUGCAAUUUUGCCUUCGGUUGAUUCAAUCUCAAGAAUAAUUUUGAUUUCUAGAAAAUCUACUUUUCUUUGAUUUCUCUUAUGUUAACGGUAGACAUUUCUUAUGAAAAUAGUAGACGUGUCUUAUGUUAAAUGUCGACUUUGCAUCUUUUACCUUGGGGUUGAUUCAAUUUUAAGAACAAUUUUGAUUUCUAAAAAGUCUACUUUGAUUUGAUUUGGCUUAUAUUAACGGUAGACAUUUCUAAUGAAAAUAGUAGACGUGUCUUAUGUUAAAUGUAGACUUUGCAUUUUUUACCUUGGGGUUGAUUCAAUCUUUAGAAUAAUUUUGAUUUUCAAAAAGUCUACUUUGCUUCGAUUUGGCUUAUGUUAAUGGUAGAUAUUUCUAAUGAAAAUAGUAGAUGUGUAUUAUGUUAAAUGUAGACUUUGCAACUUUUACCUUCGGUUGAUUCAAUCUCAAGAACAAUUUGAUUUUGCUUAUGUUAAUUGUUGAUAUUUCUAAUGAAAAUAGUAUAUAUGUCUUAUGUUAAAUGUAGACUUUGCAUCUUUUACCUUGGGUUGAUUCAGUCUCAAGAACAAUUUUGAUUUCCAGCUUAUCUCUACUUUUCUUUGAUUUCUCUUAUGUUACUAGUAGACAUUUCUUAUGAAAAAAGUAGUUGUGUCUUAUGUUAAAUGUAGACUUUGCAUCUUUUACCUUGGGUUGCUUCAAUCUCAAGAACAAUUUUGAUUUCCAGAAAGUCUAUUUUUCUUUCAUUUCGCUUAUGUUAAUGGUAAAGAUUCUAAUGAAAAUAGUAGAUGUGUCUUAUGUUAAAUGUUGACUUAGAAAUUUUAGCUUCGGUUUGUUCAACCUCAUUCACAAUUUUGAUUUCUAGAAAGUCUACUUUUCUUUGAUUUCGCUUAUGUUAAUGGUAGAGAUUUAUAAUGUCAGGACCCACCCCGAAUUUCACCUUGAAACCCAAGGUAAAUCCUGCGGGGUCUACCUUCAAGGAAAAUUUACCGAAAAUUCGGCAUAACCAUCCUUGAAAAUGGACAACCUUUUCCUGAAAAAUCCAACUUAACACUUCUAUAAUCAAACAUUCAUCCUCAUCUCCUGGAGCCUUCCUGCUCCCCAAGUUCAUCAAAACUCCCAAUAAUAAUUUCUCAUCUAAUAAAAUUCCACAACCAACAACAAAGACAUUUAAUAAGCUACUACUGGACUUUCAGAGCAUAUCUAAUGAUGAAUGAAAACAAUGAAAACGAAUAAGCGGAAGCAGCCUCUGACUAUGCCUCGACUCCAUGUACGCUCGUCCUCAAAUAACUUAGCCUGCAAACUGGGCAUUUAUAAACCAAAGGGCCCAGGGGAAAGUAAUUUAAAAACGUUAGAGUGAGUAGAAGAAAAUAAAUUCAAUAACUUAACAAUUAUAAAACUUAUAUACUUUCCCACUUUUCAACUUUUAAAACUUAACAGCAUGCAACUUAAACGUCCUUAAAACUUUAAAUCUAAAAUCACUUAAUAAAGGACAAACCAGCCCCGCUGGUUAAUCAAAUAUAUUAUUGAGAAGAAUAAAAUAGGGGAAGAGUUAUCACCAUGAAAAAGGAGCCUCCUAGGCUCAGGUUGAUGCCUCCCAGGCUAUAAUAGCGUCCUACGCUAAGCGCUCAACUCACAUAUGAUGAGGACCACUAUAUAAGGCUAUAAUAGCGUCCCACGCUAAGUGCUCAACUCACAUAUGAUGAGGACCGCAAAUAAGGGUAGCUAACUAAUAAAUAUAAAUACCGAUCGGUUGCCUCCCAGAUUAUAAUAGCGUCCCACGCUAAGCGCUCUACUCACAUAUGAAGAAGACCGCUAAUAAGGCUAUAAUAGCGACUCACAUAUGAUGAAGACCGCCAAUAAGGUUAGCUAGCAAUAAUCAAGAUAAACGACCCAAUAAUAUGGUGACUAAAACAUACGAAGUCACUUAAAUCCAUUAAACUUCCCCCAAGACCAAACGAAUGGUACGGUUCCCAACCGUACAUGAAAAUCAUCAGAAGAAAUCAGAACACAACUCAAUGACGUGUCUCACACGUCAAAAUAUUCUUCAAUUUAUAAAUAUAAGCGAGAUUUCAAUAACAAAUAUGAAUCAUAAAUAAUAGUAUCUUCGCUCGAAAAUACUCGCUAAAAUAUUCUCCAAGUCAAAAUCAUUAUGCCUCAAAUGAACAAUUAAAUUAUGAGAACAACUACCGACAAUCCCAUUUUCGGUAAUCAUUUAUAAAACUCAAAGUCAAGAUCGAUAUUCCACCAAUAAUUUCGAGAAUUAAAAAUAGGAAACUACCGAAAAUCCAAUUUUCGGAAAUCUUAUAUAAAUCUCAAAAUCCACCAUUAAAACCAUUUAAUGAAAUCCGGAAUUUAUAAAAAUAUCCAAACUCAAAUAUCAAAAUAAUAAUCCGCGCUCAACUCCAUAAAUCAUGACCAACACUUAAUAAAUGCACCAAACUCAAAUAAUUUUCAAGCUCAUCUCAUGAACUGAAAAAUUAUAUUAUAUGCUCGGAAAAUAAAAUGAUAGAUUAUAAAAUCUUGCAUGCAUAUUUAUUUUUAAAACCAAAAUGUCCACUCACAAAUUUAGGCAUGAGCCCGACGAUAACCGCAUCGCCACUCAAGCGAGGUUCCCUUCGCAUCUUGGCACAACAACCAUGCUUAUAACCAAACUUCAAUUCCAGAAAAUAAAUACGUGAAUUAAAAUAUUUAACUCUCCUCCGUUUAACCCUCUACUCUUAAUAGGGUUAAACUCGCCGGAUUCACACCAAACUCCACCACAACCUUAAUUCAUCAAUUCUAAUAUUCUAUAAUAAAUACCAAGGAAAUCCAACGGUCGGAUUUUCAUUCUAAUAACCGGCAUUUUCUCCAAUCUCUGAAAAAUUUCAAACCUAACCAAAAACUCAUCCAAAAAUUNNNNNNNNNNNNNNNNNNNNNNNNNNNNNNNNNNNNNNNNNNNNNNNNNNNNNNNNNNNNNNNNNNNNNNNNNNNNNNNNNNNNNNNNNNNNNNNNNNNNNNNNNNNNNNNNNNNNNNNNNNNNNNNNNNNNNNNNNNNNNNNNNNNNNNNNNNNNNNNNNNNNNNNNNNCUUGACCCGGUCCAAACUUAAAACACCCACAAAAUAAAGCCUACAAGAAUUUACCUUUUUUACCAAUAUAGUCAUUUUCGUUUUUAGACCAUAACUUCUUCAUACGAACUCCGUUUUAAGCGUGCCGCGUGUCCACAAACUCUGUUUAACGUCCUCUACAACUUUCAUGAAGAAAGUUUUCCCAAAUUCCAAACGGAAGAAAAAGUCAACUUUAGGAUCCUUAAGUAGUAAACGGUUACUCAACACGGAAAAAGACCAAAAUAACACCAAAGUAAAUAGCCGUAAAAUAACUUAAAAACCGGGGUGUGACAUAUAAUGAAAAUAGUAGAUGUGUCUUAUGUUAAAUGUAGAGUUACAAAUUUUACCUUGGGUUGAUUCAAUCUCAAGAACAAUUUUGAUUUCUAGAAAGUCUACUUUUCUAAUGAAAAUAGUAGAUGUGUCUUAUGUUAAAUGUGACUUUCGACUUGUAACAUUUUCUGUGAUAUUUUUCGUAACAGUAGUAGAUGUUUCUUAUGAUAGUUGUAGACAGUCUCAAGAAUCAUUUUGAUUUCCAGAAAGUCUACUUUUGUGUGAUUUUGCUCAUCUGAAUGGUAGAUAUUUCUAAUGAAAACUGUAGAUAUAGAGAGACUUAACGGAGAGUUAACGGUGUUAGUUUGCUUUAACCUGUUAUAACAAGUCAAAACUGGUUGGGUAUCCAUACCUUAAGGCACACAAGUGGCACCCAACAAACAAUUUGAAUUAUGUUCUAGGAUAUUCUGUAUCUUUCUAGAUAUUCUUUAUGUGUGCCUUGGCCUUAUGCCAAUAGGAUAUGUAGUUUGACUAGAUCUAUGUAUUCUUAUCCUUACCAUAUUGGUAUUGUGUAAUUCCUUAUAUAAAGCCUCUUAUCAAUGAAUAAUACACACAUCUUUCACGAUUCUCUAUUCUGAAAUAUCUCUCACUUCAUUAUGUUAUCAUGCACAUUGUUCUAACCCUAGAGCCAAUAGGCCACAAUUUGUUUUCUAAACCCUAAAAACAAUUUUUUUUUCUUUUCAAACCAAAAGUUCCCGGCCCUGCCUCGGUCCCUACACUGUCGUUGCUCCCAACCCGUCGCUUCCCAGCCGUCAGCUCCGCCUUCUUUUCUGGUUUCGCCGAUCAAGCUUUAGAUCAAGAAAUCCGAGUAGUUUGAAGAAAUUUUACGGUAUGUUUUAAAUCCUAAACUCUUCAAAGUUCAAUAAGGGGAGAUAAAGUGUUUUCUCCCUUUCUCCAUCUCCAUUCUAUGGUUGGGAUUUUGUGCGUGCAGGUACCAAAACCCCAGAAUUUUAUUCGCGGGUCAAGAGUAUGUUUGAUCACUCUUGCUUCCUUGUUCGGGUUCUAUAUGAUCAACCUCGACCUUUCUCCGGAUUGUGUUUGAUCAAUCCGAGCCCUUUGUCGAAUUGUGUUUGAUCAAUUAGCGGCUUUUCCGUAUUAUGUAUGAUCAAUCCGAAGGACAAACCAUUAAAAGCAUUGUUUGUGACCUCUAUCGAGUCUCAUAACAGCUUGGUUUUGUAUGCAAGAGCAACGUAACAUUCUGCUCCUUUAAGUUUUGACGUACUCGAUACCUAAGGCGAAUCUUUGCUUGGUAGCUGUGGAACCUUUCAUUGGAAAAGAUUAAACCACAUGUUUGACCCCCAGGCUAACAAGCCUAGAUGCCGAGAUUUCACAUCUCAUGCGCUCAAACUCUUUGACACGCCACAUCGACAAAAGCCUUCAAUGGCAAUCUGUACAAAAAGUAAUGACCACAAAGUACUGUGGAAUUGACACGACCCACCUCGAAUUUCACCCUGAAACCCGGAGUAAGUGGUGCGGGGACCACCUCCAAGAAAGAUAUUACCGAAAAAUCGGCAUAACCUCCCUUGAAAAUGGACAACCCUUCUUAAAGAAAACCUGCAAACACUUCCAAAAAUUUUAAUCCAACCUUAACUCCUGGAGCCUACGUGCUCCCCAAAUACAACUACCACCAACAACACAACAUUAUCCAAACAUCAAAUAUAAUUAUCCAAAAGAUAACAUAAAUCCUCCAACAAAUAUUCUAAGACGUCAACAAGUCUUCACCCACAACCGAAAUAAUACACAUUAAACCCAAGUAUUCAGAGCUACUAACACUAGCGGAAAAAGAAACCACAGGUAGGUUAAAUAGGUAACCUACUGAUGAAAAGUGGUGGAAAUGCGGGUGACUAUGCCUCGUCUCCUACUAGGUCCAACCCGAACUCUGCAGACUGGGCAUUUUAAAACGAAGGGCCUAGGGGAAACAUUUGAACACGUUAGAGUGAGUGGACAAAAAUAAAAUAAAUGAAAUAAUUCUUUAUGCUUUCCCAAUUUUAUUUUUCCAUAGAAAAAUAUGCUGCAUGCGACAGCUCAAAACACUCAACACGAAAACUGGAAAUUUCAUGACUAGCUCCGGCCAGUCUCUAACGCUCAAUAAAAUACAGCCUCUCAGGCUAAAAUAAAAUAUGUAUGUAUUACACUCGUCAUAUCCCUUGUAUGAAUUUUCUUGAAACAACAAAAACAAAUAGAAAAUUCACACAAGGCUACGACGCUUGCGUCUAACGCUCACGUCGCACCAUAAUGGCAUUUUACCUCAUUAUGGUGGAAAGACGGUGUAUAAAUAUACGCGCAUAUCCCCUAUAUAAAUUAUUAUUUUUAUAUAGGGCUACGAUGAUUGCGUCUAACGCUCACGUCGCACCAAAAUGGAAUUUUACCUCAGUAUGGUGGAAAAGCACGUAUAGCUAGCUAGCAUUCUCUCAUAUACAUAUUAUUCUCAUAAUCAUCCACAUAUGGAUAUAUAUAUAUAUAUAUACUCACCGAAAUUUUCAAUUUCGGUUAUUCUCCAACAACAUAAAUUAUUUCGCAUGCACAUUAUUUAAAACAAAAGUCCACUCACAAAUUAGGCCUAAGCCUGAUGUCGAUCUGGGGCCUCGUCAGCUCGAGCCUCCUCACGACCUGUUCCAAAUAUAAUAUUAAGUUCCCAAUUAACAAUCCAAUAAUUAAUCAAAAUAGGCAAAAUUACCCGAGAGCCAUAAACACGCUCAUCAUUACCUAACUUCGAUAUUCUUGAAUCGGAACGAUCCGAACUUAAAUAUCAUCCUCGACAGUCGUAAAUAUAACCUCCCAAAAAUACGACUUAAAUCUUACGGCCGGAUUCUACAUUAAUUAACCGCCAAAAAUACCAAACUUCGGAAAUUCACAAACCUAUCCAAAUCUCAUCCAAAAAUUCCAUAAAUCACCUCAAUAUAAUCCCCUUAAUAUUCCACAUUUAAAACCCUAAAAAUCUCCCAAACCGGCAGCGGCUCCGCAGGCAGCGGCGGUCGGAGGCUAAAAUCAGCGACCUCCAAUUCCUAUGAAAUUUUAACAGCAUCUUACUCUCAUCAUGCUCUACAACUUUCCUAACUAGCACAAACCCAAAAUCCAAGCCUAGCUAUGCCAAUCGAACAAAAACAUCAAAAACGCCCUAGAGCUUCCACCUCAAAUUUCUCCUUACCUGAAGCAAACCGGAGUGAGUCCUUUUAGGGCAAGGCAGCUGGGUUGGAGACCUACAAAACCAUACCAAGCUUGCCCGGAUUGGUGGCCCGAGGAGGGAAUUCCGGCGAAAAGCUUCCCGGCGUCUCCGGCGAGUUUUCUCUUCUUCCAGCGGGCUAACGGCUCGGGGGCUAGGUCGGGGAGGGAGAGGAGGAGAUCGGGGUCCGAACUGGGGUGGAGCGGCGGCCGGUGGCUGGCCGGACGGCGGCAGACGGCGGCUGGACGAUCCGGCGGGGAGGAAGACUCGGGGGGGGGGCGCUGAAGGGAAAAACGGGAGAGAAGGGAGGGAAAAGGGUUGGGCCUCUCCAACCGGUCCACUCCCCAUUAUACCCAACUCCCACAAAAAUAAAACACCCCGAAAAAUAAUACCCGAAUAAAAAUUACCUUUUACUAGCUAAAAUUUACUAUUUUUACCGUCGUCGUAUUUUCCUCAUACGAAUAAUCCUCCGCACAUAAUCGUCCCCGAAACCCCUCUAGGGACCAAUUAAACUAUUAACUAAAUGAUCGAGACGGUAAAAUUCUUAUUAUAAUCAUGCUAGUAAAUAAGGUAAAAAUAUAAGGGUCGGGAUGUGACAGGAAUGUACUCUACUUGUUGACACGACCCACCCCGAAUUUCACCCUGAAACCCGGAGUAAGUCGUGCGGGGACCACCUCUAAGGAAAAUUUACUGAAAAGAUUAAGAAAAUCUCCCUUGCAGAUGGACAACCCUAACUCGAAAAUUCCAAAUUACACUCUUAAUUCAACACGUCCAAACAUCACAUAAUUAUCCUUCAGAAAUUCUACGCAUAAUAUACAAUAAUCCCAAAGUAUUCAGAGCUACUAAACACUAGCGGAAGCAAGAAAACACGAGUAGGUUGAACAGGUAACCUACUGACGAAAACUGGCAGAAAUGCGGGUGACUAUGCCUCGCCUCCUACUAGAUCCAACCCGAACUCUGCAGACUGGGCAAUUUAAAACGAAGGGCCCAGGGGAAAACAUUUAAUAACGUUAGAGUGAGUGGACAAAAAUAAAAUAAUAAAUAAAAUAUUUAUGUUUCCCCAAAUUAAUUUCUAAGGAAAAAUCGAAUGCAUGCCGCAAGCGAUAAAACUUUUAUCUCAUAAAAUAUUGAGCCUCUCAGACUCUAUAAUAUAUGUAUGUAUUUACACUCGUCCAUACUCCCUAUAUAAAUUCAUGGGUCUAUAUAGGGCUACUACGCUCGCGUCCAACGCUCACGUCACGCCUUAAUGCGGUGCUACACUACGCCAUCAAGGUGGACAGACGGGUGUAUAAAUAUGUGUCCAUACCCCUAUAUGAAUUAAACACACAAAUAGGGCUACUACGCUCACGUCCAACGCUCACGUCACACCAUAAUGCGGCUAUAUGCUACGCCAUUAAGGUGGACAGACACAUAUGGCUAGCUAACAUUUAUAUACAUACUCUCUCAUAAAUACAUAUUUAUAUCCACCGAAAAUCCCAUUUUCGGUAACUCUCCAAGAGAAAUAAAAAUCGUCAAAUUAAAAUGACAUUAAAAUAUUCUGCAACAUUAAUUGUUCAACCAUGAACUAUAGCAUGCAUUUAUAUAAAAUAAAUGUCCACUCACAAAUUAGGCCUAAGCCUGAUGUCGAUCUGGGGCCUCGUCUGCUCGAGCCUCCUCACGUCCUGUUCCAAAUAUAAUAUUAAUUUCCCAACCAAUAAUCCAAUAUUUAAUCAAAAUAGGCAAAAUUACCCGAGAGCCAUAAAUACGCUCAUCAUUGCCUAACUUCAAUAUUCUUAAAUCGGAACGAUCCGAACUUAAAUAUCAUCCUCAACAGUCGUAAAUACAACCUCCCCAAAAUACGACUUAAAUCCUACGGCCGGAUUUUACAUUAAUUAACCGCCAAAAAUACUAAACUUCGGAAAUUCACAAACCUAUCCAAAUCUCCUCCAAAAAUUCCAUAAAUCACAUCAAUAUACUCCUCUUAAUAUUCCACACUUAAUACCCUAAAAAUCUCUUAACCGGCGGCGGCGCCGCCGGCGGCUCCGCCGGCAGCGGCGGCCGGAGUCCAAUUCCGGCCACCUCCAAAACCUAUGAAAUUUUGACAGAAUAAUCUCCUCAUCAUGCUCUACAACUUUCUUAACCAGUACAUUACCCAAUUCCAAGCCUAACUAGGCUAAUCGAACGAAAACAUCCUAAAAGCCCUAGAAAAUUCAACUCCACAUUUCUCCUUACCUAGCUCAAGAGGGAGUGAGCUGAUUGGAGGGGUUGCUGCACGGGAGGAGGGCUACAAAACGAGCCAGGGAUCGCCGGUUUUGGUGGCCAGAGGAGGGAGUUCCGACGGCCGGAAGUUCGGGGCAGCCUAGCCUUUCGGGCGGCACCGCUCUCUCACGGCGGCGCUAGGGGGGCUGUCACCGGUCCUGGAAGAUAGCUGGGUCGGAGGGCAACCGAACGGGACCGGAGCGGCGGCAGAUGGUGGCCGGACGGCGGCGUACGGACGGCGAGAAGUUUCCAGCGGGGGAGAGGCUCGGGAGGAAAACGGGAAGAAGAGAGGAAGAAAAAGAAAAAGUGAGGGUUGGGUUUGGGCCUGACCAACCAGGUCCAUCACCUAUAUAACAACCCAAUUCCAAAAAUAAAACACCCCGAAAAAUAACACCCGAAUAAAAAUUACCUUUUACUAGCUAAAAUUUACCAUUUUUACCGUCGUCGAAAUUUUCUUUUACGAAUAAUCCUCCGCACAUAAUCGUCCCCGAAACCCUUCUAGGGACCAAUUAAAUUAUUAACUCAAUGACGGAGACGGUAAAAUUCUUAUUAUAAUCAGGCUAGUAAAUAAGGUAAAAAUAUAAGGGUCGGGAUGUGACAAUUCUCCCCUCCUUAUAAAAAUUUCGUCCUCGAAAUUUACAUACCUGUCAUUCGAAGAGAUAGGGAUAUUGCUGCAUCAUUUGCUCCUCCGAUUCCAAAGUAGCUUCUUUUACUUGAUGACUUCUCCAAAGCACCUUGACAAGUGGGAUUGUCUUAUUCCUAAGCACUUGCUCCUUUCGGUCGAGAAUCUGAACCGGUUCCUCUUCAUAGGUCAAAUCUCUCAUCAAACUGAUCGGCUGCUCUUGCAGCACAUGAGAAGGAUCGGCAAUAUACUUGCAAAGCAUGGAUACAUGAAACACAUUAUGUAUCCUAGCUAACUCUGGAGGCAAAAGUAGCCGGUAAGCAAGUGAGCCAACUCGCUCAAUAAUCUCAUAAGGGCCAAUAUACCUCGGACUGAGCUUCCCACGCUUACCGAAACGCACAACCCCUUUCCAAGGAGAUAAUUUCAGGAACACCUAAUCACCCACUUGAAAUUCAAGAUCUCUCCUACGGACAUCCGCAUAACUCUUCUGCCUACUUUGAGCAGUCUUGAGUCUAUCUCUAACCACUUUAAUCUUCUCAUUCGUACAUNNNNNNNNNNNNNNNNNNNNNNNNNNNNNNNNNNNNNNNNNNNNNNNNNNNNNNNNNNNNNNNNNNNNNNNNNNNNNNNNNNNNNNNNNNNNNNNNNNNNNNNNNNNNNNNNNNNNNNNNNNNNNNNNNNNNNNNNNNNNNNNNNNNNNNNNNNNNNNNNNNNNNNNNNNNNNNNNNNNNNNNNNNNNNNNNNNNNNNNNNNNNNNNNNNNNNNNNNNNNNNNNNNNNNNNNNNNNNNNNNNNNNNNNNNNNNNNNNNNNNNNNNNNNNNNNNNNNNNNNNNNNNNNNNNNNNNNNNNNNNNNNNNNNNNNNNNNNNNNNNNNNNNNNNNNNNNNNNNNNNNNNNNNNNNNNNNNNNNNNNNNNNNNNNNNNNNNNNNNNNNNNNNNNNNNNNNNNNNNNNNNNNNNNNNNNNNNNNNNNNNNNNNNNNNNNNNNNNNNNNNNNNNNNNNNNNNNNNNNNNNNNNNNNNNNNNNNNNNNNNNNNNNNNNNNNNNNNNNNNNNNNNNNNNNNNNNNNNNNNNNNNNNNNNNNNNNNNNNNNNNNNNNNNNNNNNNNNNNNNNNNNNNNNNNNNNNNNNNNNNNNNNNNNNNNNNNNNNNNNNNNNNNNNNNNNNNNNNNNNNNNNNNNNNNNNNNNNNNNNNNNNNNNNNNNNNNNNNNNNNNNNNNNNNNNNNNNNNNNNNNNNNNNNNNNNNNNNNNNNNNNNUUUUAUCCCAACUCCCUCUGAACUGCAUGGCACAAGCCCUCAACAUAUCCUCCAAAGUCUGAAUAGUCCUCUCGGACUGCCCAUCAGUCUGAGGAUGAAAAGCAGUGCUGAAGAGUAAUUGGGUACCUAAAGCUGCCUGAAGAGCUCCCCAGAAUUUAGAAGCAAAUCGAGGAUCCCGAUCUGACACUAUUGAUUCAGGAACACCAUGAAGCCUCACAAUUUCAUUCACAUAAAGCUCCGCCAAUGUAUCCAAUUUAUACUUUUUCCCACUGGCAAGAAAUGUGCAGAUUUGGUGAGUCUAUCCACAAUCACCCAAAUACCGUCAUGCCCUUCACGGGUAUGAGGUAAACUAAAAACAAAAUCCAUGUUGAUGUGGUCCCACUUCCACACUGGAAUAGGCAACGGCUCAAGCAACCCAGAAGGCUUCUGCCUUUCAGCCUUGACUUGUUGAAAAAUCAGACAUCUACUCACAUAAGCUGCAAUUUCCCUCUUCAUGUUUGGCCACCAAUAAUAAUCCUUCAAAAUCCGAUACAUUUUUGUGCUACCCGGAUGAGCAGCAUAUGCAGAGCUAUGAGCUUCCUCCAUAAUCUCACUUCAACUCUUCAUUUCUUUUUGGAACACAUAGCCGGUUCUUAAACAAUAGAGUCCCAUCUCUUCUAACUGAAAAAAAGAUCGGCUGCGGCUCCAUUCGAAGCUCUUUCCAUCAAUCGAACUAUGGAAGGAUCAUUAUACUGUGCUUCCCGCACUCUAUCAACCAAAACUGGCCUCACAUGAAAACUGGCUAUCAAAGCACCUACCUCAUCCACUGAUAAAUCCACUCCUGUAGCUCGCAACUCACAAAGAAGCGGAACAUGAACCAUCUUUAUAUGAGAUAAAGAUAUGGAGGGAUUUCGAUUAAGAGCAUCAGCUACCACAUUAGUUUUUCCAAGAUGAUACUCAAUAGUGCAAUCAUAAUCAUUGAUUAACUCCAUCCACCUUCUUUGUCUCAUAUUAAGCUCUCUUUGAGUGAACACAUACCGAAGACUCUUGUGAUCGGUAAAUAUCUGACACUUGGCUCCAUAAAGAUAGUGUCUCCACAACUUGAGAGCAAAAACUACCGCUGCAAGCUCCAGAUCAUGAGUAGGAUAAUUCCCCUCAUGCGGCUUCAAUUGCCUAGAAGCGUAGGCAAUUACUCGAUCAUGCUGCAUCAAAACUCCACCUAGACCACGUCUAUAAGCAUCACAAAAAACCACAUACUCUCCACUAUCAUCCGGAAGUGCCAAAACAGGAGCACUUGUUAAGCAAUUCUUCAAUUCUUGGAAACUUUGCUCACAUUGAUCUGACCAUUCAAACUUAACCCCCUUCCUGGUCAAUCUUGUGAGAGGAGCAGCAAUAUAUGAAAAAUCUUUCACAAAGCGCCGAUAAUAACCUGCUAAUCCCAAAAAACUACGAAUCUCCGUCACAGUGGUGGGUCUUCUCCAAUUCGACACUGCUUCCACCUUUUGGGGAUCCACACUAACUCCUUCUGCGGAAAUCACAUGACCCAAGAAUCCCACUUUAUCUAGCCAAAACUCACACUUGCUAAACUUAGCAAAUAACUGCGACUUUUCCAAAGUCCGCAAUAUUAUUCUUAGAUGCUUGGCAUGCUCCUUCUCACUUCUUGAGUAAACCAAUAUGUCAUCUAUGAAUACGAUCACGAAACGAUUAAGGUAUGGACUAAACACCCUAUUCAUGAGAUCCGUGAACGCCGCGGGUGCAUUAAUAAGUCCAAAUGGCAUCACGACAAACUCAUAAUGACCAUAUCGUGACCGAAAAGCAGUCUUGGCUAUGUCCCCCUCUCGGAUCCGCAACUGAUGAUAACCCGAUCUCAAAUCAAUCUUAGAGAAAACAGAGGCACCCCUCAACUGAUCAAACAAAUCAUCGAUCCGAGGCAACGGAUAUAUAUUCUUCACUGUGACCUGAUUCAACUUCCUAUAAUCAAUGCAUAGUCUCAUGGUGCCCUCUUUCUUCUUAUCAAACAACACCGGAGCACCCCAUGGAGACAUGCUAGGCCGAAUAAAACCCUUAUCUACCAACUCCUGCAAUUGAGUCUUCAACUCUUUCAAUUCCGCUGGAGCCAUUCUGUAAGGCGCCUGAGAGAUAGGCAUAGUUCCGGGAAGUAAUUCUAUAGAGAAGUCUAUCUCCCUUGCAGGAGGCAAACCAGGCAACUCCUCAGGAAAAACAUUCGGAAACUCUCCUACUUCUGGAAUAUCUUCUAAUCCCACAACUCCCAUACUUGUAUCCACCACAUGAGCUAAAAAUGCCUGACAGCCUUUACUCAACAAUUUCCUUGCAGCAACAGCGGAAAUUAUGCAACUAGAAAUAACAUCUCUUUCCCCUUGGAAAGCAACCUCAAAACCAUCUCGACUUCGAAGCACCACUACUUUUUGAAAACAAUCUACCAUAGCUCUAUAUGCUUCCAAAAAGUCCAUUCCCAAGAUCACAUCAAACUCCACUAUAUCUAAAGGAAUUAAAUCAGCCUCGAAAUUAACUCCUUCCACUAAAACUUCACAGCCACUAAAUACCCAAUUUAUUCUCAUCACCUCACCGGAGGGUAGAGACACAUGCCACUCGCCUGGAAGAGACGAUGAUGGUACAUUGGCAUGGAGGGCAAAUCUACUAGACAUGAAUGAAUGCGUGGCUCCGGGAUCAAUUAAAGUAAAACCAGGCUGACCAAAAAUUAAUAACGUACCAAUGAUGACAUCUGGAGAAGUACGACCCUCCUGCUGGGUCAUAGCAUGCAGUCUAGCGUGAGUCAUGGGACGUCCACGCUGACCACUUCCCCGCUGAGAGCCACCUCUAACCGAAACACUGCCCUGGGCACCACUACUAGAGCCUCCAGCUGAAGACUGACCAACUGGCUGAGUAGGGGUGGGAGUGGUCCUCUGAGCCAACAAUGGGCAAUCUCUCCUGAAGUGGUCCUGACCACCACACUCAAAGCACCCAGAAAACUGCUGCUGCUACCCAUAUGAAAAAGUCUGGCUACCGGAUGACCCACCAUGGAAACUGCCACCCGAACCAUACUGCCCAGACUGCUGCCUACCCAACUUACUCCUAGUAGGUCUCCUGUGACGUCCUCUAACCCUGAACCGAGAAUUAGAACCUGAUCCCCCACUACUGCCACUACCAGCUGAUGAACCUGAAGCGGAUGAUGAAGCAGCUUUCUUGGAUGGACCCUGACUGGGGCCACCGAAAUCUCAUGGCCGAGCACUAUAAAUCCCCAUAGACUCAAUGGCCAUGGCUGCAUGAACAGCGUCAGAGAAAGUCGGGUAAUAAACACCCGUCAUUUUAUCUGCAAACACUCCACCAAGUGCCCCAAUGAACAUCUUCAUCCUGGUCCUCUCAUCAGGAACCAGAUAUGACACAUGAUAGCUCAGGGAAGUGAAUCUCUCCUGGAACUCUAUAACACCCUCAUCAUCCCUCUUCUUCAUAUUCAGGAAAUCCGACUGAAUUCUGCUGCGGUGGGCAGGACUGAAAUAUUGCCCCAAGAAAAGCGUCUUAAACUGCUCCCACGACAUAUUCAGAGCAUCCUCAACAUUCCUGCUAGCGAGCGACCACUAGUGAUGUCGCUGAAUCAUCCAGGAAAGUCACUGCCAUCUUCUUCAUAUUCAGGAAAUCCGACUGAAUUCUGCUGCGGUGGGCAGGACUGAAAUACUGUCCCAAGAAAAGCGUCUUAAACUGCUCCCACGACAUAUUCAGAGCAUCCUCAACAUUCCUGCUAGCGAGCGACCACUAGUGAUGUGCUGAAUCAUCCAGGAAAGUCACUGCCAUCUUCACCUUCCUUUCUUCUGGCAAAUCUGUGCUCGCAAAAGCCUUUUUCAUUUUGUCCACCCAAGUAUAAGCAUCAAGGGGUCCCAUGGCACCCUUGAACUCUCUUGCUCCAGCCUCAUAAACUUCUCUCCUCUUCACUGCAUGAGGGUGUGGAGCUCGAUCUAUGACAUCCCUCAGCAUAUUUCCAAUAUCAUCAACCAGUCCCCUGACCUCAUUGCCCUCAUCGGCAUUGGUCGAAGUAGCCACACGGGGUUGCCGUGGGCGCCUAGGAGGCAUAGUACCUGAGGAAGAAGAAAUUUAGUAGUCCAUAAACAAGACUAACACAACAAUCACAUAUACCCAAUAACACAUAGCAUCAAAAGCAUAAAAUGCCAAUGAAUCCGCCGCGGUCGGAUCAUCACUCUAUAGACACUACGUGCUACUUAGGCAAAUAUGAUAGUGACAAGGAAGCCGGAAAAGGAAACCUAUAGCUCUGAUACCAACUGACACGACCCACCCCGAAUUUCACCCUGAAACCCGGAGUAAGUCUUGCGGGGACCACCUCCAAGAAAAAUUUACUGAAAAGAUUAAGAAAAUCUCCCUUGUAGAUGGACAACCCUAACUCGAAAAUUCCAAAUUGCCUAACUUCGAUAUUCUUAAAUCGGAACGAUCCGAACUUAAAUAUCAUACUUAACAGUCGUAAAUACAACCUCCCCAAAAUACGACUUAAAUCCUACGGCCGGAUUCUACAUUAAUUAACCGCCAAAAAUACCAAACUUCGGAAAUUCACAAACCUAUCCAAAUCUCAUCCAAAAAUUCCAUAAAUCACAUCAAUAUACUCCUCUUAAUAUUCCACACUUAAUACCCUAAAAAUCUCUUAACCGGCGGCGGCGCCGCCAGCGGCUCCGCGGGCAACGGCGGCCGGAGGCCAAUUCCGGCGACCUCCAAAACCUAUGAAAUUUUGACAGAAUAAUCUCCUCAUCAUGCUCUACAACUUUCUUAACGAGCACAUUACCCAAUUCCAAGCCUAACUAGGCUAAUCGAACGAAGACAUCCUAAAAGCCCUAGAAAAUUCAACUCCACAUUUCUCCUUACUUAGCUCAAGAGGGAGUGAGCUGAUUGGAGGGGUUGCUGCACGGGAGGAGGGCUACAAAAACGAGCCAAGGAUCGCUGGUUUUGGUGGCCGGGGGAGGGAGUUCCGACGGCCGGAAGUUCGGGGCAGCCUUGCCUUUCGGGCGGCACCGCUCUCUCACGGCGGCGCUAGGGUGGCUGUCACCGGUCCUGGAAGAUAGCUGGGUCGAAGGGCAACCGAACGGGACCGGAGCGGCGGCAGAUGGUGGCCGGACGGCGGCGUACGGACGGCGAGAAGUUUCCGACGGAGGAGAGGCUCGGGAGGAAACCGGGAAGAAGAGAGGAAGAAAAAGAAACAGUGAGGGCUGGGUUUGGGCCUGACCAACCCGGUCCAUCACCUAUAUAACAACCCAAUUCCAAAAAUAAAACACCCCGAAAAAUAACACCCGAAUAAAAAUUACCUUUUACUAGCUAAAAUUUACCAUUUUUACCGUCGUCGAAAUUUUCUCUUACGAAUAAUCCUCCGCACAUAAACGUCCCCGAAACCCUUCUAGGGACCAAUUAAACUAUUAACUCAAUGACGGAGACGGUAAAAUUCUUAUUAUAAUCAGGCUAGUAAAUAAGGUAAAAAUAUAAGGGUCGGGAUGUGACACUUGUUGAGUUAUUAGUCAUGUGGAUUGCUUACCACCUUAAUUGACUACAUAUUGUCGAUGAACUUUUAUGGCAUCAUGAUCCAUAAUUUUUAGCGGAUUCGAUCAUCAUCAAGUUCUCUAGGUCCUCCAAGUUGGUUUGGAAUUACCAACGGGACUUGAUUUUUAUCAUACAAUUGCAAACAGGAAUUGUAUAUACGCUAAUGUGAUAAACAUAUUUGACAUUAUCCCCUAAUAUGGGGACAACAAUAUGGGUCAUGUCAACGGCAUAAAAUGCCAUGCCGAUGUCUAGAAAAGAGGGGGAGGUGUCGCCGGCCCUAAUGGCGACACUCCCGGUCUAGACAUCAAUCUGUCAAAACUACUCACGUCCGCUUAUGACAAUGCAACCAUUGUGGAUCUCCGGAUCGUUGGUUGAAGAGUUAUCGAGCUAUCCUUCAAAUUGUUAAUGCAUACAAAAGGGUACAGAAAAUCAAUAUGAGGAGAAGAACGUCAUCCUCAUGAUCGCGGAUUUCAAAGAUUCGGAUCCUGCUCUAGCUACCCAUGACUUUGACGUCAUUGGCUAGACAUUGAUUUUCUUUCCAAGCUAUAUGUAAUACAGCGUCGUAUCGACGUCCUUCGUCUAUUUGAGACCUCGAUGUACUCACAUUAGCAAUAAUGAAUGCCUUGAGAAUUUUUUUUUCGAAGUGAAACUAUUCUCCUCUUAUGGUUCGUAUUGAUUUACAAAAAAUAUAUACAUUCUUACAUCGUCCUUAGAAACAUGGCAUAUUGUGCCAUUUUGGUCCCUUCCUUUGAAGGUGACUCAUGGCACCGCAUCCUCAAGGAGGAUCGCCCACGUGUUUCCGGUUGAGUCUUCUACCCUAUAGCGGAUUUUCCAUCAUCAAUUGUUCAACUAGGCUCAUCUAAGUUCAGUGUGAUGUCUUAGAAUUGUCCGAAAUUAAGAAGAUAGUGGUUUAAGUGUGCCUCGCACUACCGACCCUCUACGGACAAGCCUGGUCAUACUGAUUUGGAGUUACCGAAAGCUUUUGAUUUUGGAUCCCCGUACGCUAUUAAACCAAUUGUCGUCUUGCAAAAGAUGUUGAAGACUUAUCAAAACCGGACAAUCAUCAUCAUGAUCGAAUCCUCUAGGUCUUCUGAGUUAGUUUAUGUUCAUGUCAAGGAGCUUUUGCUAACUAGUCAUGGAGUUUACGACCUUGGAACGACUGAAAGGACUUGAUUUUGAUCAUGCACACAUCACUUUUGGCUAAGGCAAAAGCCUACAUGCAACCUGCAAGCUUCACAGCUUCGCACAUGCCAAUUCUGCGAAAAACAGCAAUCUGUCUCUUCUAGACAGUCAACUUCGUUUGAGCUUUGUGAACAGCUCUGGACGAACUAGAUAGUGAGCUUUAUAUCAUUGGAAAGCUCUACGAGUCUAGUUUUCAGAACCUUUCGCGGUUCAUCCAUAUCUAUUUUAACAAAGAAGUUAUGGCUGUUUUAGUGCGCAAAAGUCAUUCCGCACGGAAAUUUUAAUGCACUCUCAGGAUUGCAGCUUUUUGUAGCUUCUUUCAAUCCUUCUAAAUGGUUCAAGUGGAACUAUUUACUCUCCUAUCUACUCCAUUUUGUACAUCUGUCUCAUAGAGACAUUAAGUGCUUCGCAAACAGUGGAACUAUUCACAACAUUCUAAGGAACCGGCAACUAUCUUUGGAUAUUAUGCCUUUGUAAAUCUUCUGUAUUGAGAGACACGGUUUAGCUUGAAUUUUGAUGCCUCAUGGCACCAUGAUCAACGUCACAGAUGCCCUCUAUGCAUUGAGAGGCAACCGAACCAUGUUGAGCUUUAAAGACAUUCUUGCUAAUAGUUUUUAUUUGAAAACACAUUAUGAGAAUGAACAAGAAUUCUUUUGUGUAUACAUUCUCAUGAAUGUGGACUGAAAUGCAUCUUGGAGAAGUUCAUGAGUCAAUUUAAUGGAUUGUAUGUCACUACGAUUCGAGUAUCGAAUCCCAUGUUGUCGCCAAACAUGAUAUUUGGGACACCGACUCAUAGAGGCUUUGGUUUGACCAAAUCGGUCAACCUCGAAGAGAUAUAAUGGUCCAAAUUUUGAGAAACAUCCAUUCUUCUGCUCAAAACGAAGACAUUCGGGAUCUAACAUCACCAUGAAGCAUGGUGGUGACCCAGGGGACAUUUGUAACACCCCGGACCAAAUUCUACCUAUUUACUAGGUAUUCUACGAGUUACUGAAGAAUUUAACUGUGUUCGGUAAUUUGGUAAUUUAACACUCGAGUUUAUUGUUGAGUUUUUCUUAAAAUGUUAAAUUCCUCUUUUAAGGCCUCGAUAUAGUAGUACGUGUCGACACAGGUUCAACAGUGGCAUUGGAUUAUUUGUUGGAGCUUCGAGUUAUUUUUUCUAUUAUUUAUUAGAGGUUUGGUUUUAGAAAUUUAUUUUCUCGGAAGAAAAUAACUUUUAUCCGGGCUUCCAUUAGGGUUUUGAUAUGAGUUGUAGAAUUUAAGCUUAAAAGGUAAAGAGGAGGUUGACCCAGUCAAAGAACCCAACUCGGGUUUGACCGAGCCCAACAGAGUCUCCUCCUUCUCUCUCACUUCUCUCUCGUCGUUCGCCUUCUCCGGCGCAAUGGCGACGAUUCCGAGCACCUCCCACAGCGUAACUACCACCAAAAUAUUCUUCUCUUCAAUCUCUACAAAACCCAUACCUCAGUUCACACAGGCAUCCACAUACGAGGGAGAUCGAUGUCGAAGAGGCACGGCUGUGUUUCUCGUUUUCCGGCGAGCUCCGACGGCGACGGCGAUAGUGAGGGGUAGGAUUCUUCUCCUUUUUCCUUCUUCUCCCUUCCUAUGUCUUUAAUCUUUUGAUUCGUGCCCUAAUCAGAGGAACCCUUUUCUCCUGUUUUUGGGUUUUCACGGCGUAUCUCCGGCGACCGAGUUCUUGCCGUUUCCGACCUCUUCUCCAUGUUCCGACAAGCAAGGCUACUUCUUGGCAGACCCAGUGGCCGAGUGGAGGAGGUGGUUGGAGUUUGGUAGCAGAUGGGGUUCUUCUGGUUGGGACAGUGAGAGGCAGAGGGCUGCAGGUCGGUCUCCGGCAAGGAGAAGUUUCUGGGUUGGGGUUUUGAGCGGACUGAAGGUAAAGGUUAAAAAUCUGAGCUGCUGUGUUGUUGCUAUGUUGUGCUUAUUGUGUUGUUUAGGUGUUGAUUCGGCUGUUUCCUUUGUGAUAUGUCGAGAACUUGGUGUUUUGAAGAACACGGGGAGGUUAUGGCCAUUUUCUGGUGAGUGGCCGGAAUCCGGUAGAAUAUUCCGGCAAGUCGCCGGAAUCCGACGAAGGCAGUAAUUUUGGAAGAAGGUGAUGAGGUAGUUAUCGACGUUUUUCCUUUCUGAUUUGUAUCGUUUCAGAAAUGGAAAGUUUGUCGGUUUGUAAUCGGAAAUCUUUCUAAGGGAGGAAAGUUUCUAUUUUAGGAAACUUUCCCUUUUUUGGAAGCUUCCUAUUUAUGGAAACCCAUUUGGGUGCCCUUAGUAAAUUUUGGAAGUAAAUUGGUUGUUGUAUUAAAGGCAUGGAAAUUGAUUAUGACUUCGAUUCCAAGUUAAGGUUUUGUUUAGAGGCAACGUUCGAGGAGUAUUCCAAGCAUUAUAUUGAGAAGUUUAAGCCUAACACUGUGAGUGGACAUUUUGGUUUUUCUUAAAUAUGCGUGCAUGACUUUAUAAAUUAUGAUUUUAUUUUCCGAGCAUAUAUUAUAACUUCGGCUUACUAAAUGAUCUUGGAAAUUAUUUUAAGUUUGAUGCAUGGAUUAAUUGUGCACCAUGAUUUAUGGAUUUGAGCUCGGAUCAUUAAUUUGGUACUUGAGUUUGGAUAUCAUUUAUGAUUUCCGGAUUUAAUUAUUAUCGGCUUUAUUGUUGACUUUGAGAUUUAUUAAAGACUACCGAAACUGGGAUUUUCAGUAAUUCUCUUUUUAUAACUUUCUCGGUUAUUUGUGGUUUAUCGACCUUGACAUUGAGAAUAUUUUGACGUGUGAGACACGUCAUUGAGUAUUGUUACAUUGCUUGGUUGAGUGGGCCGGGAUACUUAUCUCGUGAGCUUUAUCUAGUGGGCCGGGAUACCUUUCUCGUGAGCUCUAUCUAGUGGGCCGGGAUAUUUAUCUUGUGAGCUCUAUAUGAUCUUCUUAUUUCAUUAUAUAAGGGUUGUUGUAUAUUAUUAUUGCUAGCUAGCCUUUAGCGUGGGACGUUAUUAAUAGAGUCUGGGAGGCUCCGACCCUAGCCUGGGAGGCUCAUCUUUAUGGUGAAACCCCUUUCUAGUUUCUUGGAUUUAUUCGAACCAACGGGAUUGGUUCGUCAUUUGUACUCUUUUAGAAGUAUUAUGAGUGAGCAUCAAGUGUUGCAUGCAUAGUUGUAUUUUCGUUGAUCAAAUCGGGAAAACAUAAAUAUUUUUAUUGGUUUAUUUCCUUUAAAUUUAUUCUUGUCCACUCACUCUAACGUUUUCGAAUGUUUUCCCCUAGGCCCUUCGGUUUUAAAUGCCCAGUUUGCAAGUUAGUAUAAUUGAGGUCGGGCGUACUUGGAGUCGAGGCAUAGUCCAUCGUAUAGCUUAAGCUUAAAUAUAUAUUUAUCUCCCCUUCACUGUUAGAAUUGCUCUGAACCUAUUAAUUGUUGGUUAUGGGAUUUUUGUUAGAUUAGUAAAUAUAAAUUUUUUAGAUGUUGUGAUUUGUGGGGAGCACGGAGGCUUCAGGAGUUUAUAAGAUUGAAGUUGAAAUUUUUAGAAGUGUUUGCAGGUAUUUUUAUUUAGGAAGGGUUGCCUAUUUUCAAGGGAGGUUAUGCCGAGUUUUCGGUAAAUUUUCCUUGGAGGUGGACCCCGUAGGAUUUACUUCUGGUUUCAGAGUGAAAUUCGGGGUGGGUCCUGACAACAUUGACGUCACCCGAACACGGCUCCAACUUCCCGAAGGCCGUCCGGUCAAUUCCUCAAGCAAUUGAGGUGCACCGGCCUUCCCUCUAUGUCUCAUUGGCCCCUGUAAUGCUCAUUGCUCGUUUUGAAAGCCUAUUUUUAACUAAAUUAGGAGUGAGACUCUCCUAUGCUAAAUUACACAAAGUGAACAUUCCAUUCUUACAUCAACCUAUGUUGAUAGAUACAACCAACUUGCGAACACCUUUUUUUAUGCUUUAUGGUGUUGGUUGAAGUGUUAACACACUGGUCACGUGUUACACUAUUAUCUACUGCUUAUGCUGCUUAUACUUCUACGGGCUCACUACCCAUUCUUUAAAAAAGUUUAUCGGGAUGUCAGUUGAAGUGUCUUGUACCCCAUGUUCACACGCAAUACGGUCUCACCGAGGCUACGACCAAGCAACUUUAGCUUGUCGCUCGAACAUUAUUGAUGCACACCAAUCUUUUUAUUGCGUCUUGGGGCUAUGCAAUAUUUGCAUGCAGCUUUACUAUUCAUCUACGACCCACCAUCAUUGAAUAUUUUUGUACUACAGCUCGUGACUGUCACUACCAGGACAAGCACUUUAGCCGACGAAAAAGUUUCAUCGGCCAGUUAGCUUAAUUCGUCGGCUAAGAUCUUACCCGACGAGCCUUCGUCGGCUAUAGUUUCGUCGGGAAAGAGGCGUCGGUGAUGACUUUAGCCGACGAAAUUAGAAAACGUCGUCGGCUAUUGUCCCAGUAUUUAGCCGACGACAGAAGACGUCGUUGACCAUAGUCUGAGACUUUAGCGAACGAAACAUUUAAGAUAUUCGUCGGCUAAAGUAUGUAAUAAAAAAUUAAAAAAUAACUAUAGCCGACGAAAUAUAGUCUGUUUCGUCGGCUUUAGAAGUGUUUAGCCGACGAAACAUGCCAUAAUUUGUCGGCUAAACCUUAUAAAAAAAUUAAAAAAUACUAUAGCCGAAUAUAGUCGGCUAAAGUAUUUAAAUAUCGUCGGCUAAAGUAUUUAAAUAUCGUCGGCUAAAGUAUUUAAAUAUCGUCGGCUAAAGUUGCUGGUUUUUGAAAAAAAAAACUGUAGAAACUUUCGGCCACCUCCAAUCAUCACCAAAAUUUGACAAAAUCUUCCUCUCAACAUUUCGAACAACUUUCUAGAAGAAGUCAAACCCAAUUCUAAGCCUAAACAGGUCAAUUGAAUCAAAAUAUAAAAAUCCCUAAUUUUAAACCCUAAAAACUUUAAAUCUUCGAUUCUCUUCACACACACCGAAUCGAGCUACCAAAUUCUAGGGGAAUGUAGUACUAAUCAAACUCAACUUAUCCAUAUAUAGAACUCACCAAAUGGUGACCUAAGGAAGGAGAAAUUCGAUCGACACCGAAUCCAAACCGGCGGAGUUUUAGAGCUCGAUUUAUCCCUCACGGCGGCGCCACUCAAUGCACCACCUGUCCAGCAAUGAAGUAGAGAUGACGGCGAAGUUUUUAGGACAAGUGUGGCGGUCUCCGGUGGCUUGACGGCGGAGCUAGGCCGAGAAGAAAAUCCGGCAGGCGAAACAAUAACUUUUUCUGAUUUUCUGACUUCUUACCAUCCACCUCUGGUAAAACUCCUAUAUAAAGAACUUUACCCGACGAAAUUCUUUAUUUUCAUCGGCUAAACUCUUUUGAAAAUUUUGAUUGACCGCAAAAAUUUUUUUGACAAUAGCCGACGAAAUCAUAUAUUUUCGUCGGCUAGAGUCCUUUGAAAAUUUUCCUCCAAAUUUGGUUUACCACCAAAAAAAUUUUGACCUUAGCCGACGACUUUUUUAAGAUCUCGUCAGCUAAAGUCUAUAAAUUCACGAAAACGCUCAUAUCUCCCUCUAUAGUAAGUAGUUUGGUCAAACCUUCCACACGAAAAACUUUCACGUAGAUGAGACGCAACCGCCUAUAUAAAAAUUUGAGACAUUUACCUUCCGACGAUAGGGCUCCCCAUAGGGAAUAAUAACGGUAAAUAGGGUUGACCGCUACUAUCGGUACCGAGACGUUACCUGAUUUACAUGAUUUUUGAACCAUAGCCGUAUUUCACCAUUCUAAACACAUCUUAUUUCACGAGAUUUUUGAUAAUUUUGCUUCCUAUGUAGAGUUGGUUCACAAAGUUGUAUUACCUACUAAACAAGUUAUACAACAUUCGUAGACACGUUGUGAUUACGAUGAUUAAAAUUCACAAACCAAAAUUCGACCAUCAGAUAUGAUCAUUAUGAUAAAAGAUGUCUGGAAUUCAACUGGAUCCGACAACGUUAAGGGCUCGAUCGAAACGGUCAACCCUAAUCCAUCGUCACUUAUCACACAAAAACGCUCAUAUCUCCCUCUAUAUUACAUAGUUUGGUCAAACCUUCCACAUGAAAAACUCUCACGUAGAUGAGACGCAACUGACCAUAUAAAAAUUUUGAGACAUUUACCUUCCGACGAUAGGGCUCCCCAUAGGGAAUAAUAACGGUAAAUAGAGUUGAUCGCUACUAUCGGCACCGUGACGUUACCCGGUUUACGUGAUUUUUGAACCAUAGCCGUGUUUCACCAUUCCAAACAUGUCUUAUUUUUACAAAAUUUUUGAUAAUUUUGCUUCCUAUGUAGAGUUGGUUCACAAAAUAUAAAAAUUUUGAGACAUUUACCUUCCGACGAUAGGGCUCCCCAUAGGGAAUAAUAACGGUAAAUAGAGUUGACCGCUACUAUCGGCACCGAGACGUUACCCGGUUUACAUGAUUUUUGAACCAUAGCCGUAUUUCACCAUUCUAAACACGUCUUAUUUUCACAAGAUUUUUGAUAAUUUUGCUUCCUAUGUAGAGUUGGUUCACAAAGUUGUAUAACCUACUAAACAAGUUAUACAACAUUAGUAGACACGUUGUGAUUCUGAUGACUAAAAUUCACAAACCAAAACUCGACCGUCAGAUAUGAUCAUUAUGAUGAAAGAUGUCUAUGGUAAAAAAUUCAACUGGAUUCGACAACGUUAAGGGCUCGAUCGAAACGGUCAACUCUAAUCGGAAAUAAGAAAACUGCAUUUUGAAGCCCUAAAUAGACUUGGAUGGCCAAAAAGGCCCAUAUUUCAUGGCAUAGCAAUGAGUUUGACUCGUAGGGCCGUUACGCUUCCGGAAAGGUAUCAUAAUAGUCAAUCGGACACUGAACGCCAAAUCUGCAGCAUACCGGGUUUCGAUUGUUCUACAUCAGAGACGUUACCCGAUUUACGUGACUUUUGAACCAUAGUCGUGUUUCACCAUUCUGAACACAUCUUAUUUCAUGAGAUUUUUGUUAAUUUUGCUUCUAUGUAGAGUUGGUUCACAAAGUUGUGUAUUUGUUUAAAACCUACUAAGCAAGUUAUACAACAUUUUAUUGUUUUUCUUUUAGCAGACGGAUAAUAGCCAACGAGAUUUUUUUUCGCCUACUAAAAUACUUUAGCCGACGAGUAAAAACUUUGGCCGACGAAAAAAAAUUUUGUCGGCUAAAGUAUAGUAUAGCAGACGAAAUUUUUUUUCCGUCGCACUAGGAAGAAAACAAACUUAGCAUAACCUGAUCCAUUGAUCAGUGAUACUCAAAUCUGUCUCAUGAAGUCUGAAUUGUGAUUAUCGUUGGGGGACACCUCAAUGUCAAAUCCAAUCCAUAUAGAGAUCUAUACAAGUAUUACACUAGUGUACAUGAGGACGCGGGAUAAUGAGUCUACUAUCGAACCACCCUUCGUUGAUUGGCCAAAUGGAAAGAUGCGAUCCAGCAUUAACAAAGAGAUAGGUCCUUGGGCAGGUGAUGCCGACACCGCAAGUUAAACCCUAUCAACUAUGCCUUUGUUAGAUAGCGUAGUGAGAACAAGAGCUUAGACUCACCUUAUGGCGCAAGGUCUCUCACUAACAAGCACUGAGAUCGACUACGAUGAGAUAUGCUCUCGUAAUGGAUGUCAUUGCACUCCACUACUUUGUCAGUUUGGUAGUUUUCCGAAUAACUGAACAUGCAGCCUAUGAAUGUGGUCAUAAUAACAUCUCUACAGGAUCAGAGAUAUACAUGAAGAUCUUAAACAGACUUCAUUCAUCUUAAUCAAGUUGCUCCAGACCACAGGAGCACGCGUUCGCUAAAGGUUUUGAAACGCACAUUAAGUAACUAAUUUGCGUGUUCAUUCUGGAUUUACAUGGACUCUUGAUGGAUCAAGAGAUGCCAAUAUGUAUCAACAUUUUAAGAAAAAGAUCUUGAGAAGACACAGUCUCGACAAGGCACUCGAUGAUUGUAUUGAUGAUGAUUUUCCAUCAAUCGGCUUAGGCGCUCUAUAACUAGUGAGGCCUACAUAUACUCCCAUGAUUAGUCAAAGUCUUUGCUUUAAAGAGAGAUCCGUUUUUUUGUCUAAAGCAAGAUGACAAAUAUGUGUUAAGAGAUGGAGUUCCCAUCUAAGUACAAUAAGAUGCAUCAAUGUACUCAACACAAUACGAAACACUUGACAUCUCAUUCGUUAUGAAAAGUUGUAAAGCUAAGUGUAGCUAUGCGCCCACGUAACGCCAAUGUAAUGGCAGUAACUCUUUUUUUAAAUAGUUAAUGGUAUGAAAGGUUGAGGCUUAUUCUAUCCCUACAUAAGAAAGACACAUCAAUAGCGAAAUUAGAAUCUGCCAAGUUUCGUAGGUCAAUUUCUACGGGACCUACAGGAAAUUUCACUCACUGGAAAAUGGUGAAAUUGGUGCCACUGGAAAGCUCUAUGUGUCUACUUUCCAGGGACACCAACCAUUUAAUCAUAUCUAUCAUAUUGAGUGAGUUAUGGCUUUUUUCGUAAAGUAGGACGAAUCUGUCCGAGAAUCUGAUUUUGGCAAAACAGUUAAAUUUGACAGGACUUUGUGAAUAGCUCCUGACGAACCAGAACAUGUGUAAUAUACAGUUGGAAAGCUAAAUGAGUCUAGUUUCCAAAACCGUUUACGGUUCAUUCAUAUGUAUUUCCUAGAGGAAGUUACGGCUGUUCUAGUAACUGAAGGUCAUGCUGUGCGGAAAUCUGAUUUCCUGCACGAACUUAUGUUUUGAGUUCACAAGCGGUCUUCUCCUCAAGAUCUAAAUGUAAAAGAUCAUGUUUGAGGACAAUACGGCAUGAUCUAGUUAAUCAUUGCCCAAUGCCACAUUUGAAGACAUGUUAAAGAGCAUUGACAUGCGAAGUUAUUGAAGUUUCCGUGAUUAGUAAGAAUCAGGAAGAGCCCUAUGAUUGAUGUAAGGGAAAAUUUCAAAAACAGUACACCAAUUAUGGUCCACUCUAAAGACUAGUACAUUAUCUUUUGAGAAAAUCAAAACAGUACAUGAAGUUGUAAUUAUGACCCAAAAUCGAUACAUGCCGUUAUUUUUUCUGUUAUUUGGUGUCUCUACCAUUAAACUUCAAAGGAUAAAUUCGUCCUUCUCUUGCUUCCUCCUUCUAUCUCUGAAACUAGAAAAAGCUGCAGCAAUUUUGCAAACUCUUUUAAAUAUAAAACAGAUGAGCAUGAACCAAAAAAAACCCAAAAUCCCAAAACCCUGUAUGGUUCAUUGGUUCUUCUACCAAGGGUUUUAAUCUCCAAUUUAUUUAUGAAACCCAUUGCUUCCUAGUGAGCCCAACCGCUGUCCUCUCACCAGAAUCAUCGUCUUAAAUGAAAAAAGUUAAAAAAAAAAAAAAAAAAGUAGAUUCCUCCUGCAAUUAUGAAUGGGUAUUGCAUGUUCUUCUAUUUGUUCAUAUCUGGGUAAUAUUGUUGCUUUUUUUUGUUGUUGCUAUGGUAUGGUAGGAUUGUCAAACUUCAAGAAUUUGUGAAGAACAUUUCAAACCCGUCACCAUGCGAACUGAAUUUCCAACCCCAAAAUCAAUAGAAAAAACCCAAACUCAUCUAUUUUAUAUUUAAAAAAGUUUGCAAAGUUGCUGUAGUUUUUUCUUGUUACAAAGAUAUAUAGAAGGAGGAAGCAAGAGAAGGACGAAUUUAUCCUUUGAAGUUUAACGGUAGAGACACCAAAUAACAGAAAAAAUAACGGCAUGUAUCGAUUUUGGGUCAUAAUUACAAUUUCAUGUACUGUUUUGAUUUUCUUGAAAGAUAAUGUACUAAUCUUUAGAGUGGACCAUAAUUGGUGUACUGUUUUUGCAAUUUUCCCUUGAUGUAAAGAUCAGGGGGAGGUGCGAACUUCAGGGGGAGUCUAGCACAUACAUACAUGUCACUAUCAAAUGUGAAGGGUGCGUUGUACUCUUUUUCUCCUACGAUUAAGGUUCAGUUUUUCUCCCACAGGGUUUUUGUGACUUGACGAGGUUUUUGACGAGGCAAAAAAUCAGCACCAUCGGCAUAUCAGCGCGCGGCACAAGGGAGAGUGUUCUAGGAUAUUCUGUAUCUUUCUAGAUAUUCUUUAUGUGUGCCUUGGCCUUAUGCCAAUAGGAUAUGUAGUUUGACUAAAUCUAUGUAUUCCUAUCCUUACCAUAUUGGUAUUGUGUAAUUCCUUAUAUAAAGGGCUCCUAUCUUUGAAUAAUACACACAUCUUUCACAAUUCUCUAUUCUCAAAUAUCUCUCACUUCAUCAAAUUAGUAAUUAAUGGUUAUUUGAAUUAUGAGACUAGAGUUAGAAUAAAAAUUAUGAUACUCAUCCUAAUUUAAAGAUAUUGAGGAAAAAGAUGCAGGAAAUGGCCUCAACUUGAAAAGUUAAAACUUAGAAGUAUAUACCUAUCUUCUCAUCAGGAAUGGAGGUAGAAAAUCCCUUUAAGAUUGGUUUAUAUUAGUAAGGAUGUCUAACACAACAUCACACACUAAAUUCAUAAACAAGAGAACCCUGACAAGCAACGAAUUGACAAACACAAUAUAGUAUGCAGGUCUUCAAAUUACAAAGCAAACCAAACUAUCUAACUAGUUGUGCAACAAAACCCCUCAAUUAUAAUUGGUUUUUAGACAACCCAUUUGAUAACUAUUACUUUGAAAAAUUAAUUAUGAUUUGUUGGCAAGUUUGGAGAGCAAGGAACGAUACUAUCUUUAGGGGUAAGAAUCCCAACCCCAAAUCUAUUCCAGUUCUUGCUGCUUGCCAUCAAAGCAAUGCCCUACAAAUUGAUAUGCAAAGGUCUACAAUGCAUGAUCCUGUUGAAAUGAACAUGAUUAGGUGGUCACCACCCCCUUCAAAUUGGGUUAAAAUAAAUUUUAAUGGUUCUGUAAGAAGUAAAGCUGCUGCUGGAGGUUUUAUUUUAAGAACAGAAGAUGGUAAACCUCUUGUGGCAGCUGCCUUCAACUCUAGUGUUGCUAGUCUCUCUCUUGCCGAAACUCUUGCACUAAGAAAUAGUCUAGUAUGCGCUAAAGAGAAAGGCUUAUCAAAGAUUGAAGUAGAAGAUGAUUCCAAGCUCAUCAUUGACAUUGUGAAUGGAGUUUGUGAUCCCCUUUGGAGGCUUCUGAAGAUAUUCCAAGAUAUAAAUUUUUUUGAGAUGUAAUUUUGUAUCCAUCAGCUUCAAACAUGUAUUGAGGAAAGCUAAUUUCGUGGCCAAUGUUUUGGCUAACAUAGGGCAUAGGGUUGAGAAUUGUCACUUCUGGGAGGAGUGUCCCGAAGCAUUUCUUGCCCUUGCCUUCGACAAUGUAAACUCUGGGUGCCGGCGAGCACCUCUAUUUAAUAGAUUUUCUUCUCAUCAAAAAUAAAUAAAAAACAAAACCCCUCAAUUUCCAUAAACUCUAACUGCUCCAAUCAUCAGAAACAACAGUUUCGUACACAUUCGAUUGCAUACACAGAGAAUUAAACCUAUAUUUAUGAAUCUCAAAAGACUGGAUUAUGAAAUUACCUCGAGCUUUUCCUCGUUGUUCGCCAUAUUGAGUUCGGAGCUCUAACACGAUCUCACCUCUCUUUCUUCCUCUCUACCUCUCUCCUCUCUCUCUCUCUCUCAAUCUCACACUGGCACUCUCUCUAUGUGUGUUUCUCGUUCAAUUUUGUGUUUCACUAUAAACCCGUCUAGUGGCAGUAGGGUUUGUUCAGCUUGAGGGGGACAUGUGGCGGCAUCCUACUUGAUUGUAUACUGUCCAAGUUUUAUGAAACAUCGCCGUAUUAAACUGAAGAGCAGGCAUGACAUUGGACAAAGAGAGUCCACCCUAAUAGUUUUACCUAUAUAACUCCACUUUUCUUACUCAAAUUAUUUCCCCUUGACUGUCUUACCCUUGUGCAUAAAGAUAUUAGACCUGUGGCGCUCAAAAUGUCUCUCAUUGCUGUCACCCAAAGGGCCAAAACCUCGCUCUGCAACGCCGGCUCGACUACGAUUGCGGUCACCACCGACAACAACGUCGGCUCGACCUCGACUGCAUCUCCAAUUCUAUCGACGAUGACCUCCGACUCGACAUCGGCUGAAUCUUCGAUUUUGACCUCGAUUGGAUCUCCGAUUCUGUCGUCGACAACCUUGAUUGGAUCUCUUAUUCCGUCCUCGACCGGAUCACCAAUUUGGCCGACAAAAACCUCGAUUGGAUCUCUGAUUCUUUCAAUGACCACCUCAACUCGAUCUCUGAUUCCAUCGACUGAGUCUUGCUCGACCUUAGCUGCAUCUCUAAUUCGGUGACAUAAGUUUCUAAUCUCGUUGGCUUUGGUUUACACGAAUUUAAAACAAGCAACUAUGUGCUUUGCUUAUAUUUGUUGUGUGAUGGUGAUGGUUUUUAGGAUGAAAGAGAAGCACGGGAGCCUCAAUGUGAAGGCGAAGUAGAGAAAUAACCAAUUAGGAUCCGGAUCGAGGGAUAUCUAUUUUUACACAAAUUUUGACACUCGUUUUUAGCUUUUAGAUUUUAAAUUUUUUAACGGUGUAGAUUAAUUGUGGAUAUGAUGUGAACCACUACUAGAAAUAAGUUCUUAGGUGACGAAAUUUUUUCGUCACCUAAGAGCUUCUAUUGUCCUGUAUUGAUGUAUACACUAAUACGACGAAAAUUUCGUCACCUAAGGUUCGUCAUCUAAGGGCGGUGGUUAGAGCACUUAGGUGACGAAAAUAUGAAUUUCGUCAUCUUAGUAAUGACUAAGAUGACGAAAACCUUUUUGUCGCCAAGAUACUUAGCUGACGAAAUAAUUUUCGUCGCCAAACUACUUAGUUGACGAAAAUAAUUUUGUCGCAAAUCUGGUUACAUGACGUAGUAUGACCAGCUAAGGUGACGAAAUCAGUCAUUACGAAAACACUAACACUACGAAAACAGUCAGUUUGCUGACAAUUCUUUCAUCGGGCUAGGGCCACGAAAGUUGAAUUUUCAUCACCUUAGUGCUAUUUAUAUUUAUUAAAUUUGAUCAUUAAUAAUUAUUAAAAUCACAUUUAAUAUUAACAAAAAUAAAUUUAAAAAAAAAGUCUCAAUAUUUCAAAAACCCACUAUUGGCCAAAGCAGCACCUAGGCAGUAGCAAACAUAUAUAUAUAUAUAUAUAAUCAAGUUCAUAUACAAACUCAUCAAGAGUAGUACUUGAUCAAUAUAGACUUGUUCAUACAAAAUAUAUACUAGCUAGAAAAUGAACUAGUGACUAUGAAGGGCUAUCAAUUGAAUCAAUGCCUCCAUCAUCAUGAUCAUCAUCAUUGGGAUGCUCCUGGGGUGGGACUGCCGGCUGGCAUACGCCGAAUUUGGUGAAAAGAAACUGCUCACAUUGUUGAAGACGUGCCAUGAUUUGUAUGUUCUCUUCCUUGGCUUUUCGGGCUUCCUCAUUGGCUUUCCGGGCUUCCUCCUUAGCCUUUCAAGCUUCCUCCACAGCAAUAUCAACAAGUGCAGCUCGUUGGGAACGUGAAGUGCAGCUCCUAUCGGGCCCUUGACUCAAACCAUAACUGCCUACUAGUCCCAUGACCCAGAUCUCAUUCAUGUUUCUAUGUCUAAAUGCUUUUUCAAACACAAUCGCUUGAGUUUGUUGGUCAAAAUGAAGAUCAAUAUCUUCUUCCGGAAUGCCAGGGUAUUCCUUCCUCACAUUGUCACGGAUCUCAUCAAGCUUAUCCAUCAGUUUAGCCUAACAAAAGAAGUAUAUGUUUUACAAAAACAAUUACUAUGGAGAAUAGAGUUUUGAGGGCAGUAAUAUCUAUAUUGCUGAAAGUCAUUAAUCAUAGGCUCUCAUCUAGCAUUAUUAACCCAUCUAUAUAUAUUGAUUACCACCACAUAUUAAUCAACCUCCAUAUAUCAAGGUAUCAAGAAACUUAGUCUGAGAUGCACUAUGAAUGACAUUAACUGCCACAAUUCUUUUUUGAGAAGUCACUAGUAUAUGUUCCUUAUUGUGGUUUUUGCUUAUGACAUGCAUUAUUAUAUAUUACAAGUUACUCAUGCAUUUGGCAGGAAGUAAUGCAAGUUAACUAGUUAAUAUCGUGCAAAAAAAAACUAAUUCACAAUAUUGUUGCUUCCAGAGACCAAGAAGUAAUGCAAAGGCAGGAUGUAAACCACUUACUUCAUUUUCAGCUGCUUUCAAGUUGUGAGCUGAGUCAUACACCUGUGAGUAACUUUUAAUAAAAUAGAGGUGUUCACCCUUGUCCUUCAAUUCCUUCGCAUUGUAGAUGAAAGGCCUCGCCCCGGUGUAGUGGUACAAUGUCUUCUUGUCCCGGUUACUCUUGUUUGCAGCCGAUCUUCUCUGUAAUUUCAUCAUAUUAACAAUUUGGUUAUUAACAUCAAGCUUAAUCAUCAAAAACCAUAAACACAAAACUGACCAAAUGAACAGUAGUAAUGCAAAACCCAGAUAUAUACUUGUACCCAGAGAAACUGUUGUAGUAAUGCAAGUAAUAUAUAUAUACUUGUACCUAGAGAAACUACUGUAGUAAUCAGUGGAAUAUAUAUACUUGUACCUAGAGAAAAUGCAAGCAAUAUACUUGUACCUUAAUCUACCUUGUACAGCAAAGAAAAAACUAAAGCCUUAUUUAUUUUCUGCUGGAUACAAAGUUAACCAAUUGAACUAAUCAUUCGAAGGAGCCAGAGAAUGGGGAGUAACAAUUGCAGCUGAUCAAUGGAUUGCCUUGUCAUCAGUUAAAAAAAUCUACCAACUUUUUGUGUAACACAAAAUGUCUCAAACUUUAAAUAGAUCAAUACUUUUGGUAGUCCAAAAUCCAGUAUACUUCUUCUCUACUCACAAGUUUGUGUUUGCUAAUAGAAUGAUGGGGCUAUUUCCGCAUUGCUUAAAAAAACCAAAUUCUAAACCACUUUGGUAAUUCAACAUGGAAGGAUUCCAUAAGGGAUUCCAAGAUUUCAAGUCCAUGGGAUAGAGGCGAAAUGGAUGACGUUAAUAUGAAAUAACAAGCACAAUAUAUGGAUGCAAUAGAGGUUCAAUAUCCUACACAGAUUCAAAACAAGGGUAUCUGAGGACUAAUUAAUCAAGAACUCAAGAAAAAGACAUGCAAAAGCCAAGAAACUGGUUUUCCAAAAAUCAAAUGGUCAGAAACAAGGCAGAACAACAAAGGUAAAACAACCUUGGCACCAACUAGCAAUAGCCAGCUACACAUAACACUGAAUACAAUAAGGGAGAAACUAAUCCUUUUGAUUAAACCAACAAAGUUUUGAAUAAACCAACAAACUUUCAGUAGCAACAGUUAGUUAUAAAAUGAAAGUAAUAUACUAUGAAUCCAUCAGACUCGAAGGGUUUGAGGAGCCAGUUCCACUCAUCCAGCCUGUCACACCCCGGUUCUUAAGUUAUUUUACGGUUAUCUUUGGUAUUAUUUUGGUCUUUUACUGUUUACUAUUUUAAGACUCCAAAAGUUGACUUUUUCUUCCAUUUGGACUUUAGGAAAAAUUCCUUCAUGAAAGUCGUAGAGGACAUUAAUACGAGUUCGUAGCAUGCUAUGCGUUAAAUUCGAUGUUUGCAUGACAAAGUUAUCAAUUAAAAGGGUAAACAUUAGUUGGUAAGGGGUAAAUUUUUAUUGGGUUUUAUUUUGUGGGUGUUUUAAGUGUUGGACCGGGUGUGGAGAAGCCCAACACCCACAUUCUCUUUCUCUCUCUCUUCACUCUCUCUCCCGAGCCUUCCCCGAGCUCUCGCUCCCGCCGAAAACUUUCCCAGCGUCGUCCGCGGCCGUCCGGCCACCAUAGACCGCCGCACCGGUCCCAAACGGUCGGCCGUCGACCCAGCUCUCUUCUUGGACCGGUGGGAACCGCCCUAGCUCCGCCGUGAGAGAGGAAAAGCUCUCGGAAGCUCCGGUUGCGUGGUGGAGUCCCGACGCAGGAACUCGCUCCUCCGGCCACCAUCUCCAGUGAUUUCAGUCCCAUUUGGAAGUGCUCUCCGUGUGUAACAUUUCCAUAGAAGGUAAUGAUCCAAUUCGAAGUGUGUAGGAGGAUUUUCGGGCUAGGGUUUGAAUUGGGGGAUUUUUGGAUGUUUUGAUUUGAUUACCCUAGUUAAGCUUAGAAUUGGACUAAGUGCUAGUUAUGAAAGUUGUUAUGCUUGAUGAGAGGAUUAUUCUGUUAAAUUUUGGGAGGCAAUGGGCACCGCCGGAGGUUUUUUUUCAGGUUUUUGGGUUUGUUAUAAUGAGAGGAGUCUAAUGAAGUAUAGUUUGGAAUUUUUGGAGGAGUUUUGAUAAGGUUUGGGAUUUUUAAAAGAUUAAGGAUUUUGCCGGUUAUUAGAAUGAAAAUCCGGCCUUGGAUUUCCUUGAUAUUUAUUAUUGGAAAAUGGGAAAGUAAUUAAGUUUGGUUAGUUAUGUUGCGAUCAGUUACUUGAUUAUUUUUCGUCCACUCACUCUAACGUUUUUAAAUUACUUUCCCUUGGGCCCUUUGGUUUUAAAUUCCCAGUUUGUAGGCUAAGUCUAAGUGAGGUCGAGCGUACAUGGAGUCGAGGCAUAGUCAGAGGCUGCUUCCGCUUAUUCUUUAUUCUUUGUUUUUCUUUCAUUAUAGAUGUGCUCUGAUAACUAUUUGAGAUAGUUGUUAGUUGAUUAAGGUUUGUUGUAUUUUUGGGAGAUGUGUGGAACUUGAGGAGCAGGAAGGCUCCAGGUUGAGGCUGGUUUAUUUGUUUAUAGAAGUGUAAAUUGGAUUUUUCAGGUAAGGGUUGUCCAUUUUCAAGGUAGAUUAUGCCGAAUUUUUGGAAAAUUUUCCUUGGAAGUGAACCCCGCAAGAUUUACCUCGGGUUUCAGGGUAAAUUUUCCAAGGUAGAUUAUGCCGAAUUUUCGUUAAAAUGCUCAAUGAAAUAACCAAUCCAAAUAAUCAACAUAUUUCAAACCUCAAAUCCUUGAAUCAUUAUAAUUAAUAUAACUUAAAAUACCAAAUCUUUUACCCAAGCUCAAAUUCAUAACUUCCUCAAUGAAUUCAUAAUCAAUGGGUCAAUCACACAUAAAUCCCAUAACCAAUUCAAAAGCCGUAAUUAUAAUUUAAGCUUGGAAAAAUGUAUAAUGAACAACUUAAAAAUCAUGCAUGCAUAUUAGUUAAUAACCAAAAUGUCCACUCACAGAAAAACCCGCUACGUCGGUCCGCGGUCAAAACCCUUCUCACGUGGGGUCUCCUCUCAUCCUGUACAAAAUGAGAUUUAAGACCCGAGACAACAAUCACAAAAUUAAUCAAUUAUAAGGAAAAGCUAUCCUAGCACUAAUCUCACUCACCCAAACUUUCCAAAAUCUACUUAUAGCUCUACUUUAUCAACAACUUCCUACAAUACGACGAGGAAUGGACCAAACGAAUGAGCCUCCUCAAUUUCUCCCCUACCAAAACUAAUUCCAACACCAUAUCCCAAAUUUCAAGCAACCAUCUCCAAAAAUCCCCUACACUAAAUCAACAUUAGUCCCUUCUAAAAAUCAUCACCAUGUAAGGCAGCAGCCACCAGCAGUGGCGGUCAACCACCACCACCAUAUCAACUUCAACCAAAACUAGUAAAGCAUAUACCAAUCUCUUCUUCUCAACAAACACAACAACAAUCAAAACUAGCACGAACUCUAGAAAUCAAAGACUUGGCCGAAAAUUACCUCUAAAGCACAACAACACCAAAAAUUCCGAUUUGCCUUCUACUCCGAAUCAUUCUACCACUUUUGGGUGGUUGAAUGGCCAAUCAAUGAGCUAUAAAACCCCUCAAAGAUCACUUGAAUCGGUGGCCGAAAAAAUGGAGUUCUGGCUAGGGCAAGACUCACGACGGCAGCAGCGUCACCGCGCCUCAACACCGCCGAUUCUGGGCCGGUCACCACCCUAGGCUGGACGAGCGGCGUCUCAACUAUCAAACGUGACCCGCGAGGCAGCCAGGCGUGAUCGGACGACGGCGAUCGGUAGGGGAGAGGUUGGACUGGUCUGGGUCGGGGUCGGGGUCGGGGAGAGAGAAGGUGAGGUGCGGUUAUUUCUGUUUUCUAUCUUAACCCAAAAAAAUAACAAGUUUCCCCCCACUUAUACCCCAGCCCAAAAAUGGUAAUUAUCAUUAUUUUAGCUACCCUUCACUUACAAACUCCAGUUCGGGUAACUAAAAGUCUACACGUUUGUCUACACCACCUCUACCGAAAAUAAAAAUAAAUUCCUGAGUUGACAAGCUACAGUUAAAUCGAAAACCACAAUAUAAAAAUAAUUACUAGGUUCGGGGUGUAUCACCACUUGUACCACUACUGCAAACCCACCUCUCGACAUGCAAACCCGACUUCUCCUCUAGCUCAGCAAUUCUGUCACUCAGUUAGCUACACGAAUCGAAGGCGUUGAGAGUCGCGGGAGCCAGCGACCUCUAUUCUCGGGGUAUGGACAUCGCCCAAGUCCCUUCACGGCACGGGUGCAAAUGGAAAAGAGGCCACCCAAGGCCAAGCCUUUCAAAGUGGACAAAUAUAAGGGGACUGGGGACCCUCAUCUCCAUCUCGAAACAUUCCUUUCGUUGUGUAGUUCCACUCGAUACACAGAUGCCAUGGUUUGUCAUGCCUUCUAAGAAACCCUCUCAAAUGAAGCACUCAGUUGGUUCCUCAACCUGCCACACAACUCCAUUGAUAAUUUUAUGAAAAUCUACCGAAAUUUGUAUUCAUGCAUCACUGGUGUCUCCCUUCUUUCUAUUUUCAUAAUGUAUUACAUGCUAUUCAUAUAUUGUAAGUUUGCAUACAUCUAUAUAUAUAAGCGAAGAGUGUUUUUCACUGUUCACGUGAACAGUGACGUGACCCUUUUGUCUUUCCUUUUUAAAUCUUUUUACACCUCUGCCAUUCAGUUCUUAGGUUUUUUUUUUUUUUUUUUNNNNNNNNNNNNNNNNNNNNUUACAAUCCACCCCCCUUCGGGAGUCCGACGCCCUCGUCGGCACACUCGCACCACACGGCAGAGUGGCUCUGAUACCAUUUGUCACACCCCAGGACCCAUUCCGCCGUAACACGAUAUUGUCCGCUUUGGGCCCACCGGCCCUCACGGUUUUGUUUCCGGCAGCUCAGGAGCAGCUUCCUAGUAGGUCACCCAUCUUGGGAUUGCUCUAGCAUCAACAUGCUUAACCUCGGAGUACCCAUCCCCUCCGAAGCCGCUGAGCCACCAAAAGGCCUCGUGUUAGAUUGGAGGUGGGCAUGUAUAUAUACAGCACAUAACCCCUCUCCGUUUGGCCGAUGUGGGAUAUUACAAUAAAAAAUUUGGACCAUUUCUAGAUUUAUGCGUGUCAUCCUUGCGCAGGGGCCAUGCUAAUCUUCUCUAUAUCGUUCCAAUUUUAUCGGAUGUCCACGUAACACGAUAUUGUCCGCUUUGGGCCCACCGGCCCCCACGGUUUUGUUUCCGGCAGCUCAGGAGCAGCUUCCCAGUAGGUCACCCAUCCUGGGAUUGCUCUAGCAUCAUCAUGCUUAACCUCAGAGUACCCAUCCCCUCCGAAGCCGCUGAGCCACCAAAAGGCCUCGUGUUAGAUUGAAGUUGGGCAUGUACAUAUACAGCACAUAACCCCUCUCUGUUUGGCCGAUAUGGGAUAUUACAGUUUAAUUCAUAUAAGGGGUAUGGACACAUAUUUAUACACCCGUCUGUCCACCUUGAUGGCGUAGUGUAGCACCGCAUUAAGGCGUGACGUGAGCGUUGGACGCGAGCGUAGUAGCCCUAUAUAGACCCAUGAAUUUAUAUAGGGAGUAUGGACGAGUGUAAAUACAUACAUAUAUUAUAGAGUCUGAGAGGCUCGAUAUUUUAUGAGAUAAAAGUUUUAUCGCUUGCGGCAUGCAUUCGAUUUUUCCUUAGAAAUUAAUUUGGGGAAACAUAAAUAUUUUAUUUAUUAUUUUAUUUUUUGUCCACUCACUCUAACGUUAUUAAAUGUUUUCCCCUGGGCCCUUCGUUUUAAAUUGCCCAGUCUGCAGAGUUCGGGUUGGAUCUAGUAGGAGGGGAGGCAUAGUCACCCGCAUUUCUGCCAGUUUUCGUUAGUAGGUUACUUGUUCAACCUACUCGUGUUUUCUUGCUUCCGCUAGUGUUUAGUAGCUCUGAAUACUUUGGGAUUAUUGUAUAUUAUGUGUAGAAUUUCUGAAGGAUAAUUAUGUGAUGUUUGGAAGUGCUAAAUUAAGAGUGUAAUUUGGAAUUUUCGAGUUAGGGUUGUCUAUCUGCAAGGGAGAUUUUCUUAAUCUUUUCAGUAAAUUUUCCUUGGAGGUGGUCCUCGCACGACUUACUCCGGGUUUUAGGGUGAAAUUUGGGGUGGGUCGUGUCAUUGACUAUGCCUUUUCUCCAUGUACGCCCGACCUCAACUAUACUAACCUGCAUACUAGGCAUUUUUGAAACGAAGGGCCCAAGGGAAAACAUUUGAAAUUGUUAGAGUGAGUGGACAAAAAUGAAUUUAAUGAAAAAUGUCACGCCCCGGUUCUUAAGUUAUUUUACGGUUAUUUACUUUAGUAUUAUUUUGGUCUUUUACCGUGUUAAGUAACCGGUUACCCCUUAAGGACCCUAAAGUUGACUUUCUUUUCCGUUUGGAUUUUGGGGAAACUUUCUUCAUGAAAGUUGUAGAGGACGUUAAUACGAGUUCGUAGACAUGCUAUGUGUUAAAAUCGGAGUUAGCAUGAAAAAGUUAUUAUUAAAAGAGUAAAUUUUGAGUUAGAAAAGGGGCGUAAUUAUUAAUGGGUAUUAUUUUUUGGUCGGGUUUAUAGCUGGGCCGGCUGUGGAGAAGCCCAAAACCCUCACCCCUCAUUUCCUCUCUCUCCCUCUCUCCCUCACCCGUCACUUUCUCUCCCUCCCUCACCCGUGCAACUUGACCGCCGGAGAAGAGCCUCUGUCCGCUGCCGUCCGGCCGCCAGGGACCGCCGGACCACCUCUACCUGGACCCCCCGCCACCUCCUCUCCCUCCCCGGCCUAGCCCCCGAGCCGUUAGCCCGCUGGAAGAGGAGAAAACCCGCCGGAGACGCCGGGAAGCUUUUCGUCGGAAAUCCCACCUUCGGCCGCCAUAAGUCGAAAUCUUUAACUCAUCUUGUAGCCCUCAUCAAGGUGAGUAAUCCCUCAAAAGGAAUUAGUCUAUCUCGUUGUGGUUAUAGAGAAAUGUAUAAUUGAAGUUUUAGGGAUUUAUGGAUGUUUUGGUUCGAUUGCCCUAGUUAGCCUUAGAAAUGGACUAAGUGCUAGUUAUGAAUGUUGUUGAGCAUGAUGAGAGGAAUAUUCUGUGAAAAUUUGAGAAGUAUUGGAGGUCUCCGGAAAACGGCUGCCGGCCGCCGCCACCGGCAGGGCAGCUGCCGCCGCCGCCCCUUAAGGGCAGUUUUUCCUGUUUUUGAGAUGGUUUUAAUAAGAGGAGUUUAUUGAAAUAUAGUUUGGAAUUUUUGGAUGAGUUUUGGUUUGGUUUGGAAUUUUUCGGAGAUUGGAGAAAAGGCCGGUUAUUAGAAUGAAAAUCCGGCCGUUGGAUUUCCUUGGUAUUUAUUAUAGAAUGUUAGAAUUGAUGAAUUAAGGUUGUGGUGGAGUUUGGUGUGAAUCCGGCAAGUUUAACCCUAUUAAGAGUAGAGGGUUAAACGGAGGAGAGUUAGAUAUUUUAAUUCACGUAUUUAUUUUCUAGAAUUGAAGUUUGGUUCUAAGCAUGGUUGUUGUACCAGGAUGCGAAGGGAACCUCGCUUGAGUGGCGUUGCGGUUAUCGUCGGGCUUAUGCCCAAAUUUCUGAGUGGACAUUUUGGUUUUAAAAAUAAAUAUGCAUGCAAGAUUUUAUAAUCUAUCAUUUUAUUUUCCGAGCAUAUAAUAUAAUUUUUCAGUUCAUGAGAUGAGCUUGAAAAUUAUUUGAGUUUGGUGCAUUUAUUAAGUGUUGGUCAUGAUUUAUGGAGUUGAGCUCGGAUUAUUAUUUUGAUAUUUGAGUUUGGAUAUUUUUAUAAAUUCCGGAUUUCAUUAAAUGGUUUUAAUGGUGGAUUUUGAGAUUUAUAUAAGAUUUCCGAAAAUGGGAUUUUCGGUAGUUUCCUAUUUUUAAUUCUCGAAAUUAUUGGUGGAAUAUCGAUCUUGACUUUGAGUUUUAUAAAUGAUUACCGAAAAUGGGAUUGUCGGUAGUUCUCCUCAUAAUUUAAUUGUUCAUUUGAGGCAUAAUGAUUUUGACUUGGAGAAUAUUUUAGCGAGUAUUUCGGGCGUAGAUACUAUUAUUUAUGAUUCAUAUUUGUUAUUGAAAUCUCGCUUAUAUUUAUAAAUUGGAGAAUAUUUUGACGUGUGAGACACGUCAUUGAGUUGUGUUAUGAUUUCUUCUGAUGAUUUUCAUGUACGGUUGGGAACCGUACCAUUCGUUUGGUCUUGGGGGAAGUUUAAUGGAUUUAAGUGACUUCGUAUGUUUUAGUCACCAUAUUAUAGGGUCGUUUAUCUUAAUUAUUGCUAGCUAAUCUUAUUGGCGGUCCUCAUCAUAUGUGAGUCGCUAUUAUAGCCUUAUUAGCGGUCUUCUUCAUAUGUGAGUAGAGCGCUUAGCAUGGGACGCUAUUAUAGCUUGGGAGGCAACCGAUCGGUAUUUAUAUUUAUUAGUUAGCUAGCCUUAUUAGCGGUCCUCAUCAUAUGUGAGUUGAGCACUUAGCGUGGGACGCUAUUAUAGCCUUAUUUAGUGGUCCUCAUCAUAUGUGAGUUGAGCGUUUAGUGUGGGACGCUAUUAUAGCCUAGGAGGCAUCGACCUGAGCCUGGGAGGCUCCUUUUUCAUGGUGAUAACUCUUCCCCUAUUUUAUUCUUCUCAAUAAUAUAUUUGAUUAACCAGCGGGGCUGGUUUAUCUCCUCUUAUGAGAUUUAUGUUUUAACUAACCAGCGGGGCUGGUUUGUCCUUUAUUAAGUGAUUUUGGAUUUAAAGUUUUAAGGACGUUUAAGUUGCAUGUUGUUAAGUUUUAAAAGUUGAAAAGUGGGAAAGUAUAUAAGUUUUAUAAUUGUUAAGUUACUGAAUUUAUUUUCGUCCACUCACUCUAACAUUUUUAAAUUAUUUUCCCCUAGGCCAUUUGGUUUAUAAAUGCCCAGUUUGCAGGCUAAGUUAUUUGAGGACGAGCGUACAUGGAGUCGAGGCAUAGUCAGAGGCUGUUUCCGCUUAUUCAUUUUCAUUGUUUUCAUUCAUCAUUAGAUAUGCUCUGAAAGUCCAAUAAUAGCUUAUUAAAUGUCUUUGUUGUUGAUUGUGGAAUUAUUAUUAGAUGAGAAAUUGUUAUUGGGAGUUUUGAUGAACUUGGGGAGCAUGAAGGCUCCAGGAGACGAGGAUGGAUGUUUGUUUAUAGAAGUGUUAAGUUGGAUUUUUCAGGAAAGGGUUGUCCAUUUUCAAGGAAGGUUAUGCCGAAUUUUCGGUAAAUUUUCCUUGAAGGUGGACCCUGCAGGAUUUACCUCGGGUUUCAGGAUGAAAUUCGGGGUGGGUCCUGACAAAAAAUAUUUACGCUUUCCUAGUUUAAAUUUCCAUAGAAAAUAUACUGCAUGCGACAGCUCAAAAGCUCUCAACUCAUCAAUUGGCAAUUACAUGACUAGCUCCGGCUAGUCUCCAAACUUAAUAAAAUAAAGCCUCUCAGGCUAAAAUAAUAUAUAUAUAUAUAUAUAUAUGUAUUUACACUCGUCAUACUCUUUGUACGAAUUCCAUGAAGGAAUAAGAAAAAUAGAAAUUCAUACAAGGCUACUACGCUUGUGUCUAACAUUCACGUCACACCGUAAUUGGAUUUUACCUCAUUAUGGCGGAAAAGCACGAGUGUAUAUAUACGUGCAUAUUCCCUAUAUAAAUUACUAAAUUUAUAUAGGGCUAUGACGAUUGUGUCUAACGCUCACGUCACACCAUAAUAGAAUUUUACCUCAUUAUGGCGGAAAAGCACGUAUAGCUAGCUAGCAUUUAUUUAUAUGCAUACUAUCCUCAUAAUCAUCCAUAUACAUAUGCACCGAAAAUCUCAUUUUCAGUAACUCUCCAGAAAGAAUGAAAAUUGCCAAUUAUAAAAGACGCAAUAAAUAUAUGACUCCACCGAAAAUCUCAUUUUCGGUAACUUUCCAAAUAGCGAAGUUAACAAAUAAAAUAAGAGCAUUUACUUCCAAAAAUAACUUCGCGAAAAUAAACAAUUCCACAAAUUGAUAUUCAAUAAAAUCACCGCAUGCUUAUAAUUUAAAACGAACGUCCACUCACAACUUUAGGGAUAAGCCCGACGAUAUCCAAUUUGCUACUUAAGUGAGGUCUCCUCGAAUCUUGGCACAAUAACCAUGCUUAGGACCAAACUUCAAUUUCAGAAAAAAUAAUUCUUAAAUAUAUCACCCAAAACUCUUCCGCCUAGUCCACUACCCUUUCUAGGGUUAAGCUUAUUGGAUUGACGCCAAACUCCACCCAAAGCCUCAAUUCAUUCAUUUCAACAUUCUAAAACAAUAAUAAGGGAAAUCCAACGGUCAGAUUCUACCCCAUUAACCGCCAAAUUCACCAAUCUUUCAAAAAUCUCAAACCUAUCCAAAACUCCUCCAAAAAUUCCAAACUUCACAUCAUUAAACUCCCCUUAAUAUUACACAUUUAAAACCAUGAAAAUCCCCCUAGGGUCGUCUGCUCCGUCGGCAGCAGCGGCCGGCGACUGACUCUGGAGACCCCCAAUGCCUACUAAAUUUUAACAGCUUCAUCCUCUCAACACGCUCUACAACUUUCCUAACUAGCACCAAGACCAAUUUCAAGCUUAACUAGGCCAAUCGAACAAAAACUUACAAUAAAACCCUAGAACUUCAAACACUUGAAUCUCCUUACCUAGGCCAAGAGGGAGUGAAACCUUUGGAGGGAUGAAUGCACGGGAGAAGAGCUUCCUUUUGAGCUAAGUAGCUUCGGCUAUGGCAGCCGGAGGAGGAAGUUCCGGCGACGGAACACCACGGACAGCCCGAGCUUCCAAGCGCGAUUUCUCUUUCACAGCGGCGCUAGGGAGGCUGCCACCGGUCCAAGAAGGAAGAGGAGAUGAUGGCCGACCGUUUGUGACCGGUACGGUGACCUACGGUGGCCGAACGACAGCGGAUUGACGACGGGAAAAUCCGGUAGGAAAGAGGGAGGGCGUCGGGAGGAAAGAGAGAGAGAAGAGAGAAGAAAAGUGUUAGGCUUUUCCCAACCGGUUUCUACCGAAACCAAAUAUAAACCCAACUCCAAAAUAACACCACCAAAAUAAUACCCUAAUAAAAAUUACCUUUUUACUAGCUAAAAUUUACUAUUUUACCGUCAUCAAAUAUUUCUUCUACGAAUCAUUCCUCCGAAAAAAUCGCUCCUCAAAACCCCUCUAGGGACCUUUGAAACUAUAAACUCAUUUAUGAAGACGGUAAAACUCUUAUUAAUACCAAGCUAGUAAAUAAGGUAAAAAUUUAAGAGUCGGGAUGUGACAUGUCUUGUCCGGACCCGUCCCGGAUUUCACCUUGAAACUCGAAGUAAAUCCUGUGGAGUCCACCUCUGAGGAAAAUUUACCGAAAAUUCGGCAUAACCUCCCUUAAAAAUAGACAACCCUUCCUAAAUAAAAACACCUGCAAACACUUCUAAAAGUUCCAACUCCAACCUUAUAACUCCUGGAGCCUUCGUGCUCCCCAAAACACAACAUCUCCCAAUUUAUUUACUAACUUUAACACUUAAAAUCUCACAACCAACAAUCACAGUUCAGAGCAACUCUAUUAGAGGAGAAAAGAACUAGAAAUAUAGAAAUGAGCAGAAGCUAUACUAUUAACUAUGCCUCUUCUCCAUGUACGCUGGACCUCAAUUAUGCUAACCUGCAUACUGGGCAUUUUUAAAAUAAAGGCCCAGGGGAAAACAUUUGCAAACGUUACAGUGAGUGGACAAAAAUGAAUUCAAUAAAAAUUAUUUAUGCAUUCCCAAUUUAAUUUUCAUAGAAAAUAUGCUGCAUGCGACAGCUCAAAGCUUUCUACUCACAAACUGGCAAAUACAUGACUAGCUCCGGCCAGUCUCCAAAACUCAAUAAAAUGGAGCCUCUCAGGCUAAACUAUAUAUAAAUAUAUAUGUGUAUGUAUUUACACUCGUCAGACUCCUUGUACGAAUUCUAUGAAUAAAAUAGAAAAAUAGAAAUUCAUACAAGGCUACUACGCUUGGGUCUAACGAUCACGUCACACCAUAACGGAAUUUUACCUCAUUAUGGCGGAAAAGCACGAGUGUUUAUACGUGUAGACUCCCUAUAUGAAAACCUAUAUGAAUCGGAUAAGAAAGUAGUUUUCAUAUAGGGCUAUGAUGCUUGUGUCCAACACUCACGUCACGCCGUAAUAGAAUUUUACCUCAUUAUGAUGGACCAAGCACGUAUGGCUAGCUAGCAUUUAUAUACAUACUAUACUCAUAAACAUCCAAUAUACAUAUCCACCGAAAAUCUCAUUUUCGGUAACUCUCCAAAAGAUGAAAAUUGCCAAAUAUCAAAAAAAGCAAUAAAUUUCAGCAGAAGAAUAACUGAUCAACAAUAGAAUGCAUCGCAUGCUUUUAAUUAAAACAAAAGUUCACUCACAGUGAUUCUGUUGCAUUUGCUGUCAAGACAAGACAACGAAGACGAGCUCGGAAAAUCCUCCUAUUCUUUUUCGAUUUAACCCCCUUCUUUCACUUCUAAGAAUGCACAGUAAAGUCCCUAAUAAAAACUAAAGGGUAAGAGAACAAUAUAACCAACUCCCCUUCAUAACCAUUGAAACCAAUUCUCUUAUAUCCUUUUAAUUAAACAAACACACACAUGACUCCCAAAACAAUAAUACCCUUAACUACCAUUUAACUUAGGAGAUUCACCUCUCGGUCAAAAUGGCAAAUGCACCCAAAAUACUCUUUGCAUUCAGAAGUUUUCAUUGUGCACCCAAACCUUUCCUCUAGUCCAAGCCUACAUGCAACCCCACAAUUCCAUAAUUAUAUUCAAAACUCACAACACAAUUCCGAAUUCAAUAGCCGAGAAUUAAAACCUUCUCACCUUGCGGUUUCAAAAGAUUAACACACGGUGCUCCUCCAAUUACUCUUUGCACCCAAAGUGGAAAUUAGCAUCCAACACCAAUCUUCAUUUGCUACACUGCCCUCCACCAAAACUAAACCCAAUAAUAACAUUAACUCCAUCUCCCUAUCCAACACCAAUCUUUCUAACUGUUAAUUUGCUGCCACCUAUUAAUGUAAAAACACUUGAAGUUUAUCUUCCAGUGCCAGUAGUUGUUUUUAAACUUGAUGCCCAAGUUUAAGCUGCUCACUCGGCAGCUAUUUGCAACCCACAAGUCUGAUUGAGGUUUUCAGACUUUCACUUGUGAUUGGCUGCAUGUAGUCAUGUGUUAGGCAUAAGCUAGCAAGUAGGUGAACCAGCAUUUCAAAUAAGACAAAGCAGCAAUCCAAAUUAUUGUUAUUAUUAUUAUUAUUAUUUUUUUUUUAAGUUUGGGGUUUCACAGAACGUCACGGGGUUAAGACUUAACAUGGAUCUCCUGGAAGAGCGCCGCGACAGGGUACACCUCAGGAAUGUCAACUACAAACAAAAGAUUGCUCAACACUACACCAAGAAAGUUGUUCCCCGCCCCCUAAAGGUAGGCGAUUGGGUUAUGAAGGAAGUCAUUCCCCACCCCACUGGACUCAAAUCAAAGUGGGAAGGCCCUCUCGAGAUAGUCAAUGCCUCAGGACCAGCUACAUUCUAUCUCCGGGACACUGAUGGCUGAGUACUACCCCGCACCUGGAACGCUCUCCACCUCCACCUCUACCCCAUUUAAAUUAACAGACCCGGCAUAGUAGCUAGUACUUCAUUAUUGUGUACUUCAACCCGUUAGUGGCUCACAUUAAGUGUACACCUUGCCCAUUAGCGGCCUACCCUAAAUGAAGAUGUUAUGUUUUUUAUCAUUUUUAUAACAUACCGUAUCAAGAACACGAAACAACAAAGCAAACAGUAGUCCACAAACAAAAGCAUUCAUUAAAACAAAUAAGAAUCAACAUGGACUCCUAAGCAAUGCAUAAAAAACAAAUUGUUCAGAUGGCUAACAUUGUUUUACAAGCAAACAAAAGAAAGCAAAUAAACCUAACAAUAACAGCAAAUUACAAAGCAUCAUCAUUUCUCCCCAGAGGACGCGCCACUUGACUUAUUCACGCUUCUGCCACUCCUUGAACCGCUACCACACCCACGACUGUGGCUGAUAUUCACCGACACCCUCUGUCCAUAAGCAUGCUUAGAGCGGUCACGUGACGUUGGUGGAGGCCUCACUGAAACAUUAGGGCGCACCAGGGAACUCACUUGUUGCACCUCAGUGAUAGGGGACUUGCUCGCUGAGGUCUUUUGCACUUCAGAACGCGGUGGCGCCACAAGUCUAGGUGCUUGAGGGAUAGUUGGUUCAAUAACAGAGGAUGUGACCUGAGAUACCACCACUUGAGCAGAAGGGGAUCCCUCAGGACGCGAAGCCCUUAGUGGAGAAGCAACGAUCACCGCAAGUGGCUGAGGCGUACCCACAGUAGGAACUUCUUUUGGCACGGCAGAGGAUGUAGCGCGCUAGGCCUCAUGCUGCUUAGCCAGAGAUCAAGAGAUCUCAGCUUGCUUCCUUUGCUCUGAGGUCAUCUGUUCCCAAGCCUUCUUCGCCACAUCCCUCUCGGCAUACCACUUGCGGAUGGCCGCUUCAUUUAUCCAGCCAAUUUGGCACCAGUCUUGCUUAGCUCAUCUUGUCCCCGGUUAUAAGCGCUCCUCAGUUGCUGCUUACACACUUCACUCUCCCGAAACACCCUCUCCCCAGCCCCAGCAGCCCUUGCACACUUCAGCUUCCACACUCUCUCUUACUUCGCCAGGGCUUGCGUUAACCUCGCCACCUCAGCUUCCAGAGACACCGCCUUGGCAAUGGCCACCUCCCCAGCCUCCACCUGCUUGUUUUUCUCCUGCACAGCUUCCUUCAACUCAGCCACCUCCUUCCCAGAUGCAGCAGCCUGAUCUCGGAAGAUAGCAACAUCUUGCUCCAGACGCUGCGAGAGGGCUCGGUUAUUCUCUUCCGCCUCCCUCAACUGCUGGCAUUUAGCCUCGGCAUCCCCCUGCAAGUGAGCAACAACCCUCUCACUUGCAGCAUACAUCAGCAGCGUCGCCUGCAGACAGCACCAAAAUGUAAGCAAAAAGGCAGGGAACUAAAGGACAAAAUGACCAUUGUGCACACUUACCCGAGUUAGUUUCUCCUUGGCAAGAGCUACACAAGCUAGAGGAUCAAUCUCCUCCAUGCAUGGAUGUCACGAGAGCGGUGACACAUGUCAUAUGCCAUCUGAGCUAGGGAAGGCUGCACCUCCCCGGUCCCCUCUAGAGCUUGGGUGAUCUCGGCCAGGCUCCCCAAGCUCUUGGAACGCCCCUCCUUACGGGACUUCUUUGGUUGGCCUUCACGUGACGACUCGACCCUUUCUUUCCUCUUUCGGGUCCUUGUCAUGACAACCUCUUCUUACCCUUGCCCAAUGGGUUCCACCUCCUUCACCACAACAUCCUCGCCACCAGUUUGGGGCUCACCCACAUUACCCAAAGACGUAUCUUCCACUCCUACUGGCUCCGCAUAAGCUCUUCCUCCACCGGAACCUGCUCAUGAUAGUCCCCGUGGUCGCCACCCUCAGUGUCCGUUUCCUCGUCAUUCACCUCUUGAUCACCCAAGCCCAUAUAUUGCUUCUGCCACCAAGGGAGGCAAAUAAGCAUAAUCCUCGUCCGCCAGCUUCAACCUCAAAAAAUCAUCCUCACCCUCAUCCAGCUCCACCUCUUUCCUCUCGCUAGUCUCCAAGUCGAUAUCGUACCGCUUGACAUGAUCAACCUUGGCACGUAACCCAUCCAGUACGUCCUCAUCCGACACCUUGUCAUAAGGACCUUCCUUCUUCCGCGACCCACCGUCCCGAGGCAUUGUCACUACACCAAACAAAAGAUGAGGAUCAAGUAGAGACCAGAAAGCAUAACCGAAAUGACUAUAUAUGCCAAGGCAGCAUAUCCGAUACGAGCUCCUAGACUCGAAUGCCCACAGCACCCGGCGUAUUCGACGCUCCAUCAGCUCGGUUAAUUUAUACUCUUGGGGCAUGACUUGUAUACAAUUCAUGCAAGCGAACGUAUCGUUGUCAAGAUAGGGAAGUAUUUGUGCCCAAGUUAUCGUACCAUGGGGAUUAGUGGCUAACCCACAAUCCUAAGCUAAUCGGAACAAAAGUCACUAAGCAAACAAAGAAAAAGAAAAAAAAUACUACUCUAAAGCACCAAGCCUUAGCAAUGCUCGGCCUCAGUUAUCACCAAAGCCUAAUCAAUACUAAAUGCCUAGUGAUGGGUAAUUACAAUGAGUCGAUAUAUAAAAUGGAGAUUGAAUGGGGAAUUAACUAAAUUGACGAAAAACUAAAUAAAAAUAAACUACUAACUAAUGAACUAGAGAAUGAUGAGAACAUGGGAGUGUCGGGUGAUUCACACUAACUCAUAUGCAAACAUCGAUACCAAUUUCACAAAUGCAUAUCCUAUUGUAUCAAAUCCCGUAUCUAAUACCGGUUAAGGCUACUAGACCAAUUAUCCUUUCGGUGUAUCGAUUAUGCCGGUUAAGGCCACAAUCAACUCUCUAACAUGGGCAUUACAUCGGUUAAGGCCGUAACAUCCAAAUUAGAGGCCUAGAGUGCAAGAUAAUAGAGACCCAAGCAAGCUUAGCUACAAUCAAGCUAGCUAAUGGUUACCACACUUCAAAUCCUAGAUGCACAAGACUAAUAAGUUGUCAAUUUAUCAAUCUAUCCAUCAAAUUGUCCACAACAUAAUCUCAAAGGGUGACAAAACCUAGAAACAUAUUUCUAAGGACCAACACAUUCAGAUUCAAAGCAUACACAAUGUAAAUUGCAUUUAUAUCAAUCAAAGUACCAACAUUAUACAAAAUGAGUUUAGGGCUUCAAUACCCUAACUCCCAAAAUUAAAUCACUCACAACCCAUAGUCAAAUAGAUCAUCAAUAGCAUAUAAGUUAAAUAGCUAUCAUUCUAGCAUUGGUAUGGCGCCCUUUGAGGCUCUUUAUGGGAGGCAGUGUCGUACGCCUUUGUGUUGGAAUGAAGUAGGGGAAAAAGAGCUUUGUGGCCCAGAGUUAAUCCAUGUUACGAAUGAGAAGAUUAAAGUGGUUAGAGAUAGACUCAAGACUGCUCAGAGUAGGCAGAAGAGUUAUGCGGAUGUCCGUAGGAGAGAUCUUGAAUUUCAAGUGGGUGAUUGGGUGUUCCUGAAAUUAUCUCCUUGGAAAGGGGUUGUGCGUUUCGGUAAGCGUGGGAAGCUUAGUCCGAGGUAUAUUGGCCCUUAUGAGAUUAUAGAGCGAGUUGGCUCACUUGCUUAUCGAUUAGCUUUGCCUCCAGAGUUAUCCCGGAUACAUAAUGUGUUUCAUGUAUCCAUGCUUCGCAAAUAUAUUGCCGAUCCUUCUCAUGUGCUGCAAGAGCAGCCGAUCAGUUUAACGAGAGAUUUGACCUAUGAAGAGGAACCGGUUCAGAUUCUCGACCGAAAGGAGCAAGUGCUUAGGAAUAAGACAAUCCCGCUUGUCAAGGUUCUGUGGAGAAGUCAUCAAGUAGAAGAAGCUACUUGGGAAUCAGAGGAGCAAAUGAUGCAGCAGUAUCCGUAUCUCUUCGGAUGACAUGUAUGUUAAUUUCGAGGACGAAAUUUUUAUAAGGAGGGGAGAAUUGUCACAUCCCGACCCUUAUAUUUUUACCUUAUUUACUAGCGUGAUUAUUAUAAGAAUUUUACCGUCCCAGUCAUGGAGUAAAUAGUUUAAUUGGUCCCUAGAGGGGUUUCGGGGACGAUUAUGUGCGGAGGAUAAUUCGUAUGGGGAAAAUACGACGACGGUAAAAAUAGUAAAUUUUAGCUAGUAAAAGGUAAUUUUUAUUCGGGUAUUAUUUUUCGGGGUGUUUUUAUUUUUGGAAGUUUGGGUUAAGUGUUGUGGACUGGGUUGGGGUGAGGCCCAAAACCCUUUUUCUCUUCUCCCUCUCUCCCGAUUUUCUCUCCUCCCACCCGGUUUUCCCCUCUCUACACCCAGAAGAAUUUCCGGCCGUCCUUCCGCCGCCGUCCGACCUCCGUUCGCCGCCGGACCGGUCCCGUUCGGUCGGUCUCCCUCCCAGCAACAUUUCUAGACCGGUGAGAGGAGCCCUAGCUCCGCCGUGAGAGAGCGGUGCCACCCGAAAGCUCCGACUGCCGAAUCGGUUUUCUCGCCGGAACUUCCUCCUCCGGCCACCAAUCCGGGCAAGCUUGGUACGGUUUUGUAGCCCUCCUCCCGUGCAACAACCCCUCCAAACAGCUCCCUCCCUCUUGAGCUAGGUAAGGAGAAAUUUGAGGUGGAAGUUUUAUGGUGUUUAAGUUGUUUUCGUUCGAUUAGCCUAGUUAGGCUUGGAAUUGGGUGAUGUGUUAGUCAUGAAAGUUGUAGAGGAGAUUGAGAGGAAGAUUCUGUUAAAAUUUGGUAGCAUUUGCAGGUUGCCGGAAAACGGCUGCCGGCCGCCGCUGCCGGCGCCGGCGCCGGUUAGGAGAUUUUUAGGGUUUUAAAUGUGGAAUAUUAAGAGGAGUAUAUUGGUGUGAUUUAUGGAAUUUUUGGAUGAGAUUUGGUUAGGUUUGUGAAUUUCCGAAGUUUGGUAUUUUUGGCGGUUAAUUAAUGUAGAAUCCGGCCGUAGGAUUUAAGUCGUAUUUUGGAGAGGUUGUAUUUACGACUGUUGAGUAUGAUAUUUAAGUUCGGAUCGUUCCGAUGUAAGAAUAUCGAAGUUAGGCAAUGAUGAGCGUAAUUAUGGCUCUCGGGUAAUUUUGCCUAUUUUGAUUAAAUAUUGGAUUUUUUUGGUUGGGAAUUAAUAUUAUAUUUGGAACAGGACGUGAGGAGGCUCGAGCAGACGAGACCCCAGAUCGGCAUCAGGCUUAGGCCUAAUUUGUGAGUGGACGUUUAUUUUAAAUAAAUGCGUGCUAAAGUUCACGAUUGAAUAAUUAAUGUCGUGGAGUAUUUUGACGUCAUUUUAAUUUUUGACGAUUUUUAUUUCUCGCGGAGAGAUACCGAAAAUGGGAUUUUCGGUGGAUAUAAAUAUGUAUUUAUGAGAGAGUAUGUAUAUAAAAUGCUAGCUAGCCAUAUGUGUCUGUCCACCUUAAUGGCGUAGCAUGUAGCCGCAUUAUGGUGUGACGUGAGCGUUGGACGUAAGCGUAGUAGCCAUAUUUGAGUGUUUAAUUCAUAUAGGGGGUAUGGACACAUAUUUAUACACCCGUCUGUCCACCUUGAUGGCGUAGUGUAGCACCGCAUUAAGGCGUGACGUGAGCGUUGGACGCGAGCGUAGUAGCCCUAUAUAGACCCAUGAAUUUAUAUAGGGAGUAUGGACGAGUGUAAAUACAUACAUAUAUUAUAGAGUCUAAGAGGCUCGAUAUUUUAUGGGAUAAAAGUUUUAUCGCUUGCGGCAUGCAUUCGAUUUUUCCUUAGAAAUUAAUUUGGGGAAACAUAAAUAUUUUAUUUAUUAUUUUAUUUUUGUCCACUCACUCUAACGUUAUUAAAUGUUUUCCCCUGGGCCCUUCGUUUUAAAUUGCCCAGUCUGCAGAGUUCGGGUUGGAUCUAGUAGGAGACGAGGCAUAGUCACCCGCAUUUCUGCCAGUUUUCGCCAGUAGGUUACCUGUUCAACCUACUCGUGUUUUCUUGCUUCCGCUUGUGUUUAGUAGCUCUGAAUACUUUAGAAUUUUUGUAUAGUAUGCGAUGUUCAGAAGUGAUAAAUUAAGAGUGUAAUUUGAAAUUUUCGAGUUAGGGUUGUCCAUCUGCAAGGGAGAUUUUCUUAAUCUUUUCAGUAAAUUUUCCUUGGAGGUGGUCCCCGCACGACUUACUCUGGGUUUCAGGGUGAAAUUCGGGGUGGGUCGUGUCAUCGGAGCUAUUUUUAAUAAUAUUUGGAAGUUGGUAUUAUCCAGAAAUUUAUUAAAAAUAAUAUUCUAAGUCGGUUUAAUCUCAGCCGUUAGAUUGGGAAUACAUAUACGUUUGGGUUAGAUUGUAAAACAGAAGAACCGAGCUUGGACCGACUCGGUCUCGAGUUGCGAUUCCUCCUCCGUCGAGCGGCUGUCUCUCGACAUCCAACCGGUGGCCAGAGCUCCAUAUCGUCGUCCCCAACAUGACUGUGUUGUUAGAUUUCCAAAACAAGCUCGGAGAAGGGAGAAUCGAGUAGAAGAAGGAUUUCUGGGUUCGCCGGUGAUCUUCGGAUUCCGGCCACGGCGGUGAGCAUGAACGGUGCUGGUAGCUUUGCCUCAACUCCCUGAACAUCGUUGUGCUAUUGGUUUUUGAAUAGAAGCCUUGAGGAGGGAGAAUCGAACCUCAAAAGUUUUUAGGGUUUUCCGGUCGUGUUCUUCAUUUUCCGGCGAGCUUCAAGUAUCAAUUCAGGUAUCAAAGUUGGUCCAUUUGUCGAACUCUACCUGUUUAUAUGCUUGAAUUCGAGUUUGAUUAAGUUUUGGAGAAGUUGGUGUUUGGGCAGACGUCAGCCGCCGUGAGUACUGCUGUGUACGGCGAUGACAGGUGGUGGUUCUUGUAGUUUCUGGUUUUUCAUAGUAUACUGAUUGUGGAGGGAUGCUUUGAUAUGUAUUUGAAUGGCAGGAGAUUGAAAAUUGGAUGAAGUGGGUUUUGGGGCAGUGUUGUUCGGUGGCGAAAAUGAUGGUUGAUAGUUCUGGGUUUGGUUUAUGUUUUGGAUGAAAUUGCAGGACAUGAUGUUGGUGUUGUAUAUGCUUGAAGUCUAGAAAUGGAAGAGUUGGGAAGUAGAGGAUUCAAGUCGAAUUGUGUUGUUGGAAUGAAGAACAGUAGUGUUCUUCUAUUCAUUGAAGUGCUUGAAUUCAAGAGUUUGAAAGUUGAUAUCGGCAAAAUAGAACAUGGGUGUCCAUAGUAGAUUUGGAGUCAAGUUGGUACUUGGAGCGCAAUUUGGAUAUGAUGACGGCAUUGAGCGUAAAGGCGAAUAAGAAUGUGGAAAUAAAUUGAAAUGAGUACAUUUGAUUCGGAAAUCAUUGGAAAAGAAAAAGGAUUCGGUACGAGGAUCGAAUGCGAGUAGCUGGAUUGCAGAAGGAUAAGGAUUUCUGAAUGUGUGUUGCAAAGUUACUAAUUUUAGCUAGUGUCAGAAGUAGCACUUGGAUUCCAGGUAGGGUCUCUCUCGGGGAACUUUUCUUUAAAUCGGUAAUUAGAUUUUAAUUGAAAUGGGUGAUUUGUGUGUCAUUGAGUGAUUAACUCUUGGUUGUUACCAUUUUCGAUAAAAGUAUGUGAUAUCGUUGAAAUAUAUGAACGAUGUUUUCGCUUAUCAGAAAAGAAUGUAUUGAAUGUUAUGAUAUGAGUAUUGAUAUUUGUUGCAUACAUUUUGCAUUGUGAGAAAUUGUGAGAUUAGUGAGAAUGGUGAUUAUGGAGAUGUGAAUGAGAUUUGAUAGAAUGGAUACAUUUUGUGUAGUUGAGUUUCCUGAUGGGUUGUCCAAGAUCCAAGGUAGCCCACACGUGCACAAAUUCAGGGAAUGUAUGCCUUUCGAUGGCAGACAUCGACAAAACGAUCUUAUCGGGUUUCGGGUUUGGAGGCCAUGAGUAUAACAAGAUGACUAACAAAAGAGGUACAAGCGGUGAGAUAUUACUGAUUGUUAGAUCAUAUAUUCGAGACAUCUGAGUCACCCCCGGUUGGUAAAAUACACGGUAUGGGACGUGUAGGCUCACAUGUCUUUGAUGUAUGGACUGAAUGCCAGUAAUCGAGGAAGUCAUUCAUUAGCAUAAAUGCAUCAAAUUUUCGUUAUAUAUUUAAAGUAUUGUUUGAUUGUUUGAUAACUUGUUUGUGCGAAGUAGUUAAGAAUAACUUAAGAAGGUUAGGCCCUACUGAGCGUAAGCUCACCCCUAUAGAGUUUUUGUUCAGGUUUGUACGAGGACACAUGUUUCUAGAAGACUAACUGUGACGUUAGCUUAAGUGUACAAGAGACGAGAAGUACUGAAGAUUAGAAGCCUCAAGACCUAUUUUGUUUUUGUAAUUGGUUUUGUUAUUUGUAAACGUUUUAUUUUCUUUUAUUUCUGGAAAAGUAGUUGAAAUUUGUAUUAUUUUUUUUACUUUUCCCGCUCACGCCUCGGGUUCGGCGUCAGGUGCUUGGAAACCACUGACACCGGGUUCGGGGUGUGACACCACACGUAUAUACACCCAUCCUCUUCGGUCAUAAUGAGGAAAAAUUUGAUUAUGGCGUGACGUGAGCGUUAGAUGCAAGACUCGUAGCCUUGUAUGAAUUUCUAUUCUUCUACUUUGUUCAUAGAAUUCAUACAAGGAGUCUGACGAGUAUAAAUACAUACAUAUAUAUAUAUAUAUAUAUAUUUAUGUAUAGUUUAGCCUGAGAGGCUCCAUUUUAUUGAGUUUUGGAGACUGGCCGGAGGUAGUCAUGUAUUUGCCAGUUUGUAAGUAAAAAGCUUUGAGCUGUUGCAUGCAGCAUAAUUUCUAUGAAAAUUAAAUUGGGAAUGCAUAAAUAUUUUUAUUGAAUUCAUUUUUGUCUACUCACUUUAACGUUUGCAAAUGUUUUCCCCUGGGCCUUUAUUUUAAAAUGCCCAGUAUGCAGGUUAGCAUAGUUGAGGUCGAGCGUACAUGGAGAAGAGGCAUAAUCAAUAGUAUAGCUUUCGCUUAUUUUUAUAUUUCUAGUUCCUUUCCUCUCAAUUAGAGUUGCUCUGAACUGUGAUUGUUGGUUGUGGGAUUAUUCUUAUUAAAGUUAGUAAAUAAAUUGGGAGAUGUUGUGUCACACCCCGGUUCUUAAGUUAUUUUACGGUUAUUUACUUUGGUAUUAUUUUAGUCUUUUACCGUGUUGAAUAACCGUUUAUUACCUAAGGACCCUAAAGUUGACUUUCUUUUCCGUUUAGAAUUUGGAGAAACUUUCUUCAUGAAAGUUGUAGAGGACGUUAAUAUGAGUUCGUAGACAUGCUAAGUGUUAAAAUCGGAGUUAGCAUGAAAAAGUUAUUAUCUAAAAGAGUAAAUUUUUGAGGUGGUAAAAGAAGGUAUUUUUUUAGUGGGUAAAAUUUAUUGGGUUUAAGGGUUAUGGAUUGGCUGUGAGCAGCCCAUAUCCUCCUUCACUCUCUCUCUUUCUCCCUUCCCUCUUUUCCCCGAGCUCCCCGAGCCCCUCUCCGCCGGAAGCUCCCAGCCACCAGCUGCCAUCGUCCGGCCAGCGUUCGGCUGCUGCUCCAGCCCAGUUCGGACCCCCAUCUCCUCCUCUCCCUCCCCGGCCUAGCCCCCGAGCCUCUAACCCGCCGGAAGAGGAGAAAACCCGCCGGAGACGCCGGGAAGCAUUUCGCCGAAAAUCCCAUUUCCGGCCACCAAAACUUGCAAUUCUUAGCUCAUUUUGUAGCUCUCAUCAAGGUGAGUAUCCCCUCAAAAGGAAUAAAUCUUUCUCGUUGUGGUUACGGAGAAAUGUAUAAUUGAAGUUUUAGGGAUUUUUGAUGUUUUUAGUCGAUUACCCUAGUUAGCCUGAGAAUUGGACUAAGUGCUAGUUAGGAAAGUUGUUGUGCUUGAUAAGAGGAUUAUUCUGUUAAACUUUGGUAGAAAUUGGAGGUCGCCGGAAUCGGCCUCCGGCCGUCGCUGCCGGCCGAGCCGGCGCCGGCGCAGGAGCUGUUUGGGAGAUUUUAAUGUUUUUAGAUUUGGAAUAUUAAGGGGAGUUUAUUGAAGUGAGUUAUGGAAGUUUUGGAUAGGUUUGUGAAUUUCCGAAGUUUGGUAAUUUUGGCAGUUAAUUAAUAUAGAAUCCGGCCGUAGGAUUUAAGUCGUAUUUUGUGGGAAGUUGUUUUUACGGCUGCCGGUAUGUUCGGUGAAGUUUGAACCGUAUUGAGUUAAGAAUGGCGAAUUUGGGCAAUGAUGAGUGUGUGGGAGGCUCACGUUUAAUUUUGCCCAUUUUGUUCAAUUAUUGGAUUUUUGGUGGGAAAUUAAUUAUAUAUUUGGAACAGGACGAGAGGAGGCCCGAGCAGAGGAAGCCUCGGAGCGUCAUCAGGCUUAGGCCUAAGUUGUGAGUGGACCUUUAUUUUAAUUGAAAAGCAUGCGAUGAAUUAUCUGUUGAUCAUUUAUGUCUUUUCCUGAGAUUUAUUUAUUUCUCGGAUAUUUGGCAAUUUUCCUCCUUUGGAGAGAUCCCGAAAAUGAGAUUUUCGGUGGAUAUGUUUAUUGGAUGUUUAUGAUGAUAGUAUGUAUAUAUAAAUGCUAGCUAGCCAUACGUGUUUGAUCCGCCAUAAUGAGGUAAAAUACCAUUAUGGUGUGACGUGAGUGUUAGACACAAGCGUAGUAGCCCUAUAUGAAAAAUAUUUUCUUAUUUGGUUUAUUUAAGUUUUCAUAUAGGGAGUCCACACGUAUAUACACUCGUGCUUUUUCCGCCACACUGAGGUACAAUUCUAUUAUGGUGUGACGUGAGCCUUAGACGCAAGCGUAGUAGCCUUGUAUGAAUUUCUAUUUUUCUAAUUUGUUCUUAGAAUUCAUACAAGGAGUCUGACGAGUGUAAAUACAUACACUUAUAUAUGUUUAUAUAUACUUUAGCCUGAGAGGCUGUAUUUUAUUAAGUUUUGGAGACUAGCCGGUGCUGGUCGUGAAGUUGUCAGUUUUUGAGUUGAGCGCUUUUGAGUGAUUGCAUGCAGUAUUAUUUUAUUUGGAAAUUAAAUUGGGGAAGCAUAAAGAAAUACUUUUAUUUUAAUUUAUUUUUGUCUACUCACUCUAACUGUUCCACAUGUUUUCCCCUGGGCUCUUCGUUUUAAAUUGCCCAGUCUGCAGAGUUCGGGUUGGAUCUAGUAGGAGGCGAGGCAUAGUCACCCGCAUUUCCGCCCGUUUUCAUCAGUAGGUUACAUGUUUAACCUACUCGUGUUUUCUUGCUUCUGCUAGUGUCUAGUAGCUCUGAAUACUUUGGGAUUAUUGUAUUUUAUGUUUAGAAUUUCUGAAGGUUAAUUAUGUGAUGUUUGGACGUGUUGUAUUAAUAGUGUAUUUUGGAAUUUUCGAGUUAGGGUUGUCCAUUUUCAAGGGAGAUUUUAUCAAUCUUUUCAGUAAAUUUUCCUUGGAGGUGGUCCCCGCACGACUUACUCCGGGUUUCAGGGUGAAAUUCGGGGUGGGUCGUGUCAUGUUGUGAUGUGGGCAGCACGAAGGCUCUAGGAGUAGAAGGUUGUAGAUGGAUUUUUUUGAAGUGUAUGCAUGUAUUAUUAGGAAGGGUUGUCUAUUUUCAAGGGAGGUUAUACCGAAUUUUUUCGGUAAUAUUUUUUUUGGAGGUGGUCCCCGCAGGAUUUACUUCAGGUUUCAGGGUGAAAUUCAGGGUGGGUCUUGACACAGAAGCUGAAGAUACUAGGAGCUGAAAAUACUUACCUGUCUUCCGUACCGUCUCUCCCAAACAGGGCCAAACAAACUAGAUGGCAAAUCCACAACCCAACCUCUGCCGCUCAGAUUGGGCCUGACACGAAGUACGUUCUCGCCCAUCCAACGACACCGCCUCAAGGAUGUGUCGUCGAACUGGGCAUGCACUAUGAACAAGGGGCUGCUAGAUAGGGUUUUGAAGAGAAAAGUCUCUUUGUUUUAUCAAUUCUUGUUAAAAUUUGUAGCCCUGAUUUGAUGUCAACAGGUGAAAUCAAUCCUAAAAAUUAAUCAAAUAGUAAUUAAUCAGAGAUCUCCAAUGACCUAAUGUAUGGAUUUGUUACUAAGACAAUUGCGGUAACAAAAUUUGGGUACAAGGUUGGUUGUAACAGCUUGGAAACAGUCCCGCAUUGAUCAAAAAGAACAAAUUGUUUUUUUUAUGGAAGGGCCCUUACGACCAAUUUCAUUGAUCAAAAGCCAAAAUGGCGCGGAUACAUGCUUUCCCUUGCCAAACGUUUGGGAAAGUUAAUGACUUGACAUGGCAUGCUAGUACCAUUCAUUACAAAUUCCACUCACUUAAUUCGAUACAGAAAAGAAAAAAGUGAACCUAAUUAGACCAUGAAACAAAUCACAACAAUUAGGCACACACACAAAAUGCUUAGACUCCUAAAAAAGGAAUUAUUGUAAAUAGACAAGCUACAUACUUAGAAAAUGAGCUAAGGCAUGAACCCUAGCCCAAAUCUAGGCCCAAGCAACUCCAAAAUGGCCCAACCCAAAGCUCGAACAAGGGAGACCCAUGCCUGCAUCCACCACACCCUUUGCCGUCACUACUUCCCAAAGCAUCUUUGAAUCCUUCGUCCACGCCAUCGCCAUCCGAAACGAGUCAGAUCCACCAUGACCCUUACCACACAUGACAACAGCCAUGAUACCAUCAAUUUGCACCGAUCCAACAAGCUUCGCUGUCGACAAUAGAUAGCAAAAAAAUUCUGACGAAAACACGCCGUCGCAAUGCUCAGAUGAAAACAUGCCGCCGCAGGACUCAAAGCCAACAAGCCCCGAUCCCUUCGCUCAAAACUUCAAGCCAAAAAAACCAUGAAGAAACUACUUGGCAACUUGUAGAUCCCGUCCGACGGUCUCUACUCGGAGUCAUCAAAGCCCAAAGGCCAGCCUCUAACCGAGUUCGGCCACCGGAUGAGAUGGAGAUUUGGGUGUGGGAGUCGAGUGUCUUUCGGUUAUGUGUCUUGACCUAAUCGUUUCUUUAUUAUAAUAGAUUACAACAAAAUAACAAAAUGACAUGACAUGGACAAAGAAAAACGUGGUGUUAUAAGAAGUACAACACGAACAAUCAUAGAAAGUGCCAUAUAAGUUGAAGAAGCGGAGACACCAAUGCAAAGAGGAGUUAGCUACACUUCACUAGACUACAGAUUACAGAAUAAAUACAUAGAGCGAGGGAGUGUGUGAGGAAGAAAAGGGAUCAUGUUCCAUUGCCAGCCAAUCGUUCAUAAAUAUACGUCCCCCAUCUUUGUAAUUACCCAAAAAGCCCACUUCAAAGCUGGCACACCCAAACCUCAAAAACUUAAAUAAAAAAUAAUAAUAAUAAAAAGAAAAUAGAAACGGGAUGUUGUGGACUGUAGGAGCACUCUGCACUCCUAUUGAAGAAGCACCGCCCAAUUACUAAACUAGCAGCAUUUUUUCAGUCUUAGACCUAUUUUUGAAAGAUAAUAGUAAUUAAAAAUAAAUAGAAUAAUAGUUUUGGGAUUUGAGUAGUGCCCCCAGAUUAUGUAUUACAGAAAACAACCAAAUGGAGUGGCGCCCAUGUUCUAGUCAAUAUCAAAAUUCCCCACUUGGUCAAUCACCAAACCCCCGCUCUCUCUCCACUGCCCUACUCCCCUCGUCCCCUCACUAUCUUUAAGAUCAUAGCAAUCCCACAUCACAUAUCAACAUGCUUAACUGAUUUCUGAAAUUCUAGGGUUAUAAAAAAGUAACCCAACAUUUUUCUAUUUAACCCUUUCCCAAAAAAAUCAACUCUAAACUUUGAUUGAUCGUAACUUUAUCGUACGACAUCCGUUUUACGCGUGCCACAUGUCUACGAACUCGUAUCGCCGUGCUCUACAAAUUCCGUGAAAGAAGUUUCUUGAGAAACCCAAUGAAUAAAAAGUCAACUAAAAAGUCAACCAAAUAAAAUAAAUAAAUAAUAAUAGAAACUAGUAUCUAAAUUCCGGGGUAUUACAUGUACUCUUGGUUUACCUUAUGUGAUGUUGGGUUGAGUCCGUUAAUGUAGAUUUACUCAUACGACCUGUUAAAGCUUACCGGGUUUGUUGUUUAUAACCCGGUGCACUAAUUCAUGAUGUAGGGGUUAUACCUGCAAGUGAUGAUCAGCAGGGUUGAGGCGGAGGCAUAGUAGCUGGGUUCUAGAGGCUGUACAUUUUAUUUUUAAUAUUAUGGCUGUUUGUUUUUACGCUCUUGCAAGCGACUGUAUUUUACUAGACUUUUUGAAGUUGAUGUAAUUAAGGAGAGAUAAUGUUUAACUCAGUUAAUGAGUUUUGUUGACAUUUACAUUUCUAGCAUUUGAUUUUAGUUGGAAGUUGUUAAGCAGGUUUUGGAAUAUUAAGAUUUUGAGUUAUAUCAUGCCCAAAUUUUUGAAAAUUAUCCUUAAAAAAAUUGGGGUGUGACAAAUGACAUCCAUUACGAGAGCAUAUCUCAUCCCAGUGCGUGUUAGUGAGAGACCUAGCGCUAUAAGGUGAGUAUAAGCUUUUGUUCUUACUACGCUAUCUAACAAACACUACAAGAAUUCGGGGCAUUUACCGAGCAAAAUUUAUGGUGUGCACCAAUGCACACCGUAUUAUGUGCUCUUUUAUGGCGUGCUUUUAAUGCGUGUCGUAAAAAACCUCUGACAUGUAUUCUUUUACUGCGUGCUUUUAAUGCAUGCCAUAAAUGACCAAUCACAUUAAGUCUUUCGUUGCACGCAUGUAUAACGUGCCGUAAUCGUGAUAUGUUUUUACUGCACACAUAUCAAAUGUUUUCCUCUUCUAAGAAGUCCCGCACCUUUGCAAAGCCUCAAACGUCAACCCCCAAACCUCAAUAAUCUCGAUAGAGUUAGAAAGAAGCUCUAAUCCUCCAUCGAAUUCUACAAUGAGUUGCAAACCGGAAAGCCUGCAAAUCGGUUUCUAGGGAUUUCUGGCUGUGGUGGUGCAAGGUAGGUUUGUUUCUUCUUCUUCUUCUCUCUUAUCUUAAUCGAUUUUUGUAUUCUACUUUCUCUUUGAAGCGAUUAGAAUCGCUGAAACCCUUAAUCCUUUUAUUUCUCCGGUUAUGAAUGUCGUUGUUUCAACCCCAGCCGUCAGCCUUCCUCAUCAAUCGCAGCCCCAAACUAUCGUCGGCCACAAACUCUUGGGCUAUCAGACUUCGUGACAUUCGUUGUUGUGUACGGCUGAGAUUGUGAUUCUUAAUCAUAAAAUUCAGGUAUGGCUAAUAGUAAUCCCUAUUAUAGUGUGGGAUUGUAAAUUUCACAGUAAUGUCAAAAGUAAUUUUCUUUUAUAACCUAAGUAAGCUGUGAGUAGGUUGUUAAGUGUUUCAUUGUUAUGUCGAUUGCAAUAUGCUUAUAUGCAGAAGUGUAAAUGUAUUUUUUUGCUAGUAUCAAUUUUGGGAGUGUAAUGAUCUCAAUUUUAUUUAGGUUUAUUUAUCGAAUUGCUUUUGUGUGUUUUUUUUUUCUCUGACUAGGAUUUUGAUUUUGAUUAUAUUUUGGACUACCAAUUAUAUUUCCAAAUUAGAUUUUCUUUUCUACGUGUAUAGUUGUUCUUUAUUUAAUUUUGGGUGAAAAUAUUUAUUUGGGUCUAGAACUAUCCAGUCAUCAUCAGAAGCAGAACACGUUGCCCAUUCUUUUUCGUUCACGUGUCCCUAACUGAUUUCUCCAGAAUUUACUCGUCAGUCUCUCUUCCUCUUCUCCCUUCUCUUCUUGUUCUUCUUCCCCUUUUCUCUACUCUUCACUUCUGUCUCUACUCUGAUCAUCACUCUCUUCUCUAAAUCAACAACACCGAUUUCACUAGCUCACAAGGAAGAGGGGAGGAAUCGCCAUGAAAUUCGUUGCCAAAGAAUCUGAAAUUCUUUGUCUAUUCGCAGCUAACUCCUAUAAGUUUCAAUCUCUUGUAAGUUUCAGUCUUCUCUCUCUCAAACUAGUUAUCCAAUCUCAGUUGUUUCUGUCAAGACCCACCCUGAAUUUCACACUGAAACAUGAAGUAAAUUCUACGGGGACCACCUCUAAGGAAAGUUUACCGAAAAUUCGGCAUAACCUCUCUUGAAAAUGAACAACCCUUCCUAAUAAAACCUGCAUACACUUAUGAUAAACCAAAUCCAACCUUAAACUCCUGGAGCCUUCAUGCUCCCCCAAAUCACAACAUCUCCCAAUUAUUUACUAACUUUAAUAAGAAUAAUCCCACAACCAACAAUCACAGUUUAGAGCAAUUCUAAUUGAGAGGAAAUGAACUAGAAAUUUAGAAAUGAGCGGAAGCUAUACUAUUAACUAUGCCUCUUCUCCAUGUACGCCCGACCUCAACUAUGCUAACCUGCAAACUGGGCAUUUUUAAAACGAAGAGCCCAGGGGAAAACAUUUGAAACCGUUAAAGUGAGUGGACAAAGAUAAAUUAAUAAAUAAAAUAUUUAUGUUUCCCCAAAUCAAUUUCCAAGGAAAAAUCAAAUGUAUGCUGCAAGCGAUAAAACUUUAAUCUCGUAAAAUAUCGAGCCUCUCAGGCUCUAAAAUAUAUGUAUGUAUUUACACACGUCCAUACUCCCUAUAUAAAUUCAUGGGUCUAUAUAGGGCUACUACGCUCGCGUCCAAUGCUCACGUGACGUCUUAAUGCGGUGCUACACUACGCCAUUAAGGUGGACAGACGGGUGUAUAAAUAUGUGUCCAUACCCCCUAUAUGAAUUAAACACUCAUAUAGGGCUACUACGCUCACGUCCAACGCUCACGUCACACCAUAAUGCGGCUAUAUGCUACGCCAUUACGGUGGACAGACACAUAUGGCUAGCUAGCAUUUAUAUACAUACUCUCCUCAAUAUACAUAUUUAUACUCAACGAAAAAUCUCAUUUUUCGGUAACUCUCCAAAAGAAAUAAAAACGUCAAAAAUUAAAUGACGUCAAAACUCCAACAAUUUAAAUGUUCAACCAUGACCAUAGCAUGCAUAUUAUUUAAAACAAAAGUCCCCCCACAACUUUAGGCCUAAGUCUGACGUCGAUCCGAGGUCUCUUCUGCUUGAGCCUCCUCACGUCCUGUUUCCAAAUGUAAAAAUAAUUUCGCAACUAAAAAUCCAAAUAUUUAUACAAAAUAGGCAAAAUAAACAUGAGCUACUAUAUGAACUCCCUAUAUGAAAGCCUAAAUAAACCAAAUAAGAAAAUAGUUUUCAUAUAGGGCUACUACGCUUGUGUCUAACACUCACGUCACACCAUAAUGGUAUUUUACCUCAUUAUGGCGGAUCAAACACGUAUGGCUAGCUACCAUUUACAUAUACAUACUAUCAUCAUAAACAUCCAAUAAACAUAUCCACCGAAAAUCUCAUUUUCGGGAUCUCUCCAAAGGAGGAAAAUUGCCAAAUAUCCGAGAAAUAAAUAAAUUUCAGGAAAAGAAAUAAAUAAUCAACAGAUAAUUCAUCGCAUGCUUUUCAAUUAAAAUAAAGGUCCACUCACAAAUUAGGCCUAAGCCUGAUGACGCUCCGAGGUUUCCUCUGCUCGGGCCUCCUCUCGUCCUGUUCCAAAUAUAUAAUUAAUUUCCCACCAAAAAUCCAAUAAUUAAACAAAAUGGGCAAAAUUAAACGUGAGGCUCCUACACACUCAUCAUUGCCCAAAUUCGCCAUUCUUAACUCAAUACCGCUCAAACUUCGCAGAACAUACCGGCAGCCGUAAAAACAACUUCCCACAGAAUACGACUUAAAUCCUACGGCCGGAUUCUACAUUAAUUAACCGCCAAAAAUACCAAACUUCGGAAAUUCACAAACCUAUCCAAAACUCAUCCAAAAAUACCAUAACUCACUUCAAUAAACUCCCCUUAAUAUUCCAAAUCUAAAAAAACAUUAAAAUCUCCCAAACAACUCCGGUAGCGGCGGCCGGAGGCCGAUUCCGGCGACCUCCAAUUCUUAUGAAAUUUUAACAGCAUCUUCCUCUCAUCAUGCUCUACAACUUUCCUAACUAGCACAAACCCAAAAUCCAAGCCUAGCUAUGCCAAUCGAACAAAAACAUCAAAAACGCCCUAGAGCUUCCACCUCAAAUUUCUCCUUACCUGAAGCAAACCGGGGUGACUCCAUUUAGGGCAAGGCAGCUGGGUUAGAGACCUACAAAACCGUACCAAGCUUGCCCGGAUUGGUGGUCGGAGGAGGGAGAGGAGGUGAUGGGGGUCCGAACUGGGGUGGAGUGGUGGCUGGUGGCUAGUCGGACGGCGGCAGCUGGCAGCUGGAAAUUUCCGGCGAAGGGAGAGAGAGCACGGGAGGGAGAAGGAAGAGAAAAGAGAGAAGAAGAGAAAGAGAGGAAAUGGGUUGGGCCUCUCCAACCGGUCCAACUCCACUAAUAUACCUAACUCCCACAAAUAAAACACCCCGAAAAAUAAUACCCGAAAAAAAUUACCUUUUACUAGCUAAAAUUUACCCCUUUUACCGUCGCCAUAUUUUCGUCCUACGAGUAAUCCUCCGCACAUAAUCGUCCCCGUAACCCCUCUAGGGACCAAUUAAACUAUUAACUCAGUGACGGAGACGGUAAAAUUCUUAUUAAAAACAAGGUAGUAAAUAAGGUAAAAAUAUAAGAGUCGGGAUAUGAUAAUUCUCCCCUCCUUAUAAAAAUUUCGUCCUCGAAAUUUGCAUACCUGUCAUCCGAAGAGAUAGGGAUACUGCUGCAUCAUUUGCUGCUCUGAUUCCCAAGUAGCUUCUUCUACUUGAUGACUUCUCCAAAGCACCUUGACAAGUGAGAUUGUCUUAUUCCUAAGCACUUGCUCCUUUCGGUCGAGAAUCUGAACCGGUUCCUCUUCAUAUGUCAAAUCUCUCGUCAAACUGAUCGGCUGCUCUUGCAGCACAUGAGAAGGAUCGGCAAUAUACUUGCAAAGCAUGGAUACAUGAAACACAUUAUGUAUCCUAGCUAACUCUGGAGGCAAAAGUAGCCGAUAAGCAAGUGAGCCAACUCGCUCUAUGAUCACAUAAGGGCCAAUAUACCUCAGACUAAGCUUCCCACGCUUACCGAAACGCACAACCCCUUUCCAAGGAGAUAAUUUCAGGAACACCCAAUCACCCACUUGAAAUUCAAGAUCUCUCCUACGGACAUCUGCAUAACUCUUCUGCCUACUUUGAGCGGUCUUGAGUCUAUCUCUAACCACUUUAAUCUUCUCAUUCGUAACAUGGAUUAAUUCUGGGCCACAGAGCUCUUUUUCCCCCACUUCAUUUCAACACAAAGGCGUGCGACACAGCCUCCCAUAAAGACCCUCAAAGGGAGCCAUACCAAUGCUAGAAUGAAAGAUAUUAUUAUAGGCAAAUUCCAUCAAAGAUAGGUUUUUAUCCCAACUUCCUCUGAACUGCAAGACACAAGCCCUCAACAUAUCCUCCAACGUCAGAAUUGUCCUCUCGGACUGCCCAUCAGUCUGAGGAUGAAAAGCAGUGCUGAAGAGUAAUUGGGUACCUAAAGCUGCCUGAAGAGCUCCCCAGAAUUUAGAAGCAAAUCGAGGAUCCCGAUCUGACACUAUUGAUUCAGGAACACCAUGAAGCCUCACAAUUUCAUUCACAUAAAGCUCCGCCAAUUUAUCCAAUUUAUACUUCUUUCCCACUGGCAAGAAAUGUGCAGACUUGGUGAGUCGAUCCACAAUCACCCAAAUACCGUCAUGCCCUUUACGGGUACGAGGUAAACUGAAAACGAAAUCCAUGGUGAUGUGGUCCCACUUCCACACUGGAAUAGGCAACGGCUCAAGCAAUCCAGAAGGCUUCUGCCUUUCAGCUUUUACUUGCUGACAAACCAGACAUCUACUCACAUAAGCUGCAAUUUCCCUCUUCAUGUUUGGCCACCAAUAAUAAUUCUUCAAAAUCCGAUACAUUUUUGUGCUACCCGGAUGAGCAGCAUAUGCAGAGCUAUGAGCUUCCUCCAUAAUCUCAUUCUUCAACUCUUCAUUUCUUUUUGGAACUACAUUAGCCGAUUCUUAAACAUAGAGUCCCAUCUCUUCUAACUGAAAAAUGAUCGGCAGCGGCUCCAUUCGAAGCUCUUUCCAUUCAAUCAAACUAUGGAAGGAUCAUUAUACUGUGCUUCCCGCACUCUAUCAACCAAAACUGGCCUCACAUGAAAACUGGCUAUCAAAGCACCAACCUCAUCUACUGAUAAAUCCACUCCUGUAGCUUGCAACUCACAAAGAAGCGGAACACGAACCAUCUUUAUAUGAGAUAAAGAUAUAGAGGGAUUUCGACUAAGAGCAUCCGCUACCACAUUAGCUUUUCCAGGGUGAUACUCAAUAGUGCAAUCAUAAUCAUUGAUUAACUCCAUCCACCUUCUCUGUCCCAUAUUUAGCUCUCUUUGAGUGAAUACAUACCGAAGACUCUUGUGAUCGGUAAAUAUCUGACACUUGCCUCCAUAAAGAUAGUGUUUCCACAACUUGAGAGCAAAAACUACCGCUGCAAGCUCCAGAUCAUGAGUAGGAUAAUUCCCCUCAUGCGGCUUUAAUUGCCUAGAAGCGUAGGCAAUAACUCGUCCAUGCUGCAUCAAUACUCCACCUAGACCAUGUCUAGAAGCAUCACAAUAGAUCACAUACUCUCCACUAUCAUCCGGAAGUGCCAAAACAGGAGCACUUGUUAAGCAAUUCUUCAAUUCUUGGAAACUUUGCUCACAUUGAUCUGACCAUUCAAACUUAACCCUCUUCCUGGUCAAUCUUGUGAGAGGAGCAACAAUCUUUGAAAAAUCUUUCACAAAGCGCCGAUAAUAACCUACUAAUCCCAAGAAACUACGAAUCUCCAUCACAGUGGUGGGUCUUCUCCAAUUCGACACUGCUUUCACCUUUUGGGGAUCCCCACUAACUCCUUCUACCGAAAUCACAUGACCCAAAAACCCCUCUUUAUCUAGCCAAAACUCACACUUGCUAAACUUAGCAAAUAACUGCGACUUUUCCAAAGUCCGUAAUAUUAUUCUUAGAUGCUUGGCAUGCUCCUUCUCACUUCUUGAGUAAACCAAUAUGUCAUCUAUGAAUACGAUCACGAAACGAUCAAGAUAUGGACUAAACACCCUAUUCAUGAGAUCCAUGAACGCCACGGGUGCAUUAGUAAGUCCAAAUAGCAUCACCAUAAACUCAUAAUGACCAUAUCGUGACCGAAAAGCAGUCUUGGCUAUGUCCCCCUCUCGGAUCCGCAACUGAUGAUAACCCGAUCUCAAAUCAAUNNNNNNNNNNNNNNNNNNNNUUAGAGAAAACAGAGGCACCCGUCAACUGAUCAAAUAAAUCAUCGAUCCGAGGCAACGGAUAUUUAUUCUUCACUGUGACCUGAUUCAACUUCCUAUAAUCAAUGCAUAGUCUCAUGGUGCCGUCUUUCUUCUUAACAAACAACACCGGAGCACCCCAUGGAGACAUGCUAGGCCGAAUAAAACCCUUAUGUACCAACUUCUGCAAUUGAGUCUUCAACUCUUUCAAUUCCGCUGGAGCCAUUUUGUAAGGUGCCUGAGAGAUAGAUAUAGUUCCAGGAAGUAAUUCUAUAGAGAAGUCUAUCUCCCUUGCAGGAGGCAAACCAGGCAACUCCUCAGGAAAAACAUCCGGAAACUCCCUUACUACCGGAAUAUCUUCUAAUCCCACAACUCCCAUAAUUGUAUCCACGACAUGAGCUAAAUAUGCCUGACAGCCUUUACUCAACAAUUUCCUUGUAGCAACAGCGGAAAUUAUGCAACUAGAAAUAACAUCUCUUUCCCCUUGGAAAGCAACCUCAAAACCAUCUGGACUUCGAAGCACCACUACUUUUUGAAAACAAUCUACCAUAGCUCUAUAUGCUUCCAAAAAGUCCAUUCCCAAGAUCACAUCAAACUCCACUAUAUCUAAAGGAAUUAAAUCAGCCUCAAAAUUAACUCCUUCCACUAAAACUUCACAACCACUAAAUACCCAAUUUAUUCUCAUCACCUCACCGGAGGGUAGAGACACAUGCCACUCGCCUGGAAGAGACGAUGAUAGCACAUUGGCAUGGAGAGCGAAUCUACUAGACAUGAAUGAAUGCGUGGCUCCUGGAUCAAUUAAAGUAAAAGCAGGCUGACCGAAAAUUAAUAACGUACCAAUGAUGACAUCUGGAGAAGUACGACCCUCCUGCUGGGUCAUAGUAUGUAGUCUAGCGCGAGUCAUGGGACGUCUAUGCUGACCACCACCCCGCUGAGAGCCACCUCUGACCGAUGCACUGCCCUGGGCACCACUACUGGAGCCUCCAGCUGAAGACUGACCAACUGGCUGAGUAGGGGUGGGGGUGGUCCUCUGAGCCAACAAUGGGCAAUCUCUCCUGAAGUUGUCUUGACCACCACACUCAAAGCACCCAGAAAACUGCUGCUACCCAUAAGAAAAAGUCUAGCUACCGGAUGACCCACCAUGGAAAUUACCACCAGAACCAUACUGCCCAGACUGCUGCCUACCCAAAUGACUCCGAGAAGGUCUCCUGAAACAUCCUCUAGUCCUGUUUCGAGCACCAGAGCUCGAUCCCCCACUACUGCCACUACCAGCAGAAGACCCAGAAGCGGAUGAUGUAGCAGCCUUCUUAGAUGGACCUUGACUAGGGCCACCGUAAUCACGAGGCCGAACACCAUAUGUCCCCCUAAACUCAAUGGCCAUGGCUGCACCAACUGCAUCCUCAAAAGUCGGGUAAAUUACCCAUGUCAUCUUGUCCGCAUACACUCCACCAAGUACCCCAAUGAACAUCUCAAUCCUGGUCCUCUCAUCAGAAACCAGAUAUGACACAUGGUAGCUCAGGGAAGUGAAUCUUUCCUGAAACUCUAAGAUACCCUCAUCGUCCCUCUUUGACAUAUGCAGGAAAUCCGACUGAAUUCUGCUGCGGUGGGCAUGAUUGAAAUACUGCCCCAAGAAGAGAGUCUUAAACUACUCCCACGACAUAUUCAGCGCAUCCUCAACAUUCCUGUUGGCAAGUGACCACCAGUGAUGUGCUGAAUCAUCCAGAAAAGUCACUGCUAUCUUCACCUUUCUUUCUUCUGGCAGCUCAGUGCUCGCAAAAGCCUUUUCCAUCUUAUCCACCUAAUUGUGAGCAUCAAGAGGUCCCUUGGCACCCUUGAACUCUCUGGCUCCAGCAUAAAAAACUUCUCUCCUUUUCACAGUAGGAGGGCGUGGAGCUCGAUCCAUGACAUCCCUUAGCAUAUUUCCAAUAUCAUCAACCAGUCCCCUGACCUCAUUGCCCUCAUCGGCAUUGGUUGAAGUGGCCACACGGGGUUGCCGUGGGCGCCUAGGAGGCAUAGUACCUGAGAAAGAAGAAAUUUAGUAGUCCAUAAACAAGACUAACACAACAAUCACACAUACCCAAUAACACAUAGCAUCAAAAGCAUAAAAUGCCAAUGAAUCCGCCGCGGUCUGAUCAUCACUCUAUAGACACUACGUGCUACUUAGGCAAAUAUGAUAGUGACAAGGAAGCAGGAAAAGGAAACCUAAAGCUCUGAUACCAACUGACACGACCCACCCCAAAUUUCACCCUGAAACCCGAAGUCGUGCGGGGACCACCUCCAAGAAAAAUUUACUGAAAAGAUUGAUAAAAUCUCCCUUGAAAAUGGACAACCCUAACUCGAAAAUUCCAAAUUACACUCUUAAUACAACACGUCCAAACAUCACAUAAUUAACCUUCAGAAAUUCUAAACAUAAUAUACAAUAAUCUCAAAGUAUUCAGAGCUACUAGACACUAGCGGAAGCAAGAAAACACGAGUAGGUUAAACAUGUAAUCUACUGAUGAAAACUGGCGGAAAUCCGGGUGACUAUGCCUCGCCUCCUACUAGAUCCAACUCGAACUCUGCAGACUGGGCAAUUUAAAACGAAGAGCCCAAGGGAAAACAUGUGGAACAGUUAGAGUGAGUGGACAAAAACUAAAUUAAAUAAAAAUAUUUCUUUAUGCUUUCCCAAUUUAAUUUCCAAAUAAAAUAAUACUGCAUGCAAUCGCUCAAAAGCGCUCAACUCAAAAACUGACAACUUCACGACUAGCACCGGCUAGUCUCCAAAACUUAAUAAAAUACAGCCUCUCAGGCUAAAUUAUAUAUAAACAUAUAUAAGUGUAUGUAUUUACACUCGUCAGACUCCUUGUAUGAAUUCUAAGAACAAAUUAGAAAAAUAGAAAUUCAUACAAGGCUACUACGCUUGCGUCUAACGCUCACGUCACACCAUAAUGGAAUUGUACCUCAGUAUGGCGGAAAAAGCACGAGUGUAUAUACGUGUGGACUCCCUAUAUGAAAACCUAAAUAAACCAAAUAAGAAAAUAGUUUUCAUAUAGGGCUACUACGCUUGUGUCUAACACUCACGUCACACCAUAAUGGUAUUUUACCUCAUUAUGGCAGAUCAAACACGUAUGGCUAGCUAGCAUUUACAUAUACAUACUAUCAUCAUAAACAUCCAAUAAACAUAUCCACCGAAAAUCUCAUUUUCGGGAUCUUUCCAAAGGAGGAAAAUUGCCAAAUAUCCGAGAAAUAAAUAAAUCUCAUGAAAAGAAAUAAAUAAUCAACAUAUAAUUCAUCGCAUGCUUUUCAAUUAAAAUAGAGGUCCACUCACAAAUUAGGCCUAAGCCUGAUGACGCUCCGACGCUUCCUCUGCUCGGGCCUCCUCUCGUCCUGUUCCAAAUAUAUAAUUAAUUUCCCACCAAAAAUCCAAUAAUUAAACAAAAUGGGCAAAAUUAAACGUGAGCCUCCAACACACUCAUCAUUGCCCAAACCAAAUUCGUCAUUCUUAACUCAAUACAGCUCAAACUUCGGCGAACAUACCGGCAGCUGUAAAAACAACUUCCCACAGAAUACGACUUAAAUCCUACGGCCGGAUUCUACAUUAAUUAACCGCCAAAAAUACCAAACUUCGAAAAUUCAUAAACCUAUCCAAAACUCAUCCAAAAAUUCCAUAACUCACUUCAAUAAACUCCCCUUAAUAUUCCUAAUCUAAAAACAUUAAAAUCUCCCAAACAGCUCCGGUAGCGGCGGCCGGAGGCCGAUUCCGGCGACCUCCAAUUCCUAUGAAAUUUUAACAGCAUCUUCCUCUCAUCAUGCUCUACAACUUUCCUAACUAGCACAAACCCAAAAUCCAAGCCUAGCUAUGUCAAUCGAACAAAAACAUCAAAAACGCCCUAGAGCUUCCACCUCAAAUUGCUCCUUACCUGAAGCAAACCGGAGUGAGUCCUUUUAGGGCAAGGCAGCUGGGUUAGAGACCUACAAAACCGUACCAAGCUUGCCCGGAUUGGUGGCCGGAGGAGGGAUUUCCGACGAAAAGCUUCCCGGCGUUUCCGGUGCGUUUUCUCUUCUUCCGGCGGGCUAACGGCUCGGGGGCUAGGCCGGGGAGGGAGAGGAGGUGAUGGGGGUCCGAACUGGGGUGGAGUGGUGGCUGGUGGCUGGCCGAACGGCGGCAGCUGGCAGCUGGAAGUUUCCGGCGAAGGGAGAGAGAGCACGGGAGGGAGAAGGAAGAGAAAAGAGAGAAGAAGAGAAAGAGAGGAAAUGGGUUGGGCCUCUCCAACCGGUCCAACUCCACUAAUAUACCUAACUCCCACAAAUAAAACACCCCGAAAAAAAAUUACCUUUUACUAACUAAAAUUUACCAUUUUUACCGUCGCCAUAUUUUCCUCCUACGAAUAAUCCUCCGCCCAUAAUCGUCCCCGAAACCCCUCUAAGGACCAAUUAAACUAUUAACUCAAUGACGGAGAUGGUAAAAUUCUUAUUAUAAACAAGCUAGUAAAUAAGGUAAAAAUAUAAGAGUCGGGAUGUGACAGGAGCAGUCGGCGUUUCCGGUGGUUUUCUUCUCUCCGGCGGCGCUACCAGCUCGGACACUAGGCCGGGAAGAGAGAAGAGGUGGCAGGGCUCCAAACUGGGCUGGAGCGGCGGCCGGUUGCUGGCCGGAUGGCGGCAGGCGAUGGUCGGAAGUCGGACGGAGAGAUAAGCUCUGGGGGAGAGGGAGAGAGAAGAGAAAGAGGAGGAAAAAGAAGGAAGAAAAAAAAUGGGCCACUCCUCUAACCCAGUCCAACACCUUAAACAAAACCCCAACUCCCAAAAAUUAACACCUCAGAAUAAUACCCAAAUAAAAAUUACCUUUUACCAGCUAAAAUUUACUAUUUUUACCGUCGUCAAAUUUUUCUCUUACGAAUAGUUCCUCCGAAAUAAUCGUCCAUCAAAACCCCUCUAGGGACUAUUUAAACUAUAAACUCAUUGACAAAGACGGUAAAACUCUUAUUAUUACCAAGCUAGUAAAUAAGUUAAGAAUUUAAGGGUCGGGAUGUGACAGUUUUCCUAAUAAAAUUGGACUCUGAAUUGUAUCAUGAAUCUCAAAUUAGGGAACUUGAAUUGCUUGGGUGCAAGCUGGGACUUUGCUUUCGGAAUCAAACUGCUAUUGUUUGAUUUGGGUGCUUAUGUGUUUGGAGUUGCUUGCUUAUGCCGGUUGCUAUGACAUGAGGUAGGGAAAACAAACUUUUCUUUAUAGCUUUGAUUCUAGUUUCAUGUGUAUUUGGUGUGAUUGUGUUGGAAUGUCUUCUCUGCUAUUUUUCCUUGAUUGAAACUGUCAAGCAUACAUAGCUUGUCGAAUAGAAAUCUUGUUGAGUGUCAUUGUUACUCUGAUUCAAGGUAAUAUGUACCCUUGUCUUAUAUUUAAUAUUGAAAUGAUAGCCUUGAGUAUUUUGGCUGGUAUUCUUUGAAGAAGUUCACAUUGGACAAGGUCCUUCUCGUUCCCAACUCUCUUCUUAUUAUGUUAGUUGCAGCCGUGGCUUGUAUCUUGUUAUACCAUCUAAAGUGGUUUUAUCUGUGUCUACUUUGUCUUAUGUUACUGCUUUCUUGGCUUCUCCUUUGAGUCUAUUACUUAGUUUAGUCCUGCUCUCUGUUAAUGCUCAUGAACUCACUGUACAAAGCUGCUCAAGUUAGUGUCUUUACCCAUUGAUAUUUAUAUUCUUGAGGCCGAUACAAAUCUGAUUCUUGCCCUGUUCUUUAUAAUUUAAAAGGAAGUUUUUAUACAUGGUUUUACUUGAACCAAAAAUUC